rnacentral:lncRNA from 1 species
CUGUCUAACAGCCUUCAAAAUAAUUGAAAAUUUAUCAACAAUGAAGAACUCAGUACUAGCACUAGCAUUCUUCGUCUUUCUCUUUGCCUUUGCUGCAAAACCAUCUUUGGCUGCUCGUCAUGAGCCUUUAGUGCUUCAUUCUGAUGGCCAGGAGCUCCUCACGGCUACCAGCAAUUGCGAUAUCGUAACUCCAUUUGAGUGUAAUGGUACGUAAUUAUUAUUGAGGACAUUAUCCUAAUAAUUACUGGGUUAAUAAUACAACUGAGCUAAUUUGUUAAUAUGAGUUAGGUCCGUGGACUUUUAGAAUACGACCAUAAUUGGCUGUUGAGCAAGUUUUAACCACUUAGUAAUUCGUAUAUGAAAUAUAACUGCAGGCAAGAGCUCAUGGCCAGAACUGGUUGGUGUAAACGGGGAGAUUGCUGCUGCUACGAUACAGAUAGAGAAUCCUAAUGUUCAUGCAAUCAUAAUACUUAAGGGAACUCCAGUUACACCAGAUUUUCGUUGUGAUCGGGUUCGAGUUGUGGUUGACAAAUAUGAGAAGGUGGUUCAAGUUCCUCGGAUUGGCUGAACUUCGACGAUUAUCUGCAAUCAUCAUGGCUGGAUGGAUGGUCAGGAUUAACUGCUUGUUUAUAAUCACUUAACUAUGUAUUAGUAAAAUAAAUGAACAAGUAGUGUUGUUUAAUAAAGCAUGCAUGGAUGUGCGUGAUAUCCAACAAUCGCGUUCUACGAAUGAGUGUAAUAAUACAACUUUUAUGUCUACACUUUUUUUAUUUAGUUUUUUUUUCCCCUUGAUAAUCAAGCACGCUUUCACAGAAUCAUACUAAGAAAAAGGAUACAAGAGAUGAGUUGGGCAAGUCCCCAAAAAAACACCAGAAAGCUAAUUUUGCGAUUACAAGAUCUAGAAGUAUGUUGAAUUAUAGCAUAACUUAGUCUCCGAAGCUUUUCUUGAACUUCAGAAAUAGCCCAAAAAAUCUCCAGCUUGCUGUUCUUCUUGCUAGCAAUUAAAUUUAUUACGUCUUGCCAAUCUGUUUCAAGUAUCAGUGGUACACUUGUUGCCUCUUCUGCAAUUUCCUAGCCCUAAUUAGUUGCUUCAGCUCCUGCAGAUGCUACACUGUCAUGGUAUUUUGACUUCUUCACUCAGCAACUACAAACUCUCCCUUGUGAUUCCUGGUGACAAUCCCAGGCUUAGCAUUGAUUUUUAGACUUGAUGGUGGCAUCCACGUUCACUUUGAACCAGCUUUUAAGAGGGAGUGUCCAGCUUUGCUGAGUUGCAGACACUUGCCUUGAACUUGCUUUCAUUUGAGGGGCUUUAAUUUUUAUGUAGGACUCAACUGUUACUUCAGCUUUAGCCACUAAUACCUGAGAAUCUUCUUCUUCUUUUAUUUUUUCCAAAGAUGAAAAGAUUUCUGGAGUGUCAAAUAGCCCAAAUAGGCCAUUGCAUAUCAAUCAGAGGUUGAAUCGCGACAGAAUUACAAACCAAACCACGUAGUCAAAUACAAAUACAAACAUGAAGGCUCAUGUUGCACCCUUUAUCUGUCCUACGCACUAAUGACGUCAUUCUGAUAAAUGAAUGAAGACUAUGUGUUACUAUAACAUGCCAACACUAAAAUUUCUUGAUAAGAUUUAGACGAUGGCGAAAAUAAAAUUAUUCAAUAAUUAAAUUAAUGAUUUUGUAGAAGUAUAUCGGCCUAAUUCAUACUAAAAAACUAGCUUAGGAGUUGGGGUUGCCCAAACCUACCAACACUAAAAAUUAAACAAUGAUGGAAAAUUUAAAUAAUUGUCAAAAAAUUGAUUAUAUAGAAGGCCAUAUGCCUAACUUAUACUCAAAAGUUAACUUAAAAUUUGAGGGUUACCCAAACAUUAUAUAUUUAACCCUCGAAUAAUCUUGAGUCGAUGUGGUAUAUUGCUUCUAACAUCACCCAUCAAGGGCAUACCAAUCCUUUUGUUUAGUCUUUAUCACGUGGUAAGGUAGUAUUCAUCCUCAAUCGAUGUGGGAUCAAUAUUGUCCCUAACACCCCGGUUGCAAGUAGAUUGGUUUUUUGGUUUGGCCCUUGUCACCUGGUAAGAUAGUAUUCAUUAUCAACCGAUAUGAUAUAUUGCCCCUAAGACCCUCAGUCACGAGCAAAUUGGUCUUUUAGUCUAGUCCUUGUCACUGGCUGAGAUAGUGUUCACCUUUAGUCGAUGUAGGAUAUUGUCCCUCCCCUAUCACAUGUAGACUAGUCUUUUAGUUUGGUUGUUGUCACAUGGUACAUUCGUGCAUGACAGUGGCGCUAAUAUCAUAUGGAAGUUCAUAAAUCUUUCUCAUACUUAAAAACUUGUUCAAUAGUUGAAGGUUACCCAAACAUUAUAUACUUAACACAAGUCUCAUCCUCAGUCGAUGUGAAAUAUUUUCCCUAACAAAUUGUCUCCACUUUGAUUAUUGAUUAAAAAAGAUUAAUUGUCAAUGAACAUAAAAAUUGAUUGACUCACUUUUGCUAAUUAAUAAUAAGUCGUCCUUAUUUGUGAUAUGGACGCUCAAAUAAUAGUAAAUUUUAUUACAAUAGGAAUGUUCAAAAUAAAUUUUAAAGUGCAAAUAACUCUACAUCUUUUCUUUUUAUACUCAACUAACUCUACAAUAUGUAAUUUUUUACAGGGUAAAAAUUUAUUUUGUCCUUAUAUUUUGAGGUUGGUUCUCAUUUAGUCUUUAUAUUUUUAAAAUACCUUAAAAUGUUUCUGUCGUUAAAUUAUUGAUACCCAUGUCAUUACCUUUUAUUCCUUUUGAAUUGUUUUUAUAAUAUUACCCUCUUACAAGAAUGUUUCUUUUUUUGGGGACAUUAAUAAAAAGAAAAAAAUUAAAUUACAAAUUUAACAUCCAAAAAAUAAAAUAGAGACAAAAAAAUAGAUAUUAAUUUUUCUAGGACACUCUACCGAAGAGUUAAUAUAUCAAUUUUUUUAUUAAUUUCCAAAAAAAUUGGUAAUUUAAUUUUAAAAUAUUAAUUUUUUUAUACAUAUGUGAGCUUCUAAAAAAAAUUAAUAUAUAUUCUUUUUGUUUUAAUUUUAUUUAUGAGGUUAAAUUGGUAAUUUAAUUUUUUCUUUUUAUUAAUGUCUAACGGAAAGAAACAUUACUAUAAGAGUAUAACAUUAUAGAAGCUAGCCAAAAAAAAUAAAAAAUAAUGACAGAAAUAUUAAUAGUUUAAUGACAAAAAUAUUCUAAGAUAUGUUUAAAAAAUAUAUAAAUUAAACAAUAAUAAUUGUAUAAUAUAAGAAUUAAAUGAGUUUUUACCCUUUCCUAUUGGAUGCAAUUCACGACCUACUGGUCUAGUAACAGAGAAUGAGACAAUGAGUUUGGACAUCGUCAUUUUUAUAACUCUGCUAAUAAUGCUAGAAAUUAUAUGUCAUGUUCAUACAAUGAGAUGCAACGUCAGUUAGGAGAAAGAGAUAAACUGGUGUGGGACAGGCUCACUAUUGCAAUACACGAGCUCUAUCAUUUGGCAUAUACAUAGGUUCUGUUUGUAGGGUCCACAAAUUUUUUGUUUCAAAUAAUUUGAUACCUCGAUCAGCGUUUAGUUUGUGGGUUCCACUUACAACACCCAUGAGAUCCACUGAAUGAUAGAACUUGUGUAGUCAGGUGCCCCACUUUAAUAAUACACUGAGGUGGUGAUGUACCCUAUACAAGUUUUCAAUACGGAAAAUUUUGUAUGGUCUAGUGCACUACCUCAAUAUGCUAAGGUGGUGCACGCGCCGCCCACAAAUUUUUCUGUAUUAGAAAUGGCCACCGAUAUUUAUCCAUUAUGUUUUGAUUUGUUUAGUUUUAUUGACAUAACAACCCUCAAGGCAAUUCCAUUAACGUAGAAAAUAGUCUUUCAUCACAUCCAUGUAGAGCCUACAUAUUAAAUAAUAUAAGACCAUCAUACACGAUCGAUAUUAUAGAUGAAAAAAAAUUAAGAGAUUCCUUACAUAAUAAUAAUGUAAGUUAUAUUUAUCAUAAUGUUGCAUUAAAUAAGUAUUAAAUUGUAUUAAAUAAAUUAUAUUUAACUUGUUUAGUGGAACUUUGUAAUUAAUGUAAUUUACAUAUUAUGUAAGGAUUAAAGUCCUGAAAUAAAAGAAGAAGAAACUUAUGAUCAAUCUUUUACGUAGGUGUGGCAGAAAAAAAAUAAUAAAUGCAUUAUGAUAUUAUGCAUGAAAUGAUUGAUGCAUGUGUCUACGGUCUACAUUUUGUAAAGAUCCAAAAAGAUAAAUGCAUGUGUUUUUGGUCCAAAAAAAAAAAACAAUAUGAAACUCGUGAUUCAAUCUUUGCCACAAAGUUUGUUGGUGGCUAUCCAAUGAAACACUAUUCGGCAAAAUAAUCAUUCACCCAACUUUUUCAUUUUUUUCUAAAAAUUAAUUAAUUAUUAUUUUAUUAUUUAGUAUAAGAGGUACAAUUAUUUACGGGAACAAAAUGAGGCUUAUCCUAAGCAAGAACAUAACAUCAGACGAAAGCGAAAGAGAAAGAGAAAAAUAAAUUUUAAACAAAUAGCACUCUGAAAGAAAGCAUGAAGCAUAAAUCAAAGAAACUGAUAACUGGGAAUCUACUAACAUCAUUACAAAGUAACUCUUGCAUAGCAAUAGGCGGCCUUUUCUAUCAAGUAAAAUCAGAACAGUGGAGAUCGGCCAUCGUACUAUUGCUGCGCAAGUGUGAGGGCAUCAAAAAUUCGCGGUUGAGAUGUUAAUUUUCCUUCACUGAAAUUAAUAUAUAUUAUUUAUUUUCUUACAAUUUUUAUAAUAGUUAAUAAUCUUUCUAACAGUAUAAUUUUACAAUAUUAUUCUUAUUUUUUAAAUACACUUUUAUUUAUACUUAUUAUAAAUUAAAUAAAUCAUAAAAAUAGAAAUUAAAAUGUAUUUUUUGAAGUGAACAAAAAAUUAAUAAAUUGACGAUUUUCUUAUACUUUUUUUUAAAUGUUUGGUUAUAAUAAAUAUAUCUUUUAUAUUUUCAAGUUAAAUCAUCAAGAAAAUAACCCAUUUAUACCUCUUUUUCUUUAAACAUUUGGUGGUAGGAAAAUUUUGGCUAUUAUAAAUAUCAUACAGUGUAAGUGGUACAUGUUAAUUUCAAUAAAUGAAAAAAUUGACAAUCUCUUAAAUUUCAUAUCUAAGAGUUUGACCUUACAAUUCUACCAAUGAUUUUUGAGACACCAAGGAGAACCCAAAGAACCUAUAUGUAGGAAACUAACAAUCACAACUGAAUCACUCAACCCAAAGAUUAUACGAUAUUUUGCGAUCCUCUAUCAAAGGCCAAUUCAAUUACCAUGAAAGCAGCCAAAAGCUCAGAAAAAUAUGCUGAAUUUUUAACCUCAUGCCAAUCCAAAACCACCCAAAUGAUUCCUAAAAGCUCCACCUCAAGCCAAUUGUACGGUUUCCUUUCGAUAAGCCGUCUGAAUCCGCCUUAAUCCAUCAAAGAUUGAGGUGGAUGAUUUAUAAUCAAACAAACUAAGAGGCUAGUUUGGGAUUGUGGUGGCUGAUAAAAUAAACUACUUCUAUUGAUACAGAUGAAAUAAGCAGCUGAUUAGAAAAGUAGCUUGGUGUUUGGUUAACUGUGUUAUUACGGUUGCUGUGAGUUUGAAAAGUAAAAUACACGUGUUUAAUAAAUUUUAUUACAAAAGUGUUAUUUUAUUAUAUAAUGAAUAAAAUAGACAAAAGUUUAAAUUGCCUUUUACAAUAGUAUGUUUAAUAAACUGUGUAGACAUGCCUUUUUUCUUUUUAAAGCACAUAAAAUUACAAAAAGUGCAAAAAACUCAAUUGAAUAAUAUCUAAUGAACUUCAUAAUCUGUCAUAUAAAAUAUAAUAAAAAUUCAUACUCAUACAUAAUCUAAAUAAAAUAAAAAGAAAUAUGCAUACUUUAACUUUAAACUUGUUAUAAUAAUAAUCCUCAAAUUUUUCAUUCUUGUGAUCCAGAACCAUUAAUAUUGUAAUACUCUUCUUGAAUGUCAUCAUCUCUUUCUAUUCCUUUAUCAAAUAUUGAAUUAGGAUCAUUUUCAAUGUUGUCAAAAUAAAGACCAUAUUGUGCAUGCCUCCUUGUAUAAUUGUGUAAUGUCAUGGCUGCAAUGACAUAAUUGUUAUUAGUGUAAUUUGAUUAUGGCAGUAAUAUAAUAUCUAAUGGUUCAUAUAUUAGAAAAUUAUGGUUGCUUAUAAAAAAUAAAUCCUUACUUGCUUUUAAAAGUUGUUAUCAAAAUAUAAAAAAUUACGAAAUAAGUAAUUUUUAUAAAAUUUAUCAAACACUAUUUUUGUAAAAAUUAUGAAAUAAGCAUCUUAUUGAGUUUCAUCCUUAAUUUAGAAAUAGUGCCUAAGUAACUUUGCCAAAAUUGAGAGGAAUUCCGAGGAAAAAAAGAAUAAUGUUUAGUAUAUUUAUAAUAAAGGACAAGGCUCAUUAUGUUCCCUUAAUUUGUGCUAUUUUUUAUUAGUUUUCAAUAAAUUCCUUGGAUCAUUUAAAAAAAUAUAUAUCAAUCAACACUAAAUUUUAAUAGCCCCUAGGGGUAACUAAAAAUAAGAUGGAUAACGCAAGUAUGAAAAUUUUCUAGCUCCAAUAAUUAAAUUAAAAUAACUAAUAAGUUGUGAUUUUUUCCUUAUGUCUAUAUGUUGGUGUGUAACGCGUAAUUAAAAAAAAUUAAUUAAAAUUGAAAGACCUUUUUUGUUGUGAUGGCAAGAUUAUAUGUAUAUUACCCAAGUGUCAUCCCGGAAAAUAAAAAAUAAAACCAUUCACAAGAGAUCUUCUUUUUGAAAACUAAAUCACUUGAGAUAUGGAACUUUUAAAUAAUCAUGCACAAAGGAUUACAAACCGUUGCAUUCUACGGUGCAUAUAGAUUUUGGAAGACCGUCCUAAUUUUCUUGUCAAGUUCAUCUGAAUUAAACAAUUUUCUAUCAUUUCACAAAUCAACUGGUUUACUUUAAUUUGUUCCUUUUUUGAAUCGACCGUUUAGUCCCAAAGACACAUCAAAUUCACCCAUGAUUUCUUGUUAUUUCUAUCAAUGAUAAUCUAGUGGGACCAUUCAUUUGACAAUAUGACAGGUCCGUUUAUUGCGUUUUCUCCGCACACUAGGACUGAAUGAUAAGGCAUCGUCCGAUUAUGUGGUGUGGAUUUUAAGGGCAUUUUAUCUCGUGUCUUAUUACUAUUGUUUGCAUCUUAUACAAGAUUGAUUUGGAUGAUGAGAAAGAUUUCAAAGAAUUAUUAGUUUGAAUCCACUUUUCUACCUCUAAAUUUUCCAUGGGCUGCAAUCCACGGCGCAUAUUGAACCAGGUGGGGUCUAAUAACUACUGAGAAUAAGAUCAUGUGUUUAUCAUUUGGGUUCGGUUAUAUUAGAUUAAUGGUGACGAGUGUCGAUCCCACGAGAAAGUAGAUUUUAAUUGUGUGUAGAAUUAAUUUUUCUAAAUGGGUGGUUAGAUUUGUGGUAAAGAUAAUUUGGAAUAUUCUAAAAUUUAAAUUAAAAUGAUGAUAAUAAAUUGAAGUGAAGAUCUAUUGAAAUGACGUACUUGGAUAUCUAGAUCCGCAUCAACAUGCACCAUGGGUUAAAUAUUCCUUAUUAAUGCUAAUUAAAUCAUGAGGGGGGAUUUCCACUCCUCAUGAACCACACUCUAAUCAAUAUAAUGCUUCGGGCUUAUCGUGCCAAAUAAUAAUAACCUUGUACUAGGGAGCCGGUGAAACUAGGGCGGUAUCUAGAUAAGAUUAUUAUUAUUUUUCGACGAAAAGUCAAAACAUCCACAAUAAUUAGAGGGGAAGAGAAAGUAAAUUUACCAAGUAAAUCCUAUGACACAUGUUGAGACUUCACCUUCAACCCAAGCUUGAAAGAAAAUUAGUUACUCAUAAUUGAACUAGGGGCAAAAUGAGAAUUUAUUAAAAUACAUAGAAAAUAUAAGAUGAAGAAUGAAUUACAGAAAAUGGAGCUCAAAAAUGGAUUCAGGGAUGCCAAAUUAGGGGGGAAGAGAUCCAUUUUUAUAGAUACAUUGAGUAAAUCAUGGCAAUCGGAUUAAAAACAAUUUGGACACUUAGGAUUGCGUCACGUCAUCAGUCAACAGUACGCAGUUUGACCACGUGGUUUGAACAGUCAACCGGCUUGAACAGUAACGCGAUUUGGUUGAAAAUAAUCCUGUGUAUAUGCAUGUAUCAUACGCGCGAUUUUUGGUCCACUAACAUGCUACCACGCCAUCGAUCAACAAUGCAUAAGAAUUUUCUCCAAUGGAAUUGUGACACCUCAUCAGUCAAUGCCACAUCGUCGGUCAAUGCCACGUCAUCAUUCCGUAUGUGUGAACAAUGUCGUGAACAGUAACAUGGACAGUACUGUACAUGUGAACAAUGUUAUUUUUCCUUUUAUGCUCCUCCUAAAGUUUUCGAUUGUCCUGAGUUCAAAAGUGAUGUCCGUUUUGCUAUCUGAAUUCUUGUUCAUUAUAAAAUGACCAUGAUGCCCCUAAAACACAUAAAAUACUUAAUUAAAAUAAAACACACAUAAUUAAAUUACAAGAGACUAAAAUACAUAAAAGUAGAAGUGUUAGUAAGACUUGAAAUAUAAAAUGACGAUUUUCUCCUUUAUAAAUAUACACUUUCUAAUACUCAACAAUAUACCUGCAAAUCUGGGUAGAAAUCAUUUUCUAGCAAGAGUUUCCAACCCUUUCUCACCAAUAUGAUCAAUCCUUUUAUCCCAUAUCUCAAUGUCAGAAUCUUUUACAGCCACAUUCACAUCUUCUUUCUUGAUCUUGGCUUCUAUAAGAUAGACAACGUUUACUUUCCUCUCCUUAGCUAACACUAGGGAGCCUUUGGCGAGCUUCCAUUUUCCUUCACCAAAUUGGUUAGUAUAGCCAUCAUCAUCAAACUUGCCUGUAGAGAUCAAAUUAAGGCGAAUAUUUAGUACAUGUCUAACAUCUUUAAGUAAUAACUUAUAGCCAAUGCUGGUCUCUAAGCAAAUAUCUUCUAUGCCCAUAAUUAUGGAUGCCUCGUCAUUUCCCAUUCGAACAUGCCCAUAAUCAUCAUUAGAUGUGAAGUAAUCACGAUGUGCAAUAACAUGAAAUGAAGCACUCGAAUUAAUUACCAAUCACUAGUAUGGAAAGUGAGAUUUACUGAGCUCUCAUCAUAAACAAUAUCUAAAUCACCAUCAACUAUGGCUGGAAUUUCUACUUUAGUUCCUUCCCCGCCUUUCUUGCUUUUUUGAAACAAGUGCAUCUGACUCAGAGGGAACUGCUUCAACAUUCUUUCUUUUCGAUUCUUCAUUCCGUAACCUAUCUGUAACUAUAUGCAAAGUUAAUUUUCCAUUCAGCGCUGAGUUAUUCACUAGCACUACUAAUAUCUCUCAACUGUCAAGCAAAAUUUGGUAAAAAAAGAGUUGAAGAGAUUAACCCAAAAGUUGGAACAACUUACAAAGAAUUUGAUAAAUUUUAAUGAAAAGUUGAGAUCUAAAAACAAAACUUGAUAUAUUUACCCAAAUGUUGGAAUCCAAUAAAAUGAGGGGGAAUAUAAAACCAAUAAAUGGUGGGAAAAUGAGUGGAAGAGCAUAACCCAGAAGUUGGAACGACAUGAUGAGAAUUUGAUAAAUUCCAAUGCAAAAUGGAUAUUUGAAAAAUAAACCUAAAACAUUCAUGCAAAUAUUGGAAUUAAGUAAAAAGAGUAGGAAUAUCAAACCAAAAUUUGGCGGGAAUAAGAGCUGAAGAGGUUAACCCCCAAGUUACUUUUAAUGGAAAGUAAGAAUCUAAAAAUCGAACCUAAUAUAUUUGCGCAAAAUGUUGGAAUUCGAUAAAAAGAGUAAGAAUGUAGUACCAAAAGGUGGUGGAAAAAUAAGUUGGAACAACUGACCAAAAACUAGAUAAAGUCUAAUGGAAUGUAGAGAUAUAAAAAAUAAACCUAAAUAUCCACUUAAAAAGUUGGAAUUUAAUGAAAAAAGUGAAAAUAUGGAACCAAAUGUUGGUGGAAAAAUGAGUUAAAAUAAGUUACCAAAAUUUAGAUAAAUCUUAACGAAAAAUAGGAAUUUAAAAAAUAAACUUGAAACAUGCACCGUAAAUAUUAGAACGUGACAAAAUAAGUAGGAAUAUAUCUCUUUUUUGACAUAAACUAUAAUAUUUUUAUAGUCUCUUGUAUUAUUUAUAAAUUUACAAUUAUUACAAUCUUUUGCCUCAUUUAAUUCCAUAUUUAUCUUUUUUUUCCUUUUUUUAUAAUUUUUUCACAGUAAAAAUAAAUGAAAUUGUAAUUUUAUUAUAUUAACCGGUUAUACCGGUUUUCUGCAUGCGCUGUAUAACAUACAGAGAUGCAUGGAAUGUUGACUCCCCAACAUAAUUAGGGGUUGCACGUGCCCUCACACAAGUUUAUCUACAGAAGAAAGGAUACGACUGCUAUGCACCAGGUCCAUUGACAGACUGCGUGGAAUUAAAUAUAUGGAAAAAAUAAUAACCGCAAGAUAUAAAGUACUAUACAAUCAAUGGUUGAUGUUGAUUAAAGGAAUCGCAAGAACUAGGUGGACCAGUUGAUGUUGUAGUUAAAAUGGGAGAGCUAGGACAUGGUGGCCCAGUAAAUCUGUAAAUGUGUCUGCUAUGUUUAUGUGAAAUCGGAAAAAAAAAAUGAAAUGAAGAGAAUAGAAAGAAAAAAAAGGCAACCCCUGCUCUCGUGAUUAGGGAUGGCAAUGGGGAGGGGAGGGGAUCAAUAUCUCCAUAUUCAUCUAUGAUAUUUUGUGUAUGUCCCCAUCCCCGUCAAAAUUGCUUAAGAGAAUCCUCAUCCCCUCCCCCGAAUAAUAACAGGGGAUUCCCGAGGGUCCCCGGUCCCCGAAUAACUAAUAGUCUAAUACAUUUUUUUUUUCGAUUUUAAAUUAAUCAUAUUAAAAUAAAAAAUUCAGAUAAAAAUAAAGUUCAAAAUAUAUCUUAUAUUAAUAUUGAUCCAUUACAAAGUCACAUUCCAAAUAUAAAUUAUUAAAAUAAUUAUCUUUGUCAACGACUCAAUCUUCAUAAUCCUACAAUAAAAAGAAAAAAAUAAUAAUUUUUAUAUCGGCAAUAAAAUAAAUGAAAUAAAUGUAGAUACUUAAUUAAUAUUUUUAAUAAAACUAUUUACCUCCUGCUCGUCUUGUUCUUCCUCGAGAAAUGUGGCAAAUUGAGAGAUAGCCUCAGAUUUCAAACUUAAAACAAUGAAAAUGAUAUAAGUAAAGUAACUUAUAAGUGCAAAUAUUAAUAACUGUAUAAUAUAAUUACAAUGUAAAAUAAACUCAUACUGCUAUUGUAAGCUCGUAACCAACUUUGACAACACAUUAAGGCCUCCCAUGUGCUUGGAUGAAGUUUGUUACGGUGUGGGCUCACAACUCUACCACCGGUGCUAAAAGAUGAUUCAGAAUCAACUGUUGUAAUUGGAAGUGCCAAAAUAUCUCUAGCAAUUCGAGCUAAUGUAGGAUACCUAUUAGCAUUUAAUAAUAUAAAUAUUUUGAUAUUUAUUAUUUUUAACAAUAUUUAUAAUUUUUUUUAUUUAUUUAUUAGUAAUUUUAAAAAUAAAAAUAAAAAUUAAAAUUAAAAUGGGGAAAUGGGUAGGGGAUGGGGAUUCCACCUCAUCCCUGUCCCCGUCUCCUCCCCGAAUAAAAAAUUGGGUAAAAAAUUAUCUCCGUCUCCUCCCCGAAUAAAAAAUUGGGUAUACAAUUAUCCCCGUACCCUCCUCGAAUAGAGAAAAUCCCCAAGGGUACCCGUCCCCAUGGGAAUUUUUGCCAUCCCUACUCGUGAUGGCCUAUGCAAAAAUUAAAAAACAAGAAUCUUAACAAGAAUAUAUAUGCCAUUUAUUGACACUGAAUUUUUGUCUAUAAUAUUUUAUAGGGUGGUGAUAUUUUUACCACACAAAUUCUAUAAAUCCACUGCACUUUUAAAAAUUAAUUAUAAAAGAUUCACAUUAUUUUUAAAAAUUUCAAAUAAAGAAGAAUUCUAAAGAAUUAAUCAAUUAAAUCUAUCUUAAUAUAUAUUUUUUAUAUUUUAAUUUAUUUUUUUGUGAUUUAGAUUUUUUUAUUACAUUUGACUAUUAAGAUUGCUUUAGUCUAAAUCGAAAUUGAUUAUUUUACCCUUAAAAAGUAAACAUACCAAAAGUUUACUUUAACAUUCUUUUUGUUUUAUACAAAAUUCAUUAUUUCCAAAUGGUCAAUUCUACUUUAUUAGUAUGAUUAUUAACUUUUAAUUAAACUAUGGUAAUAUUUUUAUGCAAAAUACUCAUGUAAACUAUUAGACUAUUAUAUACAAGUAAAAUAUUGAAAAUCAUUAGGCUGCAAUUAAAAAGUUAGAUUAUAUGUCACAAAAUUAAGUACCUAAAGUAUUACAUAGAAGAACACAUUUUUCUUAGGGCGAUUAGGUCAUUUUAUGUCAUAAAGUAAAAUAAUUAAAUAGAACUUAUAUUAAAGCAACUUUAAUAGUAAAAAUAAACCUAAGAAAGAAAAAAAUAUAAGAAUGAUUUAAUAGAUUAAUUAUACAAAUAUUUUUUAUUUGUAUUUAUUAGAAAUAAAGUACAUUUAUUGUAAAUAAUUAUUUUAUUUCCUCUUUACAGUCAUAAAUUUUUUUCAUUAACCUUUUAUCCUUCAUUUUACCCGUUUAAUUCGUCUUUGCAUGAUUUCAAUUUCAGUAUUACUAUAUCAAAUUAGGAUACCAUUGUAAUAUAAUUUAACUUUGAUAUGCACUAUGGCCUCGCCCAACGCCUAUUCGGGAUCCAAUAUGACUAGUCUCAAACACCAAAUUAGCAAAUUAUUAUGACCAAAGGAAUGAUUACAAUAGUUUGUAAACAGGUAUGGUUACUUUAAUUACACUAUGAAAUUAUCAAUUUAUUCAAUGUUGAAUUGAUCAUAGAAAUAGAACUAGUUGGAAAUGCAAUUACUUUGGCGAUAGUUGUUUUUCCAUAUAAAUUAUAAUAGUGAAGCACUUUCUUAUCAUGAGCUUCUUUUCCACUCAAAAGUCUCAUCUAAUUUCGAGCCAGCUGAUUGAAAACUUUUUUCAAAUCUCAAUACCCACAUGUACUUUUUUCGAACAUUUUAUAUCGUUUAUGCAAUAUCACCACACACGCUACAUUGAACCAAGCCUCACUGAAUACAUAUUCAUCGGCAUAGGAUUGAAAUUAUCAAAAGAAUAUUUUUUUGAACCAAUUCAGUGAAAAAAGAUCAAAAAAUAAAUUUAAUCGUACUAAGGUUCAAUUGUUCAAUGGCCAUUUAAAUUAAUAAAUAAUAUUCAUGCCGAACACUAACUAAGAGAUUAACAGUUUUUACCUCUAGAACAUUUUCAUUAACAUCACUUUGAUUUUCUUCAUCAAGUUUCAUAAUACCAACUCCAAGCCUCUUGCAUCCAAAUCCCACUCCACAGUCUCAUGCUCCACCUGGUCCAAUUUGUUUCUCUCCAUUUAUUUCAAUUCAACUACCAUCCACUAGAAGAAAUUAUAUUAGUCUAGGUUGUGACUUGAAAUAUAUUACUUCAAAAAUAGGAAAACAAAUUUGUUGAAUUUUAUUGUUAAAUAAUUUAGUAAUGACAGAACUAAAUUUGAUCCUAUUUGCCUUUGCAAUGUUAUUAUAUUUACUUGUAAUUAACAAUAUAUAUAAAAAAAAUCAUAUUAAUACGUUAUAUUUAUCUUCAGUUAAAUAUAUAUAUAUAUAUAUCAAAGUACAAAUAUGAGGAACAUUUCUUAAUAAAUUUGUGACUCAAUGUUUAGUACUUGUGACAUGGAAAAUAACACUUUUGAACAUUAAAAAGCAACAGUUGUGAUGAUAAGAGACUUAACAACAGAACUUGUGACAAAGUGUAAAUAACUUGGAACAUUAACACAAACAGUGAGAAUUGUGAAUUCAACCGGAAUAACCGGUUACUUUACAAUCAUUAUUGGACAUGUGUAACUUCAACAUGUCAUGGCAAAAUCAACCAUACAUACACUAGAUGAAUAGUAGGCAGACCCUCAGAGAAAUGGUCAACAAUUAUUUAUCCUAGGGCAAACUUCAAGUUAUAUGUAACUUACAACCACUGGUAUAAACAAUAAUAAUGUUGAGAUUCACUCAUAUUUUAUAUAAAUAGUUAUAAAUUACAUUACAUGUAACUUAGAAUCCUUAUACUAUUUGUUUUGUUUUAUUCACAUAACAAUCCGUCAAGUCAAUUGGGACCCACUGAGAAAAGUCGAAGAAGAUUUUCGACGCAUAACGCUUAAGAGAAUCACGUGAUGUAGCGAAAGUCACAUUGGGACCCACUUGCGUAGAAAUUAAUCCCUCAUCACAUCCAUGUGGAGCCUACGUAUUAAAUAAUGCAAAAACCAUCGUACAAAGUUAAUAUUGUAGAUGACGAGAUCCCUAACUAAGUUAUAUCACUUAUUUGGGGCCGCCUAUUUGGUAUAAUUUUGUAAUUUAGAUAACUUACAUCAUUAUUCAAGGAAUCAAAGUCCUAAAAUAAAAGAAGAAGACACUUAUGAUCAAUCUUUUCAGUAGGUGUGGUAGAAAAAAUAAAUGCAAUAUGAUACUAUGGAUGAAAUGAUUAAUGCAUGCGUUUACGGUCCACAUUUUGCGAUUAUCCAAAAAGAUGAACAAGGAAAAGUACAAAACACAUAAUUGAAUUGACAAAAGGAGAUAAUAGCAAUAAGAAACUCGUGAUUCAAUCUUUGCGACGAAGUUUGCCGGUGUCUAUCCAAUGAAACAGCAUUCGGCAAAAUAAUCAAUCAUCUAACCUUUGGAGUUUUUCCAAAAAUUGAGUUUUUAUUUAUUUAUUUUAUUACUUAGUCUAACACUAAUCUAACUCCCUCCACAUUACAGAAUUUAAACUCUAAAUCUCUUAUGAUAUAGGACAUUAUUUUAGAAUUAUAAGAUUUUUAUUAUUUUAAUUAGAAUUAACUAUGGUAUGUGUUUAGUUUUUUAUUUCUAUUAUAAUUGUGAUUUACUUCCCUUUUUAGUUAACUUAAGAAAGUAGGUUUACUCUAUUAUAAAUAGAGAAGUCCUGUUAUUGUAACUUUAACAUUUGAUCAAUUAAUAAAAUUCCUCUUUAUAAUUCCCUGUAGAAUUAUCUAUCAAAAAUCUCUCUUGCAAUGAUGGAACUUGGUAUCUGGUGAAGUCGCACAACUUGAGCCAUAAAAACCUUGGCCACUGUCAGAGUUGCAUAUGGAUGUUUCAAAGCAACGAAGUGUGCAUAUUUUGACAGACGAUCCACGACAACCAUGAUGACAGUGUAUCCUUGUGAUGUUGGAAGCCCAUCUAUAAAAUCCAUAGAAAUUGAGGUCCCGAUUUUGUCUGGAAUCUAUAAAGGUUGAAGAAGUCCUGCUGGCUAGAGAUUCUGUACGUUACAUUAUUGACAAACUUCCCAGUGCCUUAUGAAUUUCUUGAUCUUUGCACGUUACUACACCAUUCAUUAUUGGCUUUUCGUAAUUUUACUAAAUAAUAAUGUCAGGCCAAACAUGAAAGAGUUUCAACAUUCAAUUAAUUUGAAAACUCAAUACGAAACUCAAAAUUGCUAAAAUAAUACUUAAUUCAUAUCCUUAAUAAUAUAAGAUAAUUCAAUUAUCAUGUAAAACCAUAUGCAAAUGUUGAAAAUUGGACUACAGUUUGAAAUAUCAUGUGAUAUAUCUCAUUUGACCUUAGAUUAAUGUAUCAAGUGCCCAUAAAAUAUGGUUUACUUUAUUAGUCUACAAAUUAGCUUUUAUUAAUAUUUAAUUUCACAUAUCAAUUCAUAAUACAUUAUGGUAAUUACGACUUUAAUUUCCCACCUAUUAAUAAAUAUGGGUAAAUAGAAGUACUGAAUAUGUGUGUGUGUGUCCAUUACUUUAUAUAUAUAUAUAUAUAUAUAUAUAUAUAUAUAUAUAUAUAUAUAUAUAUAAAGCUGGAACUAGAAGAGGUGAUGUGGCAAAACUAUUUCUCAUCUUCUUAUAUUCUUUAUUAUUUAAUAAAUUUGUUGAGAUUAAAAAAUAAUUAUAUUACAAAAUAUUAAAAAUAAAAAAUAAUUAUUAGAUUACAAAAGAUUACAAAAUGUAUCAUUUUUCCUCCAUCUAAAUUUCGUGACAGAAGUUAACAGAAUAUUAACAAAAUAACAAUUUUACCCCCUGUAAAAUUACUAUUUCACCCUAAUUAAAUGAAAAAAAAUUAAAUUACUUCAAAAUUUCUUUGCAAUUUAGACAUUAGAUAUUAAGUUAAACAAAAUAAUUUGGAAUAUUUUUACCUUUUUUUUCUCUCUUUCUAUCGUGUUUAAAUGACGUUGAUUUUUGCUACGAAGGUGAAAUGACAACCUAUGACAUCAACAAGGUUAUAACAAAAUGCAAAUGUAAGUGAAAAAGUGCAAAAAAAUGUAACUUUUAAGAAAAAUCAACAAAAAAAUGUGUAUUUUUGAAAAAAUAAAAAAGAAUGGGUGGUCGGUGGAUACUUUCUCUUGAAAAUAUUCAAGAGACAACCACUUAAGUGAUGACUCUUUUCAGCUGCUCAUGCAAUCUCGACAAAUUAAGAUAAUUAAGUAUAUUCAUUGAUAAAGCUCAGCGAAAGUCUAAACAAACUAUGUGACUUUAGGUCAUAAAAGCACAGGCAACAUGCAUUACAGGGGAAGAAUUUGAUUCUAAGUAGAGAGAGCAAUAUACUAAGAGAAGAGAAAUAUAGUAAUUAGAGUAUCUCCUUAUUAUUAUUGAAGGUCCCUCAACUUGUGCGCCAUACAUUUUGAGUGUGGUCCCUUUUUCUAUAUUUUCCUAAUUUAUUUUUCCACAACUUUCUUUUUCGUGUAUCUUUUUACAGGCAUUCUUAUCUAGAAUCAUCGAGAAAAUGUAAUACUUUUUUUUUCUAGCAUCUUGUUACUUUAAAAAAGGAUAUUAUCAUUUUACUACAAAAGUUUUACUGACAUCUCAUGUUAGUACCAAAGUUUGCCGAAAAGUAUAUUUUACUACCAAAGUUUUGCGUCGUUAUCAAUUCACUAUCAUUCCGUUAAGAAAAAGUUAAUAUUUAACAGAAAUGGAGUUAAAAGUAGAUUUUAUUUCCAAGAGUUUGGUAGUAAAAUGAUAAUUUUCCAUAAAAAUUCAUUAGUAAAAUGAUAAUUUCCCUAAAAACUUGGUAGUAAAAUGAUAAUUUAUUUAUAAAAUUAACAGACAAUUUUACUAUUACAGCUGCAAAUGUUUUUGAUGCCCUUAUGAUAUCAACAAAUUUUUAACAUUGUUAACGAAAUGGUUGUGAAUUGAUAACGAUGCAAAACUUUAGUAAUAAAAUGUAUUUUUCGACAAAUCUUGGUACUGAUGUGAUAUGUCUGUAAAACUUUGAUAGUAAAAUGAUAAUCUCCCUUUUAAAAAAGAUGUGGACUCAAUUUUUUAAAUCUAUUGGAGAGUAAAUAUCAAGAGUCACAGCAAUACUCGCACUAUACCUAAUGAGACAGCGAAAGUGGAAAAAAAAUGAUUGAGUAAAAUUGGUUAAUUUGAAAGAGAAUUUUGUAGAACAGUGAAGGUCAGAACUGAUAAAGAUGUAGGUUAUUUAACGAGGUGAAAAAAAAAUGCAAAAUGAUAGGUGAGAUUUGGGAGAAAAAUGAAAUUACUUUGUUAUUAACUUGAUCGUGUUAAGAAAAAUAAAUAAAAGAUAAUUGUGGGUCUGUUACCCCACCCGCCUCAACCCUGUAUCCGCACUUGCCGACAGAAGCAACGGCACGAUCUCCAAAGAUCAUGCUUGCAGAAUCUCAUUUGCGGCUCGUUUAUAACAUUUGUUGGGUAAAAACCUCCCCUGAGGUUUGGGUUUGUUGCAAGUAGAUGGCGAGAAUUGGUUUAUUUGUAAAAAAUCUCCUACCAUAAGUUAAUUUUAACAUUGACCGUUAGUUGACUGUGCAAAGACAAUAUUACCCUUAAUAAUAAUUUGUAGACGGAAAUAACUAAAAAAAAACCAAAAUUGUUGGCUAUUUUACCCUCUUUAAAUUAUUGAUAUUUUCUUAAAGUUCCUACAAAAAAGAUAAAAUUAAAAAUUUGAAAAAUCCUCUUUAAAUUAUUGAUAUUUCCUUAAAGUUACUACAAGAAAGAUAAAAUUAAAAACUUAAAAAUGAAAUAGUCAUAAUCUUUACUUAUGAUAUUGUAAAUCUUUGGAAUUAACAAGGAUAAAAUUGUCAAAAAAUAGGGUUUGUGCUUUUCGCGCCAACAAUUUUAGUUUUUUUUUUAGUUAUGUCAGUUUACAAACUAUUGUUAAGGGUAAUAUUGUCUUUGCACAGUCAACUAACGAUCAAUGUUAAAAUUAACUGACGAUAGAGAGUUUUUUAUAAAUAAACAGAUUCUCGCUAUCUACUUACAACAAGCCCAAACCUCAAGGGAGGUUUUUAAAAAUUACCCAACAUAUGUUAUGUAAUAUGAAGCAUUUUUGCUUUCCUAGUCAGUCACCAUCCUGUCUCGUGGCAUCGUUUCGUAGCAGCCUGCAAAUUCUUUUAAAAUUUUAAAAAUGUAAAAUUACUUUGUGAAGUAGGGGCUGAUGUGGCUUAUUCUGACCCUUAAUUCGCAGACGAGUUUGUGUUGCAAAUUAGUGGGGUAAUGCUCUGUUACAUACAUUAAUAUAAGAAUAUUGCUACAAAUAGAUUUAAGUAUGGCUUAGUUCUGAAAUUGUUUUAAAUUGGUAGGUGUACUUUUUAUGUUACAUAUAAUGCAAGAUAGUCUUAUGCCAAAUUAGUGAUUCAACACUGUGUGAUCGACUAGAUAUAGAUUCUUCGGGCUGUUCGGUCCUCUAAUAUUUGUUUUUCAAUGUGAUAUAUGUUCAGCGGACAUUUUUCAACGCCAUGUAUUGUGAAAUACAAAAGCGGAGCUCACUUUAUAGUAAUAAAUUAUAAAAUUUAUGGUUAUGUUAGAAUAGAUUUAUUAUUCUUCGGGCUGUUCGGUCCUCUAAUAAUAGAGUAUGAAUCUCAUCUAUACACAUAAAGUAAUAAAUAAUAAAAAAUUUAUUAUAAUUUUAAUUAUAUAAUUAUAAUUAUAAUUAUAAAUAAAUAUUUUAUCAUAGUGAAAUUUCAACAUAAUCGAACCCAAUUACAAAACAAGUUUAGCAUGUUUUGGUUAUUCCACAAAAUAAAUUAUAAAAUAAUUUCUGAAACAAAUUCCAGACAUUUCUCAACAUGUAAUAAUUGUACUUUUAUCUACUUUUUUCUUGGUCCCACCUACUUUUUCCUCUAUCAUCUCCUUAGCGUUUCUCUUUCUACUUUCUCUGAUAUCUCUUUGCCAUUAUUCAUCUUUCGUCCUCAUAUCUCAUUCUCUUAACCAACUUUUCGGAUUUUCUUUUCUAAUUUUUCAUUCUUUUUUUAAUAUUAUCUUUUAGGUUCAUCUGACACUCUCUCAUAAAGAGAAUCAAGCCUCAAUUCCAAGUUAAAUUUUCUCAUCACUCCCUCUUUUUUCUGUUUUGCGUGUAUUAUUUCUAUGUUUUUUUAAACUCUCUUUGUAUUUCUUUUCAAUCCUUAAAAGUCUUAAUGGGAAAUAUAUGAAUGCAAGAGGAAUUCACAAGGUCUAAAUGAACUGAAUGAUAUGUUUCUUAAUAGAGAUAUUAUCAAAUAUUCACUAAAAUUUUUUUUACAUAUCGAUUUAUCUUUAAUAUUUUUUUGAUAAAUAUAUUUUACCGUCUAAUAUUUUUGUUAUUAUCAUUUCACUAAAAUUUUAACAAUGUUAAAAAUUUAUUGAAAUCACAUUAGUAUUUAAGAAAUUUUAAAAUGACAUUAUUUUCCCAUUGUUAUAGUUCUUUUUCAAAUUUUGAUUUUCUUUUCUAAACAUCCGAUUUAGGGUCUUUUUUUAUUUUCCUUAUUUUAUUUAGUAAAAUUUUAUUAUAUUGAAAUAUUCCCAUAAUAGAAUUUUAAGUUUUCUAAGAAAGUGAUAGUAAUUAAUUUUUUUUUUGCAUCCGUAAACAAACUAAUUUAUGAUUUUUUUUUCACUUGUACAAACAAAUUUCACCAUAUUAGCCCAAUUAUAAUUAAAUCAAUUAAAUAUAGUAAUAUAAAUUAUAUGAAUUAUUUUGGGGGUUUAAUUAUAAUUGAGCUUAACAUGACAAAAUUUAUUUGUACAAGUGAAAAUAAUAUCAUGAACUAUUUUGUUUAUAGAUACAUAAAACUUUUCAAUUACCGUUAGUCUAUUAAAAAAAUCUAGAAUUCUAUUUUGGAAUACUUUAAUAUAAUAAAAUUCUAAUAACUGAAAUAAAAAAAAACCAAAAAUAGCUCAUAAAUCAGAUGUGUAGGGAAAAAGAUAAAAGUUUGUAAAAGAAUUAAGAAAAUAAAAAAAUAACUUCAGCUUGAAAUUUCUAAAGUACUUUUGUAAUCUCAGCAAAUGUUAAGAUUUUAGUGGUAAAAUUAUAACAGUCAAAACAUUUGGUUACAAGAUAUAAUUGUCAAAAAACUUUUACGGUGAAUUGAUAAAUCAUAAAAUUUCUAGUGAGUAUUUAGUAAUAUCCCUUAUUAAUAAGUACAGCUCUUUAAUUAGUAUUCUCCUAUUAAAAGUAGUUUCAUUUUUUUUUAUUCAAACAAAUAUUAUUAUAUAUGAUAGGACUUCACUGUGGCUUGUGGUGUGAUUAUACAUGUAAUACAUGAAUAGAUAAUUAUUUUUUUCAAAACAUGCAUGCGUUCUAAUUUUUUUUGUAAUUAUUUAAAAGUUUAAUUUUUAAUUAAGGAGUUCAAACCAAUUAAUCUUAUAUUAAUUUUGUUAUAUUAACAUUUUAACUACAAUUAUAGUUUUAUUGUUUAGUAAAAAUUAUUUAUGAAAAUAGUGCUAUCAAAUAUAUAUCUAUUAUAUGUUAAAAAAAACGUAAUCAUUAUUAUACAAAUUCAAAUCUUGAGUGAAUUAUAAUAGUUUAUUAAUUUUUUAUGGUCAAGUGAAUUGUAUAUAAAUCGAUCAUUAUAUUUAUUAUGAAUCUAUUAGACUUUAAACAUAACAGAUAUAGUCAUUUCUUAUAAAAUUUUGUUCAACCUUACGUGAAAAAGCAUUUAUCAUCAUAAAUUUAAUAAAGAAAAGACAAAGCUAAAAUAAAAAAUAUUUUUUUUUAAAUUUCAUAGAACUGGCUAAAAAUUUCUAAGGUACUACUCACUUGUGUUAAUAGCAGUAGACGAAAAAUUAAAUUGGUUAAAUGUAUUGGCCAUUUCAGUAAAUCUAUGAAUGCAAAUUUUUUUUUUGUUUUUUUUUUUAAUGUAAGUAGUGAAAAUGGAUUAAAAAUAUGGCAAACACUAACUUACAGCUGCUGUGAAGCACACACAAAAUGACAAAAUUAUGCGUGAACAGUAAUAAAUGAUGGGUCCCGCAUAAUUUGUGUGUGCUGUAACUUACAGCCGGCUGUAAGUUAGCAGCUCCCUAAAAAUAUUUUAUCACAUGGUUCACACGUCUGACCAUUUUGGUGCGCUGUGCAAGCUCGUCACUCUAUGUCUCUAUGAAGCUACCGGCACAGCAGCUCUUUUACCCAUCUAUCCUCAACUACGUUUGCUUUACACCAAGUAUUUUUCCCAAAAUGCCCUCGUCUCCCACCAGGCGGAAGCCGCGGAACUGCCUAUGGAUUCCGAUUCUCCUGUGCCUAUUCAACGAACUUUCUUUCGCUGAAGCCGAGUCAUCGACGAUUCUUCUACCGAGUCAACAGCACAAUGCUGACUCAGUGAGUACUACCUUCUCUGCUCAUUGUCCUGCUCCCGAUCCGAGUUUGAAUUACCGGCCGGUAAUCGGUAUUCUAAGUCAUCCGGGCGACGGCGCUUCGGGGAGGCUGAGUAACGCCACCAACGCGUCUUAUAUCGCCGCGUCGUACGUGAAGUUCGUUGAAUCAGGAGGCGCUCGUGUCAUCCCUCUCAUUUUCAAUGAACCUGAAGAGAUUCUUUUUGAGGUAAAUGAAAAAAUAAUUAUAUAAUUUAAUGUUUUGUCUUCUUAAAUUUGUUAUUAAUUGUCGUUAAUUAGUUGAGUUAAUCUGUUGCGUUAUGUUGUAUUGUGUUGCGUGUUGCAGAAGCUUGAAUUGGUGAACGGUAUACUGUAUCCUGGCGGUUGGGCUAAAAACGGUUUGUACUACGAUAUUGUUGAAAAAAUUUUCAAGGUAAAUUAUAUUAAAUGUUGUUAUAUUUAUUAGAGAGUAAUGCAUGAUUUAUGUGGCAGAAGCAUGAAUGUGUACAUUUUUUCAAGUGUGCAGAAGCAUGCGUGUUAGCAUUUUUGUGUCAAGCACGUUAAUGGUGUAUUUUCUUAUGUGUCUUGAAAUUUCGUACUUAGUACAAGCUUCUUAUUUUCUCCGAUUUUGCAGAAAAUUUUAGAGAAGAAUGAUGCGGGCGAUCAUUUUCCAGUAUAUGCCAUUUGCUUAGGCUUUGAACUUUUAUCAAUGAUCGUUAGCGAGGUAAUUUCUCACCCUUAACCCGUUUUGAUUUUCUGGUUGGUUGGCAUAGCUUUCCAAUUUUGUGUCUGAUUAACUUGUGCUCAUUUUAGCCUUGAAACAUGUUUUGUUCGUCUCUUGAUUAAUAUCCUGCUGUUCAAUUUCAAUUUGGAUUUUGUAUGCAUAUUAGUGUGUGUGCUUCUUAUGGCUUUACUGUAUGCUUUUAGUUUGUCUCUUGCGUUAGAAAAAUGUCUUUUACUGCUUACAACUAUUAUAAUAUGAUGGUACUCUUUCCGGCAAUGCUGAUUGCUUUUGCUGUUCAUUAUUUUUAUUUUUACUUUUUUCUCUUCCUCAACAAUAGGACAGAAACAUUCUGGAAACAUUUGAUGGAGCAAAUCAGGCAUCUACCCUCCAAUUUGUCAAAAACAUUAAUAUUGAAGGAACAUUGUUCCAAAGGUACAUAGUUUUCAUUGGUCUUUAAUUGAUUUUAAUGUUGUUACAAUUAAUGAUGCUAGGAGCCUCUUCACAUCUAACUUUCUGAGCAUGCUUACCAUUUUUUGAUUUUCAAACACUUUGACUCAAUAUUGAUAAUGAACCCGUACACAAGAUUCAAAAGUUUCUGGACAGUCUUGUCAUGAGUAGGAAAAAGAUUCCAAGCUGUCUUUAACAUUUUUUGCAGCUUAAUCCAGAUUGUUUUAUUUUCUUCUGGUAAUAAGCUUCCAGAAUGACAUGAUUUCGCAACGUGAUAGUCGUGCGCAUUUUGCAGAUUUCCCCCGGAGCUGCUUAAGAAGUUGAGUACGGAUUGCCUGGUUAUGCAAAACCACCAUGUAAGAAAAUUGUGCUUCAUGUAUGGUUAACUUGCUUUUCAUUUGUGUACCUAGAUUCAAUUUCUUAAAAAUAUGUUAAACUUUAUGUUCUAAAACAACCAUCUUUUUAUUGUUAGAUUCAAUUCUCAGUUUUAAUUUCCCUCAUCUUCUGUAAUAAUGCUAGUCACUCAUGAAUAUCUAGCUCAAUGGAAGUGUUGGGUCUAAUAAGCGGGCUUUUUUGGUAAUCCUGCUUUGUCGUGAGCCUCUUUGAUUCAUGGAAGAAUUCCAUUGAUAUGGACUUCUUGUACAAUUGAUUCCUUAGAUCAGUGCACUUCAAUUUUGGGAGACAAUGGACUCUAAAAAUGUUUAGAUUUAUUAAAUUAUUACGGAUGAUUGAGUAAAUAAUUUGGUUGAUCUGAAAUUUUAUGUGUUGUACCAUUACAACAGUAUGGCAUUUCACCUGAAAGAAUGCAAGCAAACCAGGAGCUAGCUAAGUUUUUUAAGAUCUUGACAACAAGCAUGGAUGAAUAUAAUAAGGUGCAAAAGUAAAUAUUCCUUUGUUGAAUUUAUUUUAUAUAUAAACACAGACUCAGGAUAUAUGCCUGAAUGCUUGAUAUUUUAAUGGCAAUUUAUCCAGUGUUAUCAAUUCUAACUUCUGUUAUUAAUGAUUAUCAGGUCUAUGUCUCGACAGUGCAAGCUUAUAACUAUCCUGUGACCGCCUUCCAAUGGCAUCCAGAGGUAUUAACUUCAAUGCUCUUAACAGUGAUUUUAGCUGCACCUCAUUUACAAAAUCGAUAAGCUUAAUAUGGCAGACUGAUCUGGUUAAUCAAACCUUUUGAGCAACAUUUGUGUGCUAAACUCUAGAUGUUUGUGAUGUUGUGGACAAGCUGUCUGGCAACACUAUUUACUUCUCUCAAGAUUAUUUGAUUUCAGGCCAAGCUACAUUUUUUUAUUUGGUAUUCAUGUCAAGUGUUACAUCUUUCUGGUCAAGCUCUGUUUCUGUGUGGUUCUAUGAGAAAAUAUUUUUUUGUAUUCAUCGUGUUUCUCCAAGUCAGGUAUUUCCUAAACAAAUUUCUUAGUAAUGCAACUGAUUCUGUUUAGAGGAAAAGACUGACCAAAUAUGCUGCAGAAAAAUGCUUUUGAAUGGGGGCCAAAAGCAAUUCCACACACAGAGGAUGCCAUUCGGGUGACUCAACAAGCUGCAAACUUUUUUAUAAGGUCAGUUCUUGUUACCUGCAUGAUUGUUUAUGUUACGAAUUUCAUUGUUAAGCAAGUGCUGGAAUUUCAUUGAUAGUUCUUCUAUUAUUUUCUUUUCUUAAUGCCAUAUUUUAUUAAUAUAUAUGAAGGAAAAAUAGAAAUAAAUAAUAAUAUAUUGUCAUUCGCUUUGGUUAUUUAAUAAUCUUGUCUUGUUAACAAAUACCAUUAGCAUACUUACAUAUAUGGACAAUUGAAUAUGCAAACGAAUUUAUAGUAAAUUACAUUAAUAGUUGUGUUCAUAUCACUUUGAUGACCAAAACUGAUUAGGAACACCACGUGGUUAAUUAUGGGGUUAUCUGUUCAGUAAAAGAAAUUCAAAUUAGGCCUCUACUUUUGAAUGUACUCAAACAGUAAAAUAAUUAAAGAGACUGAGGCUAAUAAUAUCAAACUCUACAUCUUUGCUGCAGCGAGGCUAGGAAGUCAUCAAACAGGCCACCUGCUCGAAAAGUACUUGACAACCUCAUUUACAAUUACAGUCCCACCUACUGCGGGAAGGCUGGGUAAGCCAAUAGUGUCUUUUCUCAGCACUAGUUCAACAUCCAUAUUCCACGUGAAUUUCUUGACUUGAUUGUUAUGUAUAUUGUCUUCACUGCAGGAAGGGAUACGAUGAGGUUUACAUCUUUACCUAACUUCGAUCAGUAAUUCUGAGAAGGUUGCCAGUUGUAAGUUGUUGGAAAUAUAGCAAGUGAUGUUAUUGUAACAAACUAUGUUAUUGUUGUAACGAACUUUGCUGUAUCGUAUGAAGCUUAUCUUGGGUUUGUUUUUAUACCUUCCUGUCAGACAGUUUGCAGAUAGUUACAUCAAAUGCCAACAGUUUCAUGUUAUUCCCAUCCAAAUAACAAUGAGAUACUUUGACAUGUCAUGGAAGAAGAUGGAUUCAUCAAGGAACUAAGUAUUACAAAAUCAGAAGACUAUGUCUACUUCAUCAAGAAAAAGUUGCUUUAACUCAGUUGGAUUGAGGACCAACGCUUCCAAAUGUAUUGUUUGAAGUGUCAAGAAUUGUGAGAGAUGUCAAAAUGAAACUAGUUUGGACAAACGGGAGAUUUCAAAUGGAAGCUAACCAUCGAAUUAGGGAGAAGGCUGAAACCUGAAGACAUUUGAGAGUAAUCAAAGCUGUUGAAAUUCAGGGAUUAAUCGACUAACUUCAUUUCAUUUAAACCUUGACAUAUUAAUCGACUAACUUCAUUUCAUUUAAACCUUGACAUAAAAUUUACUGUUAACAACUAGAGCGUGUAACUUGAUGAGAGUAGGAUGCUUGAAGUUCGUAAUGGAGGAUGAUGAAAACAGAGAAACCCAGGAGGAACAGAGUCUCUCCGACAUAUUUUUUAAAGAAGCAUGCAUUUCCAAGAUAUCAAUUUGUAACUUGCACUACACUUUUGACAAAAUUAUAGAAUGGCUUUGUACUACUUGCAUUUGCCUACACUGAAUUAAUUUCGUCUGCCUUCAAGUUUCUUAUUCUGUCUUCUCACCUUUCUAUGGUUUUUUCCAUCAACUAUGCCCAUAAUCCAUUGAGGGUUUCCAGUGGAAAGUAAAAUGUAUCCCAAGAUCAUUCCAAACACAGUUCCGCAUACGUAACCCAUCAACACAACUUUCCAACCAAAUCCAGUUUCAGACUCUGAAUCAUCUUCUAACACCGAGGAUGAUUGCGGCGGCUCAUCAUUGCUGCAAUUUUUCGACAGUGGAAAUCCGCAUAAUCCCAAGUUUCCACCAUACGAAUCACUCGAAAAGGUAGCAAAUUGGUUGCCUUCAGGUAUACGUCCCUCGAGUUUGUUUCGCGAAAGGUUCAGAACUGCCAGAAAUGUCAGUCUUGUUAACUCCCUUGGAAUUACCCCAUCAAGCACGUUCGAAGAGAGGUCUAAGGACUCUAGAUCCGUCAAAUCUCCCAAUGAUGAAGGGAUGUUGCCUGAUAGAAUGUUUUGAGAAAGAUUCAGGAGCCGGAGUGAAUGAAGCUUCCCCAUUAGUUCAGGAAUUUCUCCGUGAAAGCUGUUCUUUGAAAGAUCAAUGGUAGUGAAAAUAGUAAGAAUCUUCAUUAGUUUCACCUCCUACCGCUUUAUUAUCAGCGUCACAGAAUCUUCAUAGUAAGUUUUCCCCAUGUACUUCGACUUGUUUUCAUCUGCUACUUCACCAAUAUCCGUCAUGGCUUUCAUAUUUUUAAAGAACAUUGCUGGAAGAGAGCCAGUAAAGUUGUUGUUCGAGAGAUCAAGGAUUCUCAACUUAGAGAAAUAAUAAUCAGCCUCAUAAUCCCUUAAAUGACCGUAAAACUUAUUCGAACGUAGAAUAAGAACCUGAAGCUCCCGAAGUGUUCCUAGCCAAUGUGGGAACGUAUCCUUCAUCUUGUUGUUGCCGAGAUCAAGAACUUGAAGAUUAGCACAAUUGAGCAAAGAUCUUGGGACUGAACCUACAAGUUCAUUGCCAUUGAAGUUAAGAGUCGUCAAAUUAUUGCCCUUUGGAAAUGUUUCAGGAAUUGUGCCAUGGAAUCUAUUCUUCCUCAAAUCCAACACUCGCAGACUUUUGCUAAAGUUUCCAAUGCACUCUGGAAUGGUGCCACUCAAGCUGUUGUUAGAUAGAUCAAGAAUUUCAAUGGUGCUUGUGUUGCAGAUCAAACGAGGUAUCUCUCCAAUGAACUUAUUGUUUGAGAUAAAAAAGACUCUCAUAUUAGAUGAUGGAAUUGGAACCGGUCCUUGAAGCAAGUUGGACCGAAGGUCAAGAUAUUCAAGAUUCUUCCAUGGAAGUUUCUUAUUGCCUACAAAACAAAUUUUCGGAUGAUUGAUAAAAUAUGCGCAGUUAAUUGACUAAGCUAUAUAAUACUGAUGCCGACUGCCCACUGCCCAAAAUAUUGCAAACUAUUAGAGAAAUCGAUUGAUCCAAAAACUUAAAGCUGAUAGGUAAAGACCCAACAAUCGUAUAAAAGAUAAAUGUUUAAAUAAAGAAUAUCAAGUGAAAAAAAAAUUUUACAAUGACUGAAAAUAUGUCCGUAUCCAUAAUGGCGGAUCUAAAAAAAUAAUUUACCGGGGGCUAAAUUAGAUAAUAAUAAAAUAUAAAAAAUUAAAAUUUUGAAUAUAUAAAAUAUUUAUAAUUAGUCUCUACGCAUUUUUAUAUUUUAAAAAUGUUAUGCAAUAGACUUAUUAUCAAUAUUAUUAAAUUUAUUGUUUCUUAUAUAGACAACCAAAUUAUCACUUAUCUCAUCUGAUUCCAAAGAUUAUCAUUCAUGAGUUUUAUUACUGAAAAUGUUCGUUCUACUAUUAUUAUAUAAAUUAGAAGAAUUAACUAUAUUUUUAGAAUAUAAAAUAUUUUGAGUAGUGGGCUAUCAUUAUUUUUAAUUAAAAUAUAUAUUUUUAUAUUUUUUUAAAGUCAAAGUUUAAAUUUUAUGGGUUUUACAUUUUAUAGUGAUUAUUUUAAUAAAUUUAAUGGGGUUAAUUAAAAAAUUAAAAAAAAAUCUUUUAUUUUUAAUUUUUUUUUUUGGCCAGUGGGGGCUCAAGCCCCCACUAGUCAUGUGCUGCAUCCGCCUCUGCGUAUCCAGAUGGUUAUAUUCUAUUGGUUUCAGAUUAUAAAAAAUAACAAAAAGCUCAUAAUUCACACAAAAGUUUGAAAACUGAAAAUUUUAUAUAGCUGGACCUACAUAUGCUCUAUAGACUUCAAUUCAAAUAUGAAUUCUGGGCUUCAAAGUUAAUGAAACAAGAAAUAAAUAAAAUCUCAAAAUAAUCAACUAACUAGCGGAAUGAAACAAGCCGAAUGAUCCCUUCAAAAUACUAUUACUAAAAGCUCAAAUUAAACAAACGAAACUCUUAAAAGAAUGAAGGAAAUAAGAAACUAUAUAUUUUACCUAACAACUUUGGCCCAUCAGACGCUUCAAAUUCAGCAGCAGAUGCAUAAUCUUUGAGCGUAUUUCUCGGGUGGCUCUGAAGACCGUGGACAACACAAGUGCUUCCGGCAAGUAAUUCGAGAAACAGAAGAACAUAAACAAAAGAACUAAUACUACUCAUGGCUGCUUUCACUGCUGUGCAGGUAACAAUAUUCUUUUGUUCACGUGUGCACUGUAUCAAGCACUCUGAAAUGCUCUCCAUAACUCGUUUGCCCAUUAUCUUGACUGUCUUUACUUAUACGCGCUGGCGGAUCUAGACAAAUAAAUUGGGGGUUUAAUUAAAAAAAAUAUUUAAUUUGGAGUGCUCCACCUAAAUAUUCAUUUGAACACGUUUUAAGUUCUAAUGACUCAAAUUUCAUUAUUUUUUUAAAAAAUUUAAAUAAUAAUUAUAAUAAAUUAUUUAUUUUAUAUGCAUGAAAGUAUUCUUUUUUCUAAAUAGUUUCCACAACAUAUUUUAAAAAAUAAAAUAAUAUAGCUAUAGGAAUUUGAAUCAAGACUCCAAAACCAUAAUAACACUCUUACUACUAAACUAUAAAUUUUUUGUUAUAAAAAAAUAUAUUUAAUUUUUUAAAAAAAGACUUAAGAUACAUUUUUAAAAAAAUCAAUAGCCCAGAGGCCAGAAGGCUUGAGUCUUGGCUGGGUCCGCCGAUGCUUAUACGGCAUGAUUCAUGAAUAAAAUUUCCACUCAACUCACAAGGAAAAGUCACCAUGACCUAUUGCUUUGUUUCAUGACUUUCAAUGAGAGAUUUUUGAAGUUUCAAUUUUCUAAAUUCUAAUAUUCUAAAUACCAAAAAAAAAAAAAAAAAAAUCUUUUCGUUGAAUUAAGUUUGCGCUCUCAAUCGAAAUUCGUCGUCUAGGACAUUGACAUGUGGUGAAUAAGAAAAUAAUGAUUUUGCGUCAUUUUUUCCAAGUAAACGUAGACGAAGACAAAAAAAAGACUGGAGAUGGUCUUUGCUUGACUUCAUCAAACGUAUCAUAUACGCAAAACUCAUUUAUUCUUUAUGAAAUGCUUGUUUACCGGAAAAUAAAUAAAUGCUUGUGAUAUUAAUGAUCUUCCUUAUUUUUUUUUUUAAAUAAACUUAAGCAUAUUGUUAGACAGUAAAAUCUCUUUAUAGUUAUAAUGUUGUAACCAAUCUAAUUUUAUUACAAGGAGAUUAUAUUUUAGUAGAAUUUUAGUUAUAAAAAUUUUUAUUUUGACUUAGUUAUGUUUAAUGCAAGAAAUAUUAAGGUAAAUACAAUUAAUAAUUAAUUAAUAGACCUUCUCUAUUUCAAGUGAAGUGGAUAAGGAGAAUCAAAAAGUUACUGUAGAAUUAGGAGAUCAGAUUCGACAACUUCACUAUGCUAAUCGAAUAGAUAUUGUAUCUGUGACGCCCGCCAUGAGCAUCAUGGUCGCGUAGGUGUGACGGGUCUGGCGCGCGUCCCGAUGGCGGAUAAGAAGCAAAAGGAGAUGAUCCCGAGUAUGAUAGCAUGGAAAUACAAAAAAGUUUUAUGGCAUAAAGCUCUAAACAUGCUUAAGAAGUCAGAAAUAUUUUGACUUUAAUAAGAAGAUGUCCACACUAGCGAGUUAUUAUUGGCCCGCAAGUUCAAAGAUUUCAUAAUAACUCUAAAGAAUAAAUGAUUAUUCCUAACAAUUUUUAAAAAUAAUUAUUCCAUGUUAAACUUUUAAUGUAACAUUGCAGAUUAUUUUUUACAAUAUAGAAAUAAUUAUUGCCAUUUAUAUGCAAGUUACUUAAAACAAGACCUAGAAAACUUAUAAUAAUGUAGAGUUUAUUCUUAUGUAUAACUUACUCAAAUUGGGAUUAAAAUCUUUUAUGAUUACAUGAAAGUUAUUCCAAUAUACAAUUACACUAUAGAAAGAUGUUACUAUAACUAUAUAAGUGAGAUUUGAACCCAGACUUUGUGUAUUAAUCCAAAAAGUUUUAUCAACUACGGGGUCAUUUUUUUUUUACUUAAUGACUUAACUAAUUACAAUUUACCAAGUCUUUAUUAAAUUCUUUAGCAAGCCUAGCAACACAUACAUCUAAAGGCUUGGGUACAAACACAGUAAAGCCAUUAUUAUGGAUUGAGGCUUCAACCUUGGAACUGACAUUCAGUUUUGAAUUAUUAGCGGCAGAAAGUCUUUCUUUUGUUUUUUCAUGAAAUCUUUUGGGGACGAUGUCUUCUCUAAUGCAAUUUAAAUCGGCGCCAGUAUCAAAAAGGGCAAUGACGUCCAUUGCAAAAUCAUCAGAAAAGAUUAAAGUGACUUUAAUCAAAUACUUUCUUGUGGUGAUUUGCUUUAAAAUAAAUAGAAAAUCAUUGGGUACUGACUCAAUAUUUUCUACUUUAAUAUCAUCACCAUCAUCAGGAUUAGAUUCAUUGUCUGAAUUAUCCUGCAAUUGUUUUUGUAAAAGAAGUUGGAUAGUAUCAGAAUCACUUUUUUGUUUUUCUUUUAAAUCUCUGAUUUCACAUUUGAUUUCUUUUAUCUCUUUCUGAAGAUCUUGGAUAUUAGGAACCGUCUUCUUAGUUUUCUUUUUAUCCAAAAUUUGAGUAAGAUCAUAAGAAUUCUUUUUAACAAUUGGGACUUUAGAAGUCUCGGCUUUAUUAAAAUCCAAAAUUUUCAAAAGUUUAUCAAGAUAUUCUUUUUGAAGAUUUGGAUCAGAAAUAUGCUUUACAAGUUCAAGAAAAGUUUCUUGGUCUUUAGUCAAAACAUUGAUUUUCUUUAAAUAUGAAUCAGAUUCAGAUUCACUACUACUAGAUACAGAGUCAUCUGAAUCAAAAAGCUCAUAAAAAAGCUCAAGCAUUCCUUCAUCAACUUUAGAUUAAGUAGAUUUGCUUUGGAUCGCGGUUGGUCAAGUUUUAUAUUUAUUAAAUUAGUACGUGGCGUUGUUAAACCAGAUCGAUGCAGAAGGGAAUCUGCCUUUGGACCCAGAUCUGACUUAGAACAGAUCAAUAGCUCGCACGUUCGGGUUUCCAGCCGAUAUACCAACUUAAUUUUGCUUUACCAAAUAAUAAUUAAGUUCUUUAAACGCGGUUGACUUUUUAUGGACUGAAAAGGGUGAUUUAUAACAGAGGGUAUUUUUGUAAAUUUCCUUUCUAAUGAAGGAAUGCUUGAGCACGACGCUUUAUCAGAAAAUCUGGAUGAGGUAGAUCUCCUGAAUGAUAGUUUGACUUUACCAUCGGAAUACUGAGUCACAUUUUGCAACUCUGUAUUGGGCUCAAGUUGUUUCGGAAUCGCUGGUGGAGCGGCUCCUUCAAGGAUCCAUUCCUCUGGAAGAUUGACAUCCUUCCAUUGGAUUAAUUUAGGAAUGACCGUGUUUGCUUUGGACAAAUCAGUCUGCAAGAGAAGGGUCUCAUCUCUUUUCGACUGGUAUUUAUGCUGUGUGCUAAAUGCAGAAAUCAUGGCUUUGUAAGAAAUUUUAAAAAUUAAUGCAACUGGGAUGGAUCCCUUAAUCAUAUGAUAAUUAUGGGUUUUGAUUUGUAAAAUCAUGCUCUUUAGAAUAUUUUUGUCUUUAAGAGAAAUUGUUAUAUUUGGAUAACAAUCAAAAGAUAUGGGACCUUUACAUAGACUAGAUUCGAUACUACUUAGUAAAGAAUCAUCAAAAGAGAUGAAUCACCCAUCUCUAAGGACAGCAAGGAUAGAAGUAUCCAAGCCUUCUUUGGUCAAAUGUUUUAUUCCUACUUGGAUUAGACCAAUGUGAAUAUAUUUGAAAUUCUUUUCUUUUAAUUUCUUUAAAGAUUUUUCCGAAAACAAAUAAAUUGUUUCAAAAGGCUCUGAAAGAGUUAUAUCACGUUCUUCAGUCUUUAUAAUAUAAUCAUGCUUUAAAAGAUCAAGCAUUUUUGUUUUGUAAAUCUUUUCCUUGGAAAUUUUUGGAAGUUCCCAACAAUCAAUUGCUUUAUCAAAGUUCUCAAUAAUGAAUUCUUCUGAACUCACAACAUGCUUUGAAUCACUAGUCUUCCCGGAAGAGGAGCUAGAGAAGGAUGAUGUUCUACAGAUCGGAGGAUCCAUGGUUAAGACCUUAUGGUCUAUUUUUGGUUUGGUCAAAAUGGCUACAGGUAUGAAUUUACAGCCCUCAGCGGAAUCCUUAUCCUAAUUUGGAAAGGAUCUCUUCAUCGAGGUCAAGUUUAUGAAGCUUUUUGUUCAUCCUGCAAUAAUUUGCAGUAUGACCUUUCAUGCCACAUUUAUGACAUAUAGCUUCUUUGUAAUUGAAAGGGGUCUUUGGUUUGGCUCUAAAUUCUUUUCUUUUAGAGAAUUUGGGUUUCUUAUAAGGUUUCGAAGGUUUCUUAUAAGGAAGUUCUCUAAAAUUACGAAAGGGUUUCCUAAAAUUUUUUGAUUUGUAAUGUUUCCUGCGGGGUUUAGUAGAACACUCGCCAUUACAAUAUUUGGAAAUAGAAGUUUUAAAGGGGUCAUAAUUGAAUUGUUUACAGAAACCGCCUAAUUCUUGUUUAGACUUCUUAAGCUCCCACUUAAGUCGUUUCUGUAAUUUCAGUAAAAUAUAUUCUCAAAAAUAGGGAUGAGCUCCCACUUAACCCUUUUAAUAUUUUAGAUACAAGGGCAGAUUCCCUUCUGCAUCCAUAAUAAUGUUUUUUUAAUUUAAUAAAAAAUUUCACUUAUUAAGUUAAGCUAUUAAACUAAUUUUUUUUUAUCUUUUUGCUUAAUCUAAAAAGUUUGAAUAACAUCACUAAAAUAUAUUCUCAAAAAUAUCCCUAUCUAAUUAAUUGAUUUUCAUUCAUACCUAAAUAAGUUUAAUAAUUAGCAUUAUUACUCAUCCCUAUAAAUUAUGAUAAUAUAGUGGUAGACUAUUAUUAAUUUUAUUUUUUAUUUUCUUCAAAUUAGCAUUAUUUAUCUUUAUAAUUUUUAAUCUAUAUUUUUCAUAUAAAACAUCAUAAACAACAAUAAAAUUAAUUAACAUAUACUAAUUUAAAAUAUUAAAAGGGUUGUACUCAAUUGAGCAUGAUUAUAUUAUGAAAAUAUAUUAUCUUAUUAAUAUUCUAUGAGAUGUUAUUAAUUGAUUAACAUUUAUAAUUUGUAAGGGUAUAGAUGUAAAAAUGCUGAUUUUCAUUUUUUUAAGUUAAAAAAACAACUUAAUACUUAUUUGUAACGAUUUAGACAAAAAAAAAAUUAUUCAGAUUCAAACAUUUCGCUCUAUUCAAAAUUCAGAUUUAUUUAAAUGUAUUAAGAUUUCAAACAAAACAACAAACGGUACCUAAAUUAGAUAACAUCCACAACAUUGUCUCAAUUUAAGAAAUUUAAGAAGGCUAAAAUGUAAGUUACAUCGGAAACCCCUCCCAUCAUUUGUGUUUUCUAUGCCUUUCACAUUCAUCAAGAAAAAAAAAAAAUUUGUGGCUGACUCUUGCGAAUACGGGGCUACACGGGGAUUCUCCUCCUGCCAAUAUUCAUCAACUGAUUUUCAAUGACAUUAUGGGAAGUACAAACUACCAUUUCUAUUAACUUGAUGUAUUUUUUUUUUUUUUCAAUCUUACCUUGUUUCUCAACUUUUUGUAUCUUCUGAUUAUGAACAAAAUUUCUACUUGAUAUAAGGCCAUUGCUUUUAAAAAAAAAAUUUAUAUAGUGAUAAUCCUAAAUGGUAUCUUUUUUUUUUCUUUUUAAUAAAAGUAUAAAACCUUUAUUAAAGGAAAAACUACAGUAAUAACAUCCCAAUUAAAAGGGGAGUUUAAAGACUCCAAAACAAAUCAAAACAAGAGCAAGGCAGAUACUAGUGGAACCUAUAAUUCGGCAACCGAAAAACAUCUCUAUGCAAAAGCGAAGCAACAUUUGGACGCACCGAAUUCUGAAAGGUAACUAUUUACAUGUGUACGUAUGAAAUCAAAAGAAACGGUACGUGUUAAAAUCUAUUAUAGUGGUGCAAGAGAUUUACGAUUUGAACAUCAUUCAUUUUUUUUUUUCGAGGGAGAGACGGUGAAAUAACAUUAAAAAUCUAAUAAUUUCCUGAUUUCAAUUUAUUGGCCUUGGGGUAUAUACACUCAGAUUGCUUGCCUGCCAGUAGGAGGAGGCUACAAUGGGACCAAUAACCAGUAAUCUUUUAGAAUUUUUUAUGCAAUGCAACGACCAAUUAAAUUUCCUGAAGCGUCUUAUAAAUGUCAUAAAGGACGAGUUUCUGGCCAAGCAAAGGCUAUAAUAAAUUAACGGGACCAACAAUAAUUAAAUCUCUUAAAAAUUUUGAAACAAUUAGCAAAGUAAAUAUUUUUUUUUCAAGGGAAAUUUAUAUUUUCCUGAAACGUCUUGAUAUAUUUGUCAUAAAACAGAAUUAGCUUUUAACUAUCAUAAGUUUUGGGCAUUCUGUAAAUUAUUGCACCAAACUGAUAACAAUCUCACAUACCCAUUUCCCUUUAAUAUAAAAUUUCUGCUUGGACAAUGCAAAUGAAAUCAACCAUGAGCAAAAUUUAGCUUCUGCAAUGGAAGCUCUUGAAUGGGUGAUGCCGGAUCUGAUGCUGGUUAAUUUUUUGUAUGAUAUGAUGUCAAUACUGGGUAGUAAGAUAAAUCCUUCUCUCUGCUUGCUUUAAAGCAUUCGAUUUACUUAAGCUAUAACAAUCUUGAAUGAAUUAAGAUUCCUAGAUUUCUUGGUUCCAUCAGAAAUUUGACACACCUUAAUCUAUCACAAGCAGGAUUUAUGGGCUCAAUUACUCCUCACCUGGGAAAUCUAUCCAAUCUGUAAAAUCUUAACCUCAAUCAAGUUUUUACAGCGGUUAAUAUGUACAUAUUUAAAUUGGUUAUCGGUUUCCUUUGUGCUUGAGCACCUUGAUUUGAGAUGCGUGAACCUUGGCAAACCCUCUGAUUGGUGCUUGCCAUAAACAACCUUCCUCGUCUAAUCAUGUUAAUAUUGUCACAAUGUAGCUCCAUCAUUUUCCUGUGAUACCCUGUGCCAUUUUUUCCUCUCAAGCCACACUAGUCACGUUGAAAAAUAUUUGAAUCCUAGUUGGGUUUCUGGUUGUCGUGGCCUAUUCUUUCUUGAUUUACAUAGCAAUGAUUACCAAGGUCCAAUUCCUGAAGAACUUCAAAAACUUGAGUUCACUUAGGCAUGCGUUUUGAUUUAUCUAGCAAUGAUUUGAAUUCUUCAAUUCCAAACAAGUUGUACAGAUUUAGCCAUCUUAAGUAUCCUUUUCUUGGUGAGUAUAACUUAAUUAGGAGGUAAGAUUUUUAAUAAUAUAAGGGACUUCUUUGAAAAAACUUGAUCUCUCAGUUAAUGAACACGAAGGAUCGAUUUUAGUUGAUAUAGGAAACUUUUUUUGGGGGGGGGGUGAAUUUGAUCUCACAUUUAAUAAGCUUCAGGGAAAAUUUCCAGGAUCGUUUCAAAGAUAUAAACAGUUUACAAAGAGAUCGACUCCAAAGUUACAUAGUAUUUCAAAUGAUCUUGGAAAUUUUCUUUGAAGCUCAUAAUUAAAUGAGAGAUGAAGUUUUUUUUUUUGGAAGUUAGAUUCCCUAGCUAGGUCACCCAAUGUUACCUCCUAAGCCACACUUACUAUUGUACCAAAAUUAUAAUAAGCUCCAAUAAAAUAAAAUAAAAAGAGAGAAGCCCACAUGAGUAUAGGCCCAAUAAGUAGUAACCCGGGUCCAUUUUAAAUAAAACACUCAAAGGACAAUUCUUCAGCAAAGCGCUAAAGAUAAGUUUCUACAAAAAGCGACCUAAAUCCAUUUUCUACAGAAAGCGAUCUAGGUCCACUCUUUAUAAAGAAGGACCUAGAUCCAUUCUAAAUAAAACGCCCAAAGGGCAACUUUUCAGCAAAGCGCUAAAGAUAAGUUUCUACAAAAAGUGACCUAGAUCCAUCUUCUACAAAGAGCGACCUAGGUCCACUUUUUAUUAGAGGUGGCCAUAGGGCCGGACGGCACGAGGCACAGCACGAGCACGACACGUGUCCGUACAGCAUGGCACGGCACGAGUACGUUUUGGUAGAGUACGCGACACGACACGGCACGGCACGCACGUAGGCCGUGCCGGGCUUAGAUUUUAGGCACAUGAGCCUUAAAAGCAUGACACGAUUAGAGAUGGGGCAAAGCAUGGCACGCGAAAAAGCACACAAUAAGCACGUUUCAUUUUUUUAAUGAAAGUAAACUUAAAAUUUGAUGAUUUUAUAAAUAACUUGAAAUUGAAUCUUUUAAUACAUUUUAUUGGCUCAAGUUUUUUAAAUUUAUUUAAUUCUUAGUUUCAAAAAAAUUAUAAUUGAUUUAUGUUUAUAAUUUAUUAAAUAAAGAAUUGAUAUCAUGAUUUUAAUAAAUAAAAUUAUAAAUAUCAUCAUUUUAUAAAUAUGUAUUAAUAUUAUUAUAAACUAUAAUAUAUGACUCUACGUAACUCCAAGUUAACAAUUAAGUUAACCCUUAAAAUUUUUUUAUUAUUAUUGUUGUUGUUAAGUACUAAGAAUUCUAAUACCAUAGAGUCAAACUCAGCAACUAAUAUUACAUUUUCUUAUUAUUAUUAAUUUAUUAUUAUUGAAUAUGGACUUGAGUUUUGAAUUUUUUAUUCUAUUAAAUUUAAAUAAAGACACAUGGAUCCAAAAAAAGUACAUAAUAUUAAAAAAAUAAGAUAAUAACUUAACAUGCGCUCUUAAAAAAAUAAAAAAGGAAAAAAAAGCUUAGUGGGCUAUUUUUCCUAAGCACGGCGCGUCACGGCCCACGACACGGCACGUGUGGGCACAACACAAGUGGGCACGAGCACGAGCAUGCGUGGGCUUCUUUUGAUGGGCCUGGGCCGGCACAGCACAACCCGUUGGCCAUCUCUACUUUUUAUUAAGAAGGACCUAGGUCCAUUCUAAAUAAAACGCCCAAAGGGCAACUCUUCGACAAAGCGCUAAAGGUAAGUUUCUACGAAAGUGACCUAGAUUUAUUUUCUACAAAGUACGACUUAGGUCCACUCUUCAUAAAGAAGGACCUAGGUCCAUUUUAAACGCCCAAAGGGCAACUCUUCGGCAAAACGCUAAACGUUUGUAUCUACAAAGAGUGACCUAGGUCUAUUCAUUACAAAGAAUGACCUAGGUCCAUUUUCUACGAAUAAUGGCCUAGAUAUUAAGCAUUUACUUGAAAGUAACAUUCUACAAAGGUUACAUACAUGUGAAAUGCCAUAAAACUAAUUCUCUUUACAAGGAACCAACAUAAGAGCUAAAGUGAGCCCAACGAAGGUCAAGAGCUCGAAAUCAUGACAAAUGUCCAAAGAAGACUUGAUAGUGAGCAAGCUUGACACGUAAUGACAGGUGUCUUCAUGUAUGAGUUUUGCGGACACUUGUCACUAAAAUAAUGCCAUGUGUCAUGAUGACACCUCCACCUCAUGAAUCAAAUUGCCUAUAUAAUGAUCAGAACUUCCCACACAAGAGGAGGAAAAAAAAUGGUAACGAAAUGUUGUCAUUCUUUCUUUAAAUUCUCUCUCUCUAAUAAAAUUUGAAAAGCUGACUUGAGCGUUGGAGGGUCAUCGCCGGCAACCCCGACACCCUUUGACAAUUUCAUUUCUUUUGCAGAACCUUUGACAAUAGAAACUUUCAUAUCAUGGAGAGAUGAUUCACAAAUCUUAACAUAGAAAGGAAUCCGAAGCAAAAAGUUAGUUAUUACGUGUGGAGCAAAAAAUUGCAACGACACUUACCAAAAGAAAUAUACUCAAGACAGCUAAAUUUGUAAAACCAGUUCAGUAUUGAAGAUUUGAAAUCAUUGAAAUAAUUUUUGCAAUUGUUGCAUUGGAUCUAAUGGUUGGAUAAAGACAAAUUUAGGGAACCUUGCACCAAAUUUAAAUGGACCCAUUGGACACAGGAGUACUUGACGCUUUUUAAUCCUGGAACAUACUGUUUUAAAUGUCAGAGUUUUUCUCUUUUUUAUAUUUGAAAGUUCUAUGAUUGCGGCUAAUGUCGGUUGGUAUGUUUUCUUUGAUGAUAUUAACAUCAUUUACCCAUUAACCUUAAUUAAAAAAAAAGGGUACAAUUAUCGUCCAAGUUCUUAAUAUCUCAUAUUAUCAUGCAUCUAAGCACAAAGUACAAAACCCAACUGCUCUUAUCUGUUUUACAAACUGGGGUUGAGCUAAACAAAUUAAAACAGCAGCACUGACGACACAAGAGAAAUGGUUCUAAAAACACGAAAUUUUAAAAAUAGUAGAAAUUAAUAAUCUACAAUCCAAUGAGCGAACAAAUUGUUUGUGUGACGGUGAGUAGAAGAAGAAUAACAGCUGCAAUUACAGAAAUAGAUGCCCAUGGGGUAUUGAAAUAAUUUUGCUUCAAAUUGGCCUUCCACUUGUGCCGUGGUAACUGGCAAUAGGCCUGUAGAUCAGCAACAACACCAGAAUAUUUGAAAGGGAUAUCCCACGAACAGUCUCUAUCAAGGCUGCGAAAAACACUUGGAAGUAUUUCACUGAACCCAAGCCCAAUAAUUUUAUUUUGAAUGAGGAAUUCCACAUCUUUUGGAGUGUUGACGAGGCAACUCAUCAUUAUAAUGUAGUCAUUAAAAUAACUAGGGCAGCCAUGCAUCCUCUCAAAAGCCAGAAGAUUUCUGUAUAAAGGCUCAGUGUCGUAGUAAUAUACCGUAAAAAAUGGAAUUUCCAGGAUUCCAUCACUAAAUUUGAUGUCAAUUAGAUUUUUGCUUGACCCUGAUUUGAACUUGACUCCAGCUUCGUGAAGUUCCUUUACACUGGGUAUGUUUUGAUCGUCAUUCUUCAAUUUAACUUGAUCAGGCAUCUGAGAUGGAUGAAGACAGAGCAUAAGCAGAUGAAGCAAAUGUUUAGCUUCGGAAAUGUGGAUUUCAAGCAAAUUUUCCUUCAUUGGAAAAUAUCCAACAAUAUCAUCCCUGAACCAAUAACAAGUAACUGUGGUGUAGGAAAUUUCUUCAUAAAAGCGAUGACUAGAGGCUGCUGUUUUGGCUAGAUUAAACAAAUCAUAGAGAAUGAAUAAUGGAAGCUGGUUUUCUAGCAGCAAAAAGUCUUGCCGUAUUUCCCAAAACAAACAUGAUUUUCCCAAUAUGGGAUCCUCAUCGGUUCUUAAAUUACGAUUAUAAUAUCUCAGAAAGAGCUCAAUGAGAAAGACAGCAUCCACUAAAACCAUUGUUACAAACUCAUCACUUGCAAGAUUAUGAAUGGUUUCAGCAUAGCAAUUGCGCACUUCUGCUUCCCUUUGCUUUACAAAUGCAAGGAAACUUGCCAGGCGUACCUUUGUUCGUUGAAGAAAGCAUUUUAGGUACCUUUCUUUUUGCUCUUCCAUGGCUUUUAGCGGUGGCUUCCCAUAAUGAAACGGCCCAAUUGAAACCAUUUUCGUAGUGUAUGAUAAGGAGCCAAGGAGGUGCUCAUGCAACUUCAUGCAGACCAUGUUUCACGUGCGGGAUGAAUUUGUUUGAGUGUCGAAGCAAUAGCGGGAGAAUCAUCACGUCAAACUAUUUGUUGCCGGUUUGGAAGAGAAUCAAAUUGUGGUUGUCAUGUUUGAUUUGGAUUCGGUCACUAGGUUUAUCUUUAGAUAUUUUUUCUUGUUUUAUUUUACUAUAUUCUAGCUGAUAUUGUUGGCUAAGUGGCUAAGAACCAAAGACUUGUGAUGUUAGCUAUUAUAAAUAAGUUUCCCGCUGCGAAUAAAGGGAGUGAGCAAUUAUCAAACUAAAUUAUCUCUGGUCGUUCUCACCAAAAGCAGAACAACAUUAUCAUCUUUGGGAAAUUUACAAAAAUAGCCAAAAAAAUUAGGCAUUUUUCAACUUUAACCCCUCAAACUUUUUUCUAUCAUAACUAGCCAAACACCCUAUUUUUGGACUACAUUACCCUCAUCAUUUUCAUCAAAUUUACAAAGGCAUGCCACUUUCCCUUAUCAAUUCCAGCACUUCCACCACUUUUCCCUUUUCAACUUAACAAAUUUCAUCACUCAACAAACUCCAUUACUCUCAAUAAAUUAGCAAAUUUCAUCAAACAAGUAUUACAUAAUUGAAGAUAUAAUUAUCAAUUGGAAAGCUUUUUAAGGUUAGUUUAUACUCUUACCAUAACCUAAACUUUUAAUCUAUUGAUUUUAUCAUUUGAGUUCGAAAUUGAUGUGAGUUUUUAUUGCAAAUGUUGUUAUUUUUCAUUAACAAAACAAUGUGACUUGUUAAAGUAGUUAGUUUGAGUUGAGAAAUGAAAAUCAAUCUUUGAAAACCCUGAAAAAUCGAGUUAAACAGAACCCCAAGCGUGUGACACACGCGCCUGUCUCACAUGUUACCACUGGUUACAAGUGAGACAGGCAAGUGAGCCAGGCGCCUGUCUCACUUGUUACCACUGGUUUUAUGUGAGACAGGCAAGUGGGACAGGCGCCUGUCUCACUUGUUACCACUGGUUUUAUGUGAGACAGGCAAGUGAGACAGACGCCUGUCUCACAUAAAUUUGCUGGUUUUAUAUGAGACAGGCACCUGUCCCACUGCCUGUCUCACUAAAUUUAAGUUAUUUUCUGAAAGUAAUAACUUGGGCUACAUGUGUCCGUUUUAGGCGUAUAAUAUAUCAUUUCGAAGCUUACGAUGAGACGAAGUAAAUCAAAAAUUGUAUACUUCAUAUCAUCCACAUAAAUGUACUGCAUAUUCAUUUUUACUAGGUUUUGUAGCGUGAAAUCUUAUCUCUUUUGUUUUUUUUUUUAGGUUUAAUGGAUUCCGUUGUACUUCAAUUAUGUUAUGACGGUUGGUGGGAGACAUUAGCAGAUGGCCGUACGGAGUACGUGAAUGCGAAGAAUACAGCAUUUUUAGUUCGGAAAGAUUGUACGUUUGAGCAAUUUAUGGCAAGAGUGUAUGAAGUUUUACAGAUAAAUCCUAUUGAAUAUAGUUUGUCGAUGAAGACAACUUUGAGAUCUAGUAACACAAUGUAUCGUGCAUGUUCACUACCUAUGGAUAUAUUUAAUGAUGAAAUGGUUAAUGUUGUGCUGCACAUGGCCUCUGAUGUGGUCAAUUAUGGAUGCAUCCCUAUAUUUGUCACCACACAUCCUCGAGUUCCGGCCGAAAAUCCUGAGCCACUUGUGGAAAGUGAAAGUUCGUUUAGAGCAAACGAGUCUGUCCCUGAUAUUGAGGAAGAGGUGUUACCACAACAAAUGUCGUUCCAACAACAUUACUCACCAGUCAACGAAAACAAUGACACUAUUGAUGAUAAUGGCAUUACGAUAGCAGAUGUUGAAGAUAAUGUGUUACCAUUAGGGACAUCGUUAGGGCAACAUUACUCUCCAUUUCAAAAUAAUGAGUUCCGCAGUUAUGAUGAUCCUGGUUAUAACACCAACAACACAGAAGCUGAUAAUGUGCAAGGCAUGAACUCCAAUACUGAAGUUGAUGAUAGGGACACUGGUCAUUCCGAUAUUCCUAUCAAUAAUGAGGAUGAGCAUCAGUAUGAUAUUCCUGUUAGCAAUAGAGAGAAUCGACCUAUUCCUCCGAUGGCCCGUUCGAGGAGGAGGACAACAGUUGAUCCCCUGGUGAGUCUUGCUCCAGUUUUGCCUUCAAACUUGGUUGCUCCAGACUUAGUUAGAAGCUGUAAUUCUGCCGACAUUGGUGUGGGAAAGUUGUUCGUUGAGAAGAAUGAGUUAAUACUGGAAUUGCGCAAAGUGGCCUUGCGGGAAAAGUUUGAUUUCAAGAUUGCACGGUCCACAACGACACACUUUGAGGCUCAUUGUUCUUCGGAAUCAUGUAAUUGGCGUCUUCGCGCAACAAGAGGUUCGGAUGAGCAUAAUGUUCCUUGGGUAGUGAGAAGAGUUGACAAUGCUCAUACGUGCUCUAAUGAGGUUUUGCCAAGUGGCCUCCGCCAAGUUAGGAGUCGGGUUGUUGGCCAUCUUAUUGCGGAUAAAUUUAUUCAGGAUAAACGGAUAUACACGCCGAAUGACAUUAGAACAGACAUGCAGCAAGAAUACGGGGUCCAGUUAACAUAUCAGCAAGCAUAUCGGGCUAAAGAAGUUGGUCUUGAAAUAGUACGAGGGAACCCUGCAGAGUCAUACAACUUACUUCCCAAAUACUCUCACGUUUUGACCAAAGCGAAUGAGGGCACAGUGACACACCUCCAGCGGGAUGGAGAUGAUAAUUUCUUAUACUACUUUGUUGCGCUUGGAUCUUCCAUUAAGGGCUUCACACAGUACAUAAGGCCUGUGAUCGCUGUAGAUGGCACUCAUUUGAAGGGGCUAUAUCGUGGAAGCAUGUUUGUAGCAACAUGUUUGGAUGGUAAUAAUCAACUGUAUCCGUUAGCUAUUGGGGUCAUGGAUUCAGAAAACAAUGAUGCUUGGGAAUGGUUUAUGACGAAGUUACACGGAGUGAUUGGCGAUAGGCCAGAGUUAGUAUUUAUCUCUGAUCGAUGCACUGCCAUCAAGCGAGCCAUUUUAAAAGCAUUUCACACUGCUAGUCAUGGAGUUUGUUUUUACCAUGUCAAAGGCAACAUUAAGUCUAAAUUCAGGAUGUCCAAAGCUAUUUGGGAUCAAUUCGAGCCAGCUUUUAUUAAUGCAGCAAAGGCAUAUGGACACGAAGAAUUUAAAAGACAACUUGAAGGGUUGUGGAUGCUCCACUCGGCCGCGGCUGAUUACUUAGAGAAUAAUGUGGGCACGUGUAAUUGGGCAAGGUCCGAAUUUGAAGGUAGGAGAUACAGCAUACUUACCACAAACAUUGCAGAAAGCGUGAAUUCUUUAAUGAGGGAACCGCGAAAAUUUCCUAUUACUCAUCUUGUUGAUCACUUUAGAAAAACAUUACAGCAAUGGUUUUAUGAUAGGAAAAUUGUCGCUGAAUCGAUGAGCACUCGUCUAACGACGUGGGAAGAUGAGAUAGUCGGCGAAAGGAGAAUUUUGGCCGAAAGAAUGACCGUUCGGCCAGUGUCUCAGCAUCGAUUUCAUGUUUUGGGUGGUGGUAUGAAGGAAGGGAUAGUUGACAUUCAUGAAAGAACUUGCUCCUGUAGAGUAUUCCAACUCGAUCAGCUUGUUUGUGCACAUGCAAUUGCUGCUUGUCUGAUCGUCCGUGUGGAUUACAUAAGUCUUUGCUCUGAUUAUUACUCUAAAGAUUCAUUGGUCAUGGCAUAUGCAGAACCAGUAGAACCGGUUGGGGACAUGACAGAUUGGGACAUUCCAGAAGAAAUCCAGGAAAUCAGAGUUAACCCACCGAUCGAAGCACCACCACCUGGUCGUCGUCCAGAGUUAAGAAUUCCUUCUAUCGGUGAGGAUGUUAACCGAAGAACUGUGAGAUGUGGUCGAUGCAACCAACCAGGUCAUAACCGCAAGAGAUGUAAAAAUCCCAUUGUGUCAAAUCCAAACUGACUGUGUCGUUGUAACUAAUUAUGGAUUAUGAACUCUUAUUAUAAUUUAUAUUACAAUUAUAUGUAAUGAGGUAUAUUAUGUUAUGUUCAUUUGCAUAAUGAGUACUAAAGUUGAUCAAUAAUUACUUAUAGCUAAAUAUAUGAAUAUAUCAAAAGUUUAUAUCUAUUAGAAAAACAAUCUACAUCCAUACAUCAAGUCUUAAUACAAUACAACGACUUACAAGGCAAUAUCGCCCGUGAAUAUAUCUACAGCAAUUUUCUUCCUGAAGUAAUGCCCGUGGCUACUAUCAAAAUCAAGUUUUAGCCCGAACAUCAAAUACAUUGUAAACAUCAACAUAAAUACACCGCAAUCACCACUUCCAGGUGAUUGUUGGGGCACAUCCUUAACGAUUCUUACUUUCCAAGGGUCGGCACUCUGCAGCUCAGAUCGAAGGUUGUAGAAUCCAACAUCUUGAAGCCAUUGAGGGAAGACGACCUGAAGAGGUUUGAAUUUACGCAAAUAUGUUUUGUCCUCGCGAAAGGUAACCAACGAGUCGUAAAUCCGCAUCCUCCUCGCGCGAAGGUCCGCUCGAGCUAGUACCCAAUGAUCGCCGCCCAAAUUCACAGGAAUGAAUAUCUACAUAAAUAAAUUGGUAAAUUAGUAUAUUUUAUACACAAUUACCAUAAGAUUGAGUGACAAUUCUUACCAUAUCGACAUCCGUAAACAGUUUGGACAUGAGAUCUUCCUGCCCAUCCAUAUAGCUGCUCAAGUUGUUGCCAUAUUGUAAUGAAUUGACAUCACAACUACCAUUGUUCCAUAAUUGCUUUAGGAACACCUAUUACACGAUGAGUAGAAAAUUAAUAACAUUUCAAGAUAUUUAAAACAUCGAAAUUAUAAUUAAUGAUUAUAAAAUUUGAAAACAUGCCCAAAAGUAUGUAUCUGUAUGCGUGACGCGUUGUGGUAGUGCAUUUGGAAACCGCCGUUGCUUCUCGCUGAUCAAGCUGUAAUACGUGUGAAUAUGCUGUGAAGGGAUUAUACCAAGUAAAUUUAUAUCAAUAUCCAUGCCAGCAGAAAUAUUAUUGAGUAUUGUAAUGUACUGACCAUUAAACACGCUUACCUCGUCACCAAGCCACCCCAUCGAAGCAUUGCCCAUGAGUAUUUCAAAGAAAUUUCGAGACUGUUGGACGGGCCGAUCCACGGAAAUGUUGCCGGCAAACCACUGAUCAAACUCCUCACAUAGUCUUGAGUCUUCUAGUCCCCUAAGCGGAUUCAUAUCCACACUCGAUCUUUCAUCAAUUUCAUAGUCCGUAAUGUUGAGUGCGGGUAGAGCCCUGACAUUCCUAACUCUCUUGAAAGGAGGAAUGAAGUAAGGACUGCCAAAUAUAUACGACGGUCGGUACGGACGCCCAAACUUACUAACGCCGGGAGGUGCCUCCGUGAAUAUCUGUACACUGUCAUCACAUAUGUCCCCAUGUAGACUGUACAAGGACAUAGGGGUGUGCUCGUCGUCAUUACCAGCAUCAGUAUGCGUACCAUAGCCAGCAUCAACGUUCGGACCAUAGCAAUCUGGGGCCUGUUGUUUCGAGGAGAUGAACAUAUUAACAUAAGUUCGGGUUUGAAAUCAUAAUAACAUAACGAAAACAUACGAAACUUGCUCACCGAGGGUGCGGGGCCAAACGGAGAAUCACCGUACGCGCCCUUUGAAGCACCCGCGCCAAACGAAGCCAUAAACCCCAUGACCGCUGCUCUAUAUUGUUGUGCUUCUCUGCGUUCCGCCAUAAGUUCUGACCUCAGUUCGUUAAUGGAACUGUGUCCAGUCUGAAGUUCCGACCUCAACUCGUGAAUGGAAGACUCUAUUUUAUCCAGUCGUCCAACGAAAUAAUCAUUGCGGAACUUAGUCCUUGCCUACAAUUUACGCAAAUAAGAAAGUAAUGACAAAAUGUCGGAUAGGUAUAUGUGCAUUGUAAAUGUUCAGGACGACAGAAGUUACCUCUGGCUCAUUUCUGUCAUCUGAAUCAUGUGCGGAUUCAUAAUGGUCGUCGGCAGCACCGGCAUCCUCAACAGGACUCUGCUCCAGUCCUAUUGGGCUCGUGGGGUCAGGAUCCACCUCGUUUGGCCUUGUACUGGAUGGCGCAUUGAUUGAAGGCUGGUGCUGCACCAAGUAAAACAGAAAACAAUAAAUACCUAAAAAACAAACAUAUAAAUGACUUUGCAUCCGGUUUUCAAUGAUACUAUAGAUGAUACCCACAUUACGGACCCAACUUGGCAAAUAUGGCACGUAAUCCUCGACACUCUUCCAAUAAUUUGUGGCUCUCUCCUUUGCAUCCGGUUUCAGGGUUUGGAAAAUGGUGCCAUCCUGUCGUAAAGAUUACCAAAUUUCCAAUUAGUAUAACCAUAUAUUAUGUAAUACUUAUAUACAGACAUACAUAUAAAUGACUUACAAGACGCUCGUUCAGGUAUGAAUACACUUCGCCGAAGUUAAUAUUUGAAGAAGCCACAGGCUUCCAUCGCACGAUCCGAGCACCCUUCCUCUUAAUUUUCUCUACCCACUCUAAUGGUAGUCCUUCGAUCGCUUCAAAAAUCCAUGCCUUCAACAAGGAAAUAUAUGAAGUAAAAAAACGUGUCAUUAAAUAUUUAUUAUAACAAAACUAAGUUAUAAAAAAAACUUCUUCACUCACAUGCACUGCCGACGUAAAGCCGUAAAAGUUGUAUUUCUCAAUUCUAUGCAAUGGAUUUUCUGCGCUUGCCUUCUUAAAUUUUUUGGCUUUGCCGUUCAAUACAUUAUCAAUGCUUUUAUAUAUUGUUUCCCAUGACAAACGACCCCACGGAAUACUUCGAAAAAGAUUUAUGUCAUCUACCUCAUUAAGUAAAUUGAAAUUGAUUUGACAAUGAUCAUUUCUUCCGUGUAGCACUCUAUCAGCAAAGUAAAACAUGGCAAUUUUUAGCGCAUCGGUGUCAUUCAUAGUCUUGAAGCGUAAGUUCAUAAAUAUUUCCUCGAACUGGCCAAGAUUUAUAUCGCGAAUCCUGCCUCCAAAGUACUUAUUAAGUAACCUAUGAUUUGUUUUAUGCUUCGUCAGGAAUACUUUUUCGCCAUAGCAAAGUCCCGUUACUAGGCACCACUCUCCAAUCGAUAGCCGUAUCAAAUGGUCGCCAACUUGAAACCAUAACUCAUCUUUGUCAUUUCCAUCGCCAUGUGACACUUGCCGAAGCAAUAUAUUGUGCACAAUCACGCCACUGAACGGAUAGCUCCGUCACUGUAGGAAAUGCCCAAAUAUAUCGUCUUUGAAUAGCUUCAACUGUUGCCUUGUUAAUUUUUCCCGGAUGGCAUUAACAACGACAUCUAAUUUGCACAUACUCGUGAUACGCCCAGGGAAGUGAUCAACAUAAGGUAUCUUCAUCAUUCCCGGUUCUUUAAUCGGUCUGGGUGGGUUAUGCAAUGCUAAUUUUGAUUUGCCCAUUUAUCUGGUACAAGUUAAAAGUAUCACACAUUAAAAAAUUAUGAACAAAAGAAAAAAAAAUUAAGGCAGCACUGCGCACUGCCUCUUGGUGCGACGGGCACCAACUGUCGCACCAAGAGGUGCUGCCUCUUGUGCGACNNNNNNNNNNNNNNNNNNNNNNNNNNNNNNNNNNNNNNNNNNNNNNNNNNNNNNNNNNNNNNNNNNNNNNNNNNNNNNNNNNNNNNNNNNNNNNNNNNNNNNNNNNNNNNNNNNNNNNNNNNNNNNNNNNNNNNNNNNNNNNNNNNNNNNNNNNNNNNNNNNNNNNNNNNNNNNNNNNNNNNNNNNNNNNNNNNNNNNNNNNNNNNNNNNNNNNNNNNNNNNNNNNNNNNNNNNNNNNNNNNNNNNNNNNNNNNNNNNNNNNNNNNNNNNNNNNNNNNNNNNNNNNNNNNNNNNNNNNNNNNNNNNNNNNNNNNNNNNNNNNNNNNNNNNNNNNNNNNNNNNNNNNNNNNNNNNNNNNNNNNNNNNNNNNNNNNNNNNNNNNNNNNNNNNNNNNNNNNNNNNNNNNNNNNNNNNNNNNNNNNNNNNNNNNNNNNNNNNNNNNNNNNNNNNNNNNNNNNNNNNNNNNNNNNNNNNNNNNNNNNNNNNNNNNNNNNNNNNNNNNNNNNNNNNNNNNNNNNNNNNNNNNNNNNNNNNNNNNNNNNNNNNNNNNNNNNNNNNNNNNNNNNNNNNNNNNNNNNNNNNNNNNNNNNNNNNNNNNNNNNNNNNNNNNNNNNNNNNNNNNNNNNNNNNNNNNNNNNNNNNNNNNNNNNNNNNNNNNNNNNNNNNNNNNNNNNNNNNNNNNNNNNNNNNNNNNNNNNNNNNNNNNNNNNNNNNNNNNNNNNNNNNNNNNNNNNNNNNNNNNNNNNNNNNNNNNNNNNNNNNNNNNNNNNNNNNNNNNNNNNNNNNNNNNNNNNNNNNNNNNNNNNNNNNNNNNNNNNNNNNNNNNNNNNNNNNNNNNNNNNNNNNNNNNNNNNNNNNNNNNNNNNNNNNNNNNNNNNNNNNNNNNNNNNNNNNNNNNNNNNNNNNNNNNNNNNNNNNNNNNNNNNNNNNNNNNNNNNNNNNNNNNNNNNNNNNNNNNNNNNNNNNNNNNNNNNNNNNNNNNNNNNNNNNNNNNNNNNNNNNNNNNNNNNNNNNNNNNNNNNNNNNNNNNNNNNNNNNNNNNNNNNNNNNNNNNNNNNNNNNNNNNNNNNNNNNNNNNNNNNNNNNNNNNNNNNNNNNNNNNNNNNNNNNNNNNNNNNNNNNNNNNNNNNNNNNNNNNNNNNNNNNNNNNNNNNNNNNNNNNNNNNNNNNNNNNNNNNNNNNNNNNNNNNNNNNNNNNNNNNNNNNNNNNNNNNNNNNNNNNNNNNNNNNNNNNNNNNNNNNNNNNNNNNNNNNNNNNNNNNNNNNNNNNNNNNNNNNNNNNNNNNNNNNNNNNNNNNNNNNNNNNNNNNNNNNNNNNNNNNNNNNNNNNNNNNNNNNNNNNNNNNNNNNNNNNNNNNNNNNNNNNNNNNNNNNNNNNNNNNNNNNNNNNNNNNNNNNNNNNNNNNNNNNNNNNNNNNNNNNNNNNNNNNNNNNNNNNNNNNNNNNNNNNNNNNNNNNNNNNNNNNNNNNNNNNNNNNNNNNNNNNNNNNNNNNNNNNNNNNNNNNNNNNNNNNNNNNNNNNNNNNNNNNNNNNNNNNNNNNNNNNNNNNNNNNNNNNNNNNNNNNNNNNNNNNNNNNNNNNNNNNNNNNNNNNNNNNNNNNNNNNNNNNNNNNNNNNNNNNNNNNNNNNNNNNNNNNNNNNNNNNNNNNNNNNNNNNNNNNNNNNNNNNNNNNNNNNNNNNNNNNNNNNNNNNNNNNNNNNNNNNNNNNNNNNNNNNNNNNNNNNNNNNNNNNNNNNNNNNNNNNNNNNNNNNNNNNNNNNNNNNNNNNNNNNNNNNNNNNNNNNNNNNNNNNNNNNNNNNNNNNNNNNNNNNNNNNNNNNNNNNNNNNNNNNNNNNNNNNNNNNNNNNNNNNNNNNNNNNNNNNNNNNNNNNNNNNNNNNNNNNNNNNNNNNNNNNNNNNNNNNNNNNNNNNNNNNNNNNNNNNNNNNNNNNNNNNNNNNNNNNNNNNNNNNNNNNNNNNNNNNNNNNNNNNNNNNNNNNNNNNNNNNNNNNNNNNNNNNNNNNNNNNNNNNNNNNNNNNNNNNNNNNNNNNNNNNNNNNNNNNNNNNNNNNNNNNNNNNNNNNNNNNNNNNNNNNNNNNNNNNNNNNNNNNNNNNNNNNNNNNNNNNNNNNNNNNNNNNNNNNNNNNNNNNNNNNNNNNNNNNNNNNNNNNNNNNNNNNNNNNNNNNNNNNNNNNNNNNNNNNNNNNNNNNNNNNNNNNNNNNNNNNNNNNNNNNNNNNNNNNNNNNNNNNNNNNNNNNNNNNNNNNNNNNNNNNNNNNNNNNNNNNNNNNNNNNNNNNNNNNNNNNNNNNNNNNNNNNNNNNNNNNNNNNNNNNNNNNNNNNNNNNNNNNNNNNNNNNNNNNNNNNNNNNNNNNNNNNNNNNNNNNNNNNNNNNNNNNNNNNNNNNNNNNNNNNNNNNNNNNNNNNNNNNNNNNNNNNNNNNNNNNNNNNNNNNNNNNNNNNNNNNNNNNNNNNNNNNNNNNNNNNNNNNNNNNNNNNNNNNNNNNNNNNNNNNNNNNNNNNNNNNNNNNNNNNNNNNNNNNNNNNNNNNNNNNNNNNNNNNNNNNNNNNNNNNNNNNNNNNNNNNNNNNNNNNNNNNNNNNNNNNNNNNNNNNNNNNNNNNNNNNNNNNNNNNNNNNNNNNNNNNNNNNNNNNNNNNNNNNNNNNNNNNNNNNNNNNNNNNNNNNNNNNNNNNNNNNNNNNNNNNNNNNNNNNNNNNNNNNNNNNNNNNNNNNNNNNNNNNNNNNNNNNNNNNNNNNNNNNNNNNNNNNNNNNNNNNNNNNNNNNNNNNNNNNNNNNNNNNNNNNNNNNNNNNNNNNNNNNNNNNNNNNNNNNNNNNNNNNNNNNNNNNNNNNNNNNNNNNNNNNNNNNNNNNNNNNNNNNNNNNNNNNNNNNNNNNNNNNNNNNNNNNNNNNNNNNNNNNNNNNNNNNNNNNNNNNNNNNNNNNNNNNNNNNNNNNNNNNNNNNNNNNNNNNNNNNNNNNNNNNNNNNNNNNNNNNNNNNNNNNNNNNNNNNNNNNNNNNNNNNNNNNNNNNNNNNNNNNNNNNNNNNNNNNNNNNNNNNNNNNNNNNNNNNNNNNNNNNNNNNNNNNNNNNNNNNNNNNNNNNNNNNNNNNNNNNNNNNNNNNNNNNNNNNNNNNNNNNNNNNNNNNNNNNNNNNNNNNNNNNNNNNNNNNNNNNNNNNNNNNNNNNNNNNNNNNNNNNNNNNNNNNNNNNNNNNNNNNNNNNNNNNNNNNNNNNNNNNNNNNNNNNNNNNNNNNNNNNNNNNNNNNNNNNNNNNNNNNNNNNNNNNNNNNNNNNNNNNNNNNNNNNNNNNNNNNNNNNNNNNNNNNNNNNNNNNNNNNNNNNNNNNNNNNNNNNNNNNNNNNNNNNNNNNNNNNNNNNNNNNNNNNNNNNNNNNNNNNNNNNNNNNNNNNNNNNNNNNNNNNNNNNNNNNNNNNNNNNNNNNNNNNNNNNNNNNNNNNNNNNNNNNNNNNNNNNNNNNNNNNNNNNNNNNNNNNNNNNNNNNNNNNNNNNNNNNNNNNNNNNNNNNNNNNNNNNNNNNNNNNNNNNNNNNNNNNNNNNNNNNNNNNNNNNNNNNNNNNNNNNNNNNNNNNNNNNNNNNNNNNNNNNNNNNNNNNNNNNNNNNNNNNNNNNNNNNNNNNNNNNNNNNNNNNNNNNNNNNNNNNNNNNNNNNNNNNNNNNNNNNNNNNNNNNNNNNNNNNNNNNNNNNNNNNNNNNNNNNNNNNNNNNNNNNNNNNNNNNNNNNNNNNNNNNNNNNNNNNNNNNNNNNNNNNNNNNNNNNNNNNNNNNNNNNNNNNNNNNNNNNNNNNNNNNNNNNNNNNNNNNNNNNNNNNNNNNNNNNNNNNNNNNNNNNNNNNNNNNNNNNNNNNNNNNNNNNNNNNNNNNNNNNNNNNNNNNNNNNNNNNNNNNNNNNNNNNNNNNNNNNNNNNNNNNNNNNNNNNNNNNNNNNNNNNNNNNNNNNNNNNNNNNNNNNNNNNNNNNNNNNNNNNNNNNNNNNNNNNNNNNNNNNNNNNNNNNNNNNNNNNNNNNNNNNNNNNNNNNNNNNNNNNNNNNNNNNNNNNNNNNNNNNNNNNNNNNNNNNNNNNNNNNNNNNNNNNNNNNNNNNNNNNNNNNNNNNNNNNUGGCUCAUAUUCUGCGCGCGAGGGCGCGAACUCGCGCGAGCCUAGAGCAACUCGCUCGCGCGAGGCCGCGCCCUCGCGCGCGAGAUGGGCGCAACGUGCGCAUCUCGCGAGCGACGCAGCGCGAGUUGGCUUCCCCCCUUUCUCUUCUCUUCCCUUUCCCACAUGCAUCUCACCCACCACCGCCAUUAAAACACCACCAACAACAACAACAUCCCAAACAACAACAACAACCCAAACAACAACAACAUCCCAAACAACAACAGCAACAACAACAACAAGAAAAACGGCAAUAACAACUCACCUAGGGUUUUCAAUUUUUUUCUUUGAUUUUGGAGAUCUCCGAAGAUUUUCAACGUGAUUUAGCUUCUUUCAAGUGCCAACAACUUCCUCCGCUGCCGAUGUACGCUGCCGCCGACAAUCUAUAGAACUUCUGGUGAUGAGAUUUUGGUGAGAGGGGAAGGAAUUUGCUUGAGGGAAACGUGAGAAUGAGGAGGGUAAUUUCGUCCAAAAUGUGGUGAUUUGGCUAAUGUUGAAAGAAAAAAAUUUGAGGGGUUAAAGUUGAAAAAUGCCUUCUUUUUUUGGCUUGUUUUGUAAAUUUCCCAUCAUCUUUUAAUCAUUGUUAGCAAGCAUCUGACUGGGACCUAUCAAUUGGUAUCAGAGCUAGCUAUUAAUGGCAACCAACAAGGAGUGCAUCGAACGAAUUGAAGCUGACACCGGGAACUUACAGAACAAGAUGAAACAAAUAGAAAUUGGUAUCAAUGACAAGCUGCAGCGUCUGGAGGACACCCUGAGCAAAUUGCCGGAAUCUUUUAGUGCAACCAGAGGCACUGCCAGUCGCAGCACUAACGAGCACAUUGGAUCUUCACGACCAUUCCGCGAGGAAAGUGAAGGAGGUCGACCACCGCUGCCGACAAGAAUUGCUAAGUUGGAGUUUCCUCGCUAUGCCGGCGACGACCCAAUGAAGUGGUUCAAUCGGGCGACGCAGUAUUUUGAGUACCAAGAAACCACGGAUGAGCAUAAAGUAGUCUUAGCGUCAUAUCACUUGGAGGGCGAAGCAAAUCAAUGGUGGCAGUGGAUGUGCAAGGCUUACCAAGGAGAAGGCUGACCGGUUAUGUGGGAAACAUUUGUUGACGAGUUGUUGACGCGCUUCGGACCAACAAAUUGUGAAGACUUUGAUGAAGCACUGUCUCGGGUCGAACAAACAGGUUCUCUGAGAGAAUACCAGAAAGAAUUCGAGAGGUUGGGAAACCGAGUUCAUGGGUGGUCACAGAAAGCGUUAGUAGGCACUUUCAUAGGAGGAUUGAAACCGGAGAUUGCGGAGGAUAUACGGAUGUUCAGGCCACGUACGUUAAAGGCAGCCAUCAGCCUUGCUCGUAUGAAAGACGACCAGAUAACACGCCAACGGAGAUUAUUCCAGCCACCCUCCAAUCGCGCACCGCCAACAUUGCCACCUACUCAAGCAUCACCAACCGUGCCUGUCAAAAGAUUAUCGUGUGAUGAAAUGCAAUGACGACGAGCUCAUGGACUGUGUUUCACUUGCAACGAACGGUUCACUGCGGGUCAUAAAUGUCAAGGGCCCCAACUUCUACUGCUCGAGAGCUACAACGACACCAACAAGAUCACUUGUGAAGAAGUUGCAGAGGAACUACAUGGAGAAGAAAACAAAGGAGAACAACUUGGGAAGCUACAGCAUUGCUACAACAAUAAUUCCUUUGCUGACCCUUGAGGACAAGGGUCCUCUUCCACGAGGGGGUAUUGAUAAGGAGCCAAGGAGGUGCUCAUGCAACUUCAUGCAGACCAUGUUUCACGUGCGGGAUGAAUUUGUUUGAGUGUCGAAGCAAUAGCGGGAGAAUCACUACGUCAAACUAUUUGUUGCCGGUUUGGAAGAGAAUCAAAUUGUGGUUGUCAUGUUUGAUUUGGAUUCGGUCACUAGGUUUAUCUUUAGAUAUUUUUUCUUGUUUUAUUUUACUAUAUUCUAGCUGAUAUUGUUGGCUAAGAACCAAAGACUUGUGAUGUUAGCUAUUAUAAAUAAGUUUCCCGCUGCGAAUAAAGGGAGUGAGCAAUUAUCAAACUAAAUUAUCUCUGGUCGUUCUCACCAAAAGCUUAACAACAUUAUCAUCUUUUAAUCAUUGUUAGCAAGCAUCUGACUAGGACUUAUCAGUGUAAUCACUUGGAUGUAAACACCGCUUCUGCUCAGGAACUCUGUAGAUGGAACACUCUCUGGUUAAGGGCUGGAAAGUCUCCAACUUCCCACCCAAAUAUUCUGCCAACUUCUCCAUUUCUAUCGAUGCAUGAUGCUCACUGUUCACCAUCUUCUAUUAAAUGUUAAUUACUCGCUGCAGUAGCAACAAAAUUGAUCAAGCCUAUAUCAUUGAUGAAGUUUUGGAGAAUUAUUGCCGAAGCUCUGAAGCAAAGGUUAAUAAAUCGAAAACCAAAGUUUUUUUCUCUAAAAAUGUAUCAAUUAGAGAUGGCCAGCUUAUUGGUGACACAUUGGGUUUUUCGGCUACUAAGGAUUUGGGUUCUUACCUUGGCAUGCCUUUAAUCCACUCGCAGGUGAAUAAAGCUACAUAUCAGUCCAUUUUGGAUAAGGUGGACAUGAGGCUUACUGGAUGGAAUGCCGCACAUUUAUCUUUUGCUGGAAGAGUAACUUUGGCGCAAUCAGUGGUUCAGGCAAUGCCUAUUUAUGCAAUGCAAACAGCUUUACUUCCCCCCCCAGUGCGCCAGAAAAUUAACACGACAUGUCGCCGGUUUAUUUGGGAUGGGAAAUCGAAGAGGCAUAAGCUUAUUAUGGUGGGCUGGGACAGAAUUUGUAAGCCAAAGACUCACGGAGGUUUGGGAUUUAAAAAGUUGGAUGUGAUGAAUCAGGCGUUGUUGAUGAAGCUAACGUGGGAAGUUGUUUCGAAUUCAGACAAAUUAUGGGUAAAGGUGUUUUGUUCUAAAUAUGGCUUGGAUCUUGGAAACUUACCGCUUACUCUUCCGGAGAAACAAGGAUCUCGAAUUUGGAUGGCUAUAAGGAAACCAUGGGCAGACACCAUGCAUGGAGCUCGCUGGUCAGUUUGUAACGGGGAGAGAGUUCGGUUCUGGUCUGACUGUUGGGUAACAAAGCACGAACCCUUGAUAAAUCUUGCCAUCCUGCCAAUCCCGCACGAGCGCAUCAAUGAUUCGGUGAGUGAGUAUGUCACUGAAAAUGGGGGCUGGAACUGGCCGAGUUUUGAGCACUUGCUACCUAACUUUAUCCUUAUGAAAAUUGCAUCAGUUAUGCCUCCCGCGCCUGAACUAGGUGUUGAUAAAAUUUUUUGGAGUUUUGAUCACAGAGGCAUCUUUACUGUCCGUUCAGCAUAUGACUCCAUCUGCAGCCAUAACCCCGCCAUCAAAGAAGAAAUGUGGAGCCUUGCAUGGUCGUGGAAGGGACCACAGUCGGUUCGGCUUUUCCUCUGGCAGAUUAUGCAUGGCAGCUUAAAAACUCAUGGCGAAUUAGUUCGACGUCAUAUUCCCGUGUCAAUGGCAUGUGAUAGGUGUGGGGCUCCGGUUGAAGAUAUUCUUCAUGCUUUGAGAGAUUGCCCGUGUAUCAAACGGGUAUGGUUGCGUCUUGUUUUAGAGGGUGACUAUAACUCUUUCUUUCACGAUAAUCUCCGAGACUGGAUUAUAGCAAAUCUUCAGAACAAGUCAAAGCCUGCUUCUCACAUUCCUUGGGAGUGUGUUUUUGGGGUGGCCGUUUGGAGAUUAUGGUUCUGGAGAAAUCAUUUCAUGGUCGAAGGAAAAUUGGUGGAUAGCUCAGCAAUCAUUAUGGAUGUUAUGGUCAAAGCAAAUGAAAUUCAUAGAAUUAAUUUUUCUCAUAUGAGUCAGCAACCAAGGAGAAGAGAGAUGUUUGUCGGCUGGCAGGUUCCUACAUGGCCUUGGUGCAAAUUAAAUACGGAUGGUUUCGUUCGAAAUUCAAGUGAUGCAGGAGUUGGUGGUGUUAUUCGUGACUAUGUUGGAAAUUGGAUUUCGGGAUUUUGUAUGAAUAUUGGGGAGUGUACGGUGGUUAUGGCGGAGCUAUGGGGUCUUUAUCAAGGGCUACUCUUGGCAUGGGAGGCUGGCAUAAAAUGGCUAUUAGUGGAAGUGGAUAGUCUGUGUGUUACACAAAUGAUUUCUAAGCAGGUAGUCGUGCCCAAUGUUUCCUAUGCUUUAGUGGUUGCAGUACGGGAUCUUCUUAAUAGGAACUGGCAAGUCUGUCUAACCCACAUCUAUCGUGAAGCGAAUUCAGUUGCAGAUUUCAUGGCCAAUAUGGCUCUUUCUCUCCCUAAUGGGAUGCAUUUAUUUACUAGCCCGCCUGUGGGCAUUUAUUCAACUAUUUUGCAGGACAUGAUUGGGGUUGCUAAACCCCGUAUUGUUCCGAUUUAGCUCUUUUUACAGAGCCCUUAUUAAUAAAAAAAAAAAGAUUAAAUUAUCAGAAAAUUUAGGUAUAUAAAUAGCAUUAAAAACAUCAAAUGAUUCGAGAUACAAAAGAUCAAAAUUAAGAAAAAAUAAUAAUAAAAGAACGAGAAAACUUACAUUGCUUUGCCUAUGGCCAGUGCCCCACAUACCCGAACAACCCACUUUUGUAGUCAACAGAUUAGAAGCUCCUCACCCAAUAAAAUAAAAUAAAAUAAAAUAAAAUAAAAAAUAUUCCUUUAAAUGAGAACUUGGUCUUUCUAUAUUUACGAGGACUUUGCUCUUCUUUCAUAUUAAAUUUAUUAAAAAACAAGUUCUCCUAAUAAGAAAUUAUUUAUGAGCGGACCACGACCAACAAGCCAUUACGUCUUUUUAUAUUUCAAAGGAAAUUGGCUGAUUUUUUUUUUCAAUUUUUAUUUUAUGAGAAGGCCUAUUGCUGUUGGAUUUGUUUAAACGUGCUCAUUGCUACCAUGAUCCUCGAUCCCCUGAAUGUAACACACUAUAUUGUUCAGUUUAAUUUUAAUAAACCGAUUGUAUACUCUUGUUAAGCAUAAUUUUAGGACAAAACUCAAAAGAUUUUUUUUUUAAAAAAAAAACCAACCAAACCAAGUUGCUUUCUUAUAAAAUUGAAUAAUUUGUUUUCAUUUCAUGCGUUCGAUAAAACCAUAUUAUUAGCAACUAGAUCAUGUUUAAACAAGCGAAUAGGCCACAGAUCAGUCGAAAAUUUAUUUCGUUGAGAUUGGGUAACACAAUUUAAUUUUUUAAAAAAAUCAAGUGAUAAGUAGACAAUUAUAUUUUUUAAACAAGCGAACAGGCAAACUACUAUUAGGCAUUUUUUAAAACAAUUUUAAUAUUUACAAUUUAUUGAACAUAUUUUAUUAUAUUAAAGUAAAUUUUAAAAUAAAUAGAAACAUAAUAUUAAAUUAAAUAUAAAAAAAUUGAAAUUAUUUUGAACGUCAUAUAAAAUUAAUUAAUUAAUAUUAGUACAUAAGAUGUGUUUAAACCCAAUGAUUUAUUUAAAAAAAUUUAUAAUAAAAACAAAUAAGGAUAUUAUCAUUUUACCACAAAAAAUAUUAUGACAUAUUAUGUCAGUACCACGGUUUGCCAAAAGGUGCAUUUUACCACCAAACAUUUUCGUCGUUAUCACUUUAUCACCCUUCUGUUAAAAAUGUUAAAAAUUUACUGAUGUCAUAAGGGCAUCAAAGACAUUUCCUAUUGAAGCCAAAACACUGCAUUGUAAGUGUAAAAUAAACAAUAAAACAAAGUAAAAAAAUUUCAAGGGAAAUUAUUAGAGAAUUAGGAAAUUGAUAACCCUAAAAUCGACCCCUCUCUCUCAUUAAUAUUUUUCCUUAAUUAAAUUGUUUUUGUUUUUAGUUGUGAUUAAUACUUGAAUUUCAUAGAUUAUAACAUUAAUUUUGAAGCAGAAUUUUUUAUUAACCUUUUUACUGUUUGUUGUAAUUCUGCAUAUUGUUCGUUAUUUUUAUUAAUUAGAAUUUUCAGUUGUUUUCUAAAUCUUAUUAAUUGUUAUUGUUAUUAUAAAUUAUUAUAAAAUUGUUAUUAUUUUUAGUUGUGGUUAAUACUUGAAUUUCAUAGGUUAUAAUAUUAAUUUUGAAGCAUAAUUUUUUUAUUAAUUGUUUUCUUUGCCGUUUAUCGUAAUUUUGCAUAUUAUUCAUUAUUUUUUAUUCAUUACAAUUUUUACUUGUUUUCUAAAUUUUAUUAUUGUUCAUUGUUUCUUUCUUUUUAAAGGAUAAAAUUAUCUUUUAUUCUCCUAGGUAAAAUCGACUUUUAACUAAUUUUUUGUUAAAUAUUAACUUUUUUUAAUGAAAAAAUAGUAAAUUGAUAAUAACGCAAAUGUUUAGUGGUGAAAUACAAUUUUUAACAAACCAUGUUAUUGAUGUGAUAUAUCAAAAUAAAUUUGGUAGUAAAAUAAUAAUAUCCCAAAAUAAAUAUAUCAUUUUUCAAAGUAAAUUUAAUCGAAGACGAUUAAAAUGAAGAUGGUAAUGGUCGUCUUUGCUUUGACUUCAUGAUAAAGUGCGUGGGAGAAUUUUAUUUGUUGCGAAUUAUAAAUGAUAAUUCAGUGUGAGGCCAUCGUGCAUUGAAAAAAGAGACUAGUUGUUCAAUUCCAGUCGACGCUUUCAAUUUAUUUAAUGAUGGGUGUCUUGCUUUCUUUCCUUUUCUUUUCUUUAAUAAGCUUAGCAUAAUUGUUACUUUUCCACUGAAUAAUUUGGAUCCAGCUAACUUCCAACAGCUGCAAGGCACCACUACUUUUGUCCACUACAGCUCUUAACCGUCCGAUUUAAUUUAAUAUUUACAAUUUAUUAAAUAUAUUUUAUUAUAUAUUAAAGUAAAUUUUAGAAUAAACAGAAGCAUAAUAUUAAAUUAAAGAUACAAAACAUUUAAAUUAUUUUGAGUGUUGUAGAAAAAUAAUUUAUUUAUAUUAGUACAUAAGAUAUAUUUUGUUAAUUAUAGAAUCUAUUAAACCGAAUAAUUUAUUUUAAAAAAACUAUAAUAAAUAAAAAUCUAUUAAUUUUCAAGGUAAACUUCAUCGAGGGGCUCUAGUUACCUUGCAACAGUUGCAAGGUAUAAAAAAUUUUGUUUUCUUUGUGAUUUCAGUCUUCACCUUGGAUUUAAUAAAAAAAUUAGAGAUUUGUUUAUUUGAUAAUUAACAUUAUAUUCCCUAGUAUAUGUUAAAGACUCAAAAAAAAUUAAACAGUUAAAAUUUUUAACACAUAAAUUGAAUUAUUUCAAAUUUAUAUUGUCAAUCAGCAAUGGGUCUUAAAAAAUAAAUAUUAUUUUUAAUAUUAUUUAUAUAAAUAUUAUUUAGUCAAAAAUAAAUAUAAUUUAUUUUACUUUAUUUAAUAUUAUUUAGUCAUAGGCUUAGUAUUAUAUUUAUUCUUCAAAAAAAUUAAUAAUAUUAAAUAAAAUAAAAUUACAUUUAAGAAGGUCGCUAGCAAAAGCACAUAAACUUAUAAAUAAACUGUAAAUGAAAAAAAAAGUAUGUAAUAUUAAAUGAAAUGAAAUUACAUUUUAAAAGGUUAUCAAUCAAAGCACAUAAACUUAUAAAUAUACUAAAAAAAAAAGUUAAGGAGUUAAAUAAAAUUUAACAUCACAAAAGACAAAAUAGGUGUUGCCUUGCAACAGUUGCAAGGUAGAUACUUUCAAUUGAUUUAAUCAUUGUUAAAUUGCUUCUCGUUGUCAGUUACUAUAGCAUUAGGGAUACCAUACUUGCAAAAGAGGGUUCCUCCAAAUGAAUUCAGUGGUCUUCCAUUAUGUAAUACUCGUCAGUGACUCCACUUUCGGCUACUUUGUGAAAUAGACCAUUGCCAAAAUCGCAAAUUUUGCCUAUCCUUUCCCGACUAGCAAUGGGCUAAUGAGAUCCACAUCCUAAAUGGCAAAGGGUCAAGGAGAAGAUAUAGCCAUUAAUUUUUCUAUGGGUAAAUGGGGUACCUUGGCGAAUCUCUGACAUUUAUUACAGUUUCUGACCAUAUUCUUGGCAUUUUUUGGCAACAUAAGCUAGUAGUACCCUUAGCGAAGGGCUUUUUUUGCUCAUGAUUGUGUUUUAAAGUGAUUGCCUCAAAUUCUUUGUGCAUAUCCCUCAUAACAUAUUCAACUUGAUCACUUUCCAAAUAUUUUAGGUAAGGGAGAGUGAACCCUUAUAUAUAUAGGGUAUCAUGGAUGAGGCAGUAUCGUGCAGCUUUGUAGUUCAACUUUCUGACUUUACUUUUAUUUGAAGGGAGAUCUCUAUCCCUGAUGUACCUUAUGAUCGGCUUCAUCCAAGGUACCCUUACAAACAACGAUCCCACUUCUAUUUGUUCUACAAGACCAAUACUGGGGUAGGUAUGUGUUUAAUCGCGACGGGACCAGCUGAUUAGGCUAUGACAAAAGAGGUCGUUUUGGCCAAUUUGUUGGCUUCACAAUUCUUCAUCCACGAUAAUCUUUCCACAUUAACCUUGGCAAACUGGCAAACCAGCUAUUUGGUUUUCUCAAGGUACCCCUUCAUAUUUUCUUCCUUAGCCUAAUACUCAAGGCGAUUUGGCUGAACCACUAGAUGGGAGUCACUUUUAAUGUGGACUGUUUUUGCUCCCAAAGCCUUUGACAUCCUCAACCCUGCUAUGAUGACUUCAUAUUUGACUUCGUUAUUUGAAGCCUUAAAUCCAAAUUACAAUGCUUAGCACAACUUCACUCUAUCUUAGUCAAUGAUGAUUACACCAGCACUGCUUCCGUGUGAGUUGGGGGAGCCAUCCACAUGUAUCUCCCAAACUUGUUCUUCUUUUAUUUCUGGUGUAGUUUCGCUUGGGUACCCUAAGAACCCUUCGCCCUCAGAGUCAUCGACAAAUUCUACAAUGAAGUCAUCGAUGGCAUGAGCUUUAAUGUCCGAAUGUGGUUUGAAGAUGUUAUUGAACUUACUCAAUUUAAAGGAACAUUGAAGGAACUUUACGAGCAUAUACAAUUUCUAGAGGAUUUAUCGGAGGGGAAGAAUCGUGACAACAGCUAUAGUGUGGUCCUAAAAAUAUAGCCUGAGACUACUUACAGAGACAACCAGUGCCAGAACCAAAUUUGCAAAGGCGUUACUGGUGUGAUAUAUUGUACGCCUUCAUUAUCUUCCCUGAGCGAAAAAAAAACUAGUGGUGUGUUUGGAGAUGGUGAUGAACAACAAUAACACAUCCCCCACCGUGGGUUUGGUGAGUAGCGGUGGAUUAACGAGGUAAUCAUUGAGUUAUUGAAAGGCAUUUAUACAUUCAGAGGUCCACUGGAGCUUCUUGCUAGCUUUCAAGGCUUUAAAAAAGAGGCUUACAAUGAUCGGUGCCCUUGAAGAUAAAACAACUUAAGGCGGCUAACUGGCCUACCAAACUCUUAACUUCCUUAAUGGUUUGUAGCGACUUCAUUUUAAUGAUUGCAAAGAUUUAUUAAGGUUAGAAUCAAUUCCUCGAUGCUUUACCAUGAAAUUAAGAAAUUUACUCGAGGUAACCCCAAAUGCGCAUUUUUCAGGGUUGAGCCUCAUCUGGUGCUGUUUGAUAACAUUGAAGGUGUCUGUGAGGUGCCCCGCAUGGUCACUAGCGUGCACUGACAUGAUGAUCAUAUCAUCAACGUACACCUUCAUGGUGCGCCUAAUUCGCUCCUUAAAAAUUUUGUUCACCAAUUGUUGAUAAAUGGCCCUGAUAUUUUUUAAACCAAAUGACAUAACCUUAUAACAAUACAACCCACAAUUGGUGAUGAAGGCCGUGUUUUCUUGAUCGGGUUCAUACACGAAGAUUUGGUUAUAGCUAGAGAAAGUGUCCAUGAAGUUAAACAUUUCAUAUCCGCCAUGGUGUCGACUAGCUGGUCUUUCAUGAGAAAUGGAAAGUUAUCCUUGGGGCAUGAAUUGUUCAAGUCUAUGAAGUCCAUGCACAUGCUUCAUUUUCCAUUGGACUUUUUCACUAAGAUGACAUUCGAUACCCAAUCGGGGUAUACUGCGUCCCCGAUGAACCCAGUUACCAGCAGACGGUCUACUUUUUGCUCCAUGGCGUCAUAACAUUCUUGGUUGAAAGUUUGGCGGUUCUAUUUGACAAGCUUGUGAUGAGGGUUGGUAUUGAGAUAUUGGCAGGAAGUUGAAGGUAGAUAUCUAGCAUAUCUGCAAUAAACCAGGCAAACAUGUCAUAAUUUUCCUCUAAGAAGGUGACAUGUUGCUCUCGACGCUGAUCUGGGAGGCUGGAUCUAAUUUUUACCUUUUUGGUAAGGUCAUCACUACAAAUUUUAUCAAAAAUAAGGUCUUCUACUAGUGUACUUCAUUUUUCAUCAUUAGGUACACAGGCAUCCAAAGGCGCCGCCAACCCUCCAAUUAGCUCCGAACUAAGUUUAUAGGAUACCCUAGGUUUUCUACUGCAUUAUAUCCAACUCCAUGGGCCAGACAACUUAUUCUUUUGGACGACCAUUUGUCUACAAGGCUUUCUUAUGCCCAGCUCUCCGUUAUCCAGUAAGUGCUCACUUAGUGGGGCAAAUAUCUGGCCUUGCACUAGUAGGGUACCCCUAUAAAAGAGUGUUAGAAACAAUUUAAUAAUUUGCCUUAGAGGUGACAAAACAACAUCCUCAACUUGACUAUCGAUCCCCUUUGGUGGUGAUAACAUCCUCAUAGGUUAAAAUCUUCUUGGUAAGGUAAUGCAUGGACACUGCUAUUUUGUUAUUACUAAGAAUGACCUUCCCAAAAUAAUAUUGUAUGCACCCAAGUGGUCCGCGAUAAGAAAAUCAAUCAUGUGGAUGACUUGGUAAGGUACCUUACCGAUGGUUACAGGCAGUGUGAUGAUGCUCCUAGGGAUGACCAUAUCCCCAAUAAAACCAACAAGUGCCAUGUUACAAAGGGCGAUCUUCGAUGACUCGAUAAGUAAUUAAUCUAAUACACUUUUGAGGAUGAUGUCUAUAGAGCUACAAAUAUCCAUAUGUGCUCUCGCCACUUCGCCAGUGGCAACUUUCAAUGUAAUGAUUAAAGCAUCGUCAUGGGUGUAUAAGAUGCCUUUGGCAUCUUUUUCUGUUAAGAGAAUCAAAAUGGGAUGGUCAAGUGCCUGGGGUAUCCCAUGCCAAUUUUGACUAGCAAAGUUAACUUUUUUACUAAUAUGAACAUUUAGGGUCAGUGUUCUAUUGUAACAAUUGAUGGCCUGCCUGGAUUCACUGGCAAAGGUAGGCAUGUUGACUAUCAUUCGAACAGACACCCAUUUCUUAGAUUCUUAGGGUGCCCCCUAGUUAGUACUUGAGUCAGCGACUUGUUUACCAUUGUCUUGCUCUACAGUUUUCCUAGCCUGCCACAUAUCAGCUAGAAAAUCCUUAAUGUACCCACUCAAGAUCAAAGACUCGAUUUCAUCCCAUAAGCAUAAAUAAUUGGCAGUGCUAUGGCCAAAAUCCUGAUGAAACUCACAGUACUUGAAGCUUCGCUUCAUAUUGGGGUACUUCUGCAUUGACUUAGGUGGGCGAAGUAGGAUAGUAUCCCUGAUCUAAUAGAAAGUUUGUUUUGGAGAUUGAUUCAGAAGAUGAUAAGAAUCACACAUAGGCCUCUAUGGCUGCUCACUUUAUUCUAUCGAUGGUGGCUUGGUGAUUGGGGUUAUCGAGGGUACUUUGAAGAUGUUGAAACCUCAUCCUCAUUUAGCUGGCACUGGCGAACUGGGUUGGGGUACCUCUAAUUUCUUUGGUUUUUCUUUGCUUUUUGUGGCUUCUGCUUUGUCAUCUUCUUGUUUCAAAUGGCAUUUCUCAUCUCUCUCGAUUUGUUGCAAGGCUUGAGAGUGGGCUUCUCCAUAAGAGAGAGGAUAACGCUUUUGAAAGGAGUGCCAUAGCUUUUCCAAACACAUGUUUUUCUUAAAGUAAGUCAACAUGCACUAGGCCCCGAAUAUGCCUAUUCGCAAGACUUCUUGGUGGAAGCGGGCUAUAUAAUCAACUAAGGGCUUGGACUGCCCUUGCUUAAUGAAGGCCAACUUGGAUGCUGCCUAUUCUUGGGAAAUGACGUAGCUAAAUUCGUGAAUGAACUUCGCGAGGAGCUGAUCAAUAAAGGAUACACUACCUACCUUCAAAGGUUUAAACCAAGAUUUGGCAGGUUCUCUCUGUGUGUGUGUGUGUGUGUGUGUGUAGCCUUGUUGACAAUUCCCUUGAUAAGGAUAUGAUCGCAAUACAACUCGACAUGCUCUGUUAGAUCUGAGGUACCUGAGUACUAGGAUACCUAAGGCAUGGCGGAAGUGUUCGGGAGAACUGCUGUCUGAUUUUCCAUAGUGGAUGGCAAGUUGUACCCUACAAAUGUUAGAGCACUAGGGACAUUUUGUUUUUCAGAAAACAACUUUACUUAGUCUUCCAGGUGUUCCAUUCUUUUAAGGAGAUCACAGUUCACCUUAAGAUACCAUUUUCAUUUGAGAAGCUCGUUUGGCAUUCAACUUAUGGCAAAGAUCCUCACAAGCUCGUGUGUUGCAUUUAGUACCUCGGCUACUGCACGAGUAACUACAGGCUGUAUAGGAUUCCUCUAUAGAGGAUGGGGGUUGUGACUUAAGACGGGUACUCGAUGGAUCUCGCUUUUGUUUGUCACCUUCGAGUAUCUCAAAAUUAUAGGACUAUUUGUUUUUCUUCUGUGUUAAUAGGGCUUCCUAAGUGGUAAAAGGGACUGUUGAUUCAUGUAUUUACGAGCCCACAACCCAAAGAAUGACAUGAGUAAGUUCUUUAAAGAUUGUUGGGAAACGAGCUCCUCAUUUAGGUGAAUACAGUAGAUUGUUUAAUGGACUUGCCCUUGUUAGGCUGAGCCGUUCUCUCUACUGGAUCACUAACCUCCUCACUGUUGUCACCUCUCAUUUACAUAGAAUUUGACAUCAUCGCAUCAGAAGGUACAUUGGGUGCCAUGAUUUAUAAGCACACAUCACGAUCAAUUUAGCAACCGCCGUGAAAGCCUUUUGUGCUUUCCAUAUAGAUGGCGCCAAUUGUUUUAAGUGGAUUUUGGGUGCAAGAUAAAGAGACAAUACCUCACCAAAAUAAUGAAUUUAUUUUUUACGAUUCAGGAUACCUCACAUAAUCACGAUAUGUGGGUUGUUUUAAGCUUUAAAGGGGGUGAAUAAGAAUGAAAGAAUGGCUGAUAAUGGCAAGAAGUUAGGUGUGGGGCGAGAGGGCUUGAAAUGGCGCCUUUAGAUCUGGAAAACAACAAAACGAGGUUAGAGAUGGAGUUGGCAGUGUUCGACGAUCACACUCCGAUGCUCAAGUCAACUACUUGAACUUUUGUAGAGUUAAGAGCUUGCAAGCUCUCCAAAAUGGAGGCUAGAGGUAAAAGAAGACCUCAGCCCUUUUCGAUGUGUGUGUGUGUGUUUUUUAUAUGUAUAAGAAAUAUAGAACCUUAUUGCCUUUAUAUAGUAUGUCCUUGGUACCUUACCAUGUGGCACAUCUCUGGUGGUGAUUCUAUUGUUCUUUCUAAGAUUCUCUCAUCAUUUUUACCUUUAUGAUGAUUUUUGAGUUGUUAGGAGCAUGCUUGAGGUGCAAGAAAGCGGUUUUUUAGCAGAUUUAUUGUUUUGUGUACAUGGCAUACGCUGUAGCUGGUCCUAGAUGCCUCUAUAGAAGCUGUCUGGACAGUUGUAGGUGUGACAGAUGAGGACCACCGUCCUUAGUGUGCUGCUUGUCGCUUUUGCAGGUAUGACAGCUAGCUAGCCCUUAUUUUCUAACAAUAUAUUCCUUAUUUGAUUUUGCCAAAUCGAAUAUUCUUUUUAGGCGAUAGAGAUAUCACGUGUGCUGGAUAUAAUUGGAUUUUUUUUAAAUACCUUAAUUCUGUCAUGGUGUACACUACGUUUCAGUUCAAUUAUUAUAUGUAGUUGGUGUAAAUCGGGUACCCAAUAGAGAUCACUUGUAGUCAGAAAAACCUUUUCAUCGACACGUGGUGUUUUAUUUUUAAUUUUCUAUCUAUUCCCCAAACAAUGUAGUAAAUAUUUUAAUUUCCUCUAUAGCCAAAAAAUUAAUUACUGCCCCUAAAUAACGGUCGACAAAUUUUUCUAGUUCAUUACUAUAAAAAUAAUGAAGAAGGUUUUUUUUAAAAUUUUUUUUUUAUAUCUAGUCACGGUUAGAAUUUCAAAAAACUGUUUUUAGCUUGUUAAUUCUCCAUUAAUGCUAUUGAAGAUGAGUAGAGAAGAAUAUAAAGAUACUAUGACAGUAUUUACGGGAUUCUAGGUGAAGUGGAAACACUUAAUUUAUCAUUACAUAUGAAACUAAGAAUUAGAAAAUUGUGCUAAGAACCAACGUUCUAAUUAAAAGAAAAAAAUUAUAAUCCUUAAAAACAUUCGUUUACUUGAGUUGAUAAUUUUUAAUGAGUGUUCAACAUGGGUGUCAAGAGUAUAAAUUCAAUAUAAAUUAAUAAUAGUAAGUUUUUCUUAAUCACGUUAUGGGCAUUUAAUAAUACAAAAUAACGCUUAUCUUUUUUUGCUUUUUAUACGCAACUACCUCUAGAAUAUGCAUUUUCGAAGGGAUGCAAUUCGCGUCGCAUGUUGAGCCAAGUGGUCUAGUAACUGAGAAUGAGAUAAUAAGUUUGGAUAAUAUUUUCAUUUUCUCUGAGUUUGCCAAUAUUGUUGGAAAUUAUAUUUUAUGAUGAUACCAAACAUCACGGGAUGCGAUGUCCAUUACGAGAAAGAGAGAAAUUUACGUGGGCAAUUUGGCAGACCACAAUUUUUUUGCUUCAAAUAAUUUAAUAUCUCAGCAUUAUUUGACAUCUCAGCAUUUAGUUUAUGGAUCCCAUUGACAGGAUCCAUAUGAUCUGUGAAAAGACAGAACUUGGGUGAUCGAAUAUAUCAUCCCAACAAAAGGCUCCGCCAGUAAUAUAACGCUGCAUCACAUGUAGCGGUUUUUGAAUUUUUUAUUUAAAAUUCGUAAACCGUUAGCUUUUUUACGAGGCCAUCCCACGGUUGAGACAUUUUGUAAUUAAAUCUGGCUACCGAAACCGGCGGUGAACUAUUGAUAGAUGGCAAAUAUCAACAAUAAUUAUCAAUUGGAUACUUGUGCUUUACAUAAAUUUAAAAUAUAGCUAUUUAAAUUAGAAAAUUAUCAAAGACCCCCUCAAUUUAACACGAACAAUGUUAAAUUGGAAACGUUAAUUUUUUUUUCAAAAAAUUACUCAUCAAAUUAUAUUGAUAUUAAUUUAACAAAAUUAAUUUUUUAUGCAAAUAUAUAUCAUCGUCAUGUGGAAUAUUAAUUUGAUACUUUGAGCAAUAUGCAUACAACUUAUUAUGCAAUUUAUCUUAUAGAAAUUAAAGUAAUGUUAAAAAUUAUUUCAUGUAGCCUUGAAUGUUAAUUACAUAAUAAAUAUUAUAGAUAUGGAGUUGUGAUUAAUGUUCUAACAACACUCAACGUUAUUAUAAUUAAUUUUUCUUUAACUAUAACCUAACAGCAACAUAAUUCCCUCCCAAUCAAUGUGAGUGGGGCUUAAACAUUGUACCCGUUAUUUUUCACAUAUAAUAUUAUAAUUGGUAUGAAUACUAUCAAGAGUUAUAUUACACUUUACAUAGUUUGUAUCGUAAAUGACAAGUCACUCAUUGAUAGAGGUUAUAAAAAUUAGCACAUAAAUAUUAAAUAACAAAGUCAGCUAGCACCUUGCACGCAACAAUUAAUUAUGCGUGACACAACUAAUGAUACAAAUAAUGAUUUGAACUACUAAGUUUGUUAUUAUUAUGUUUUUAAUAAUUAUAAUUGCUCACAAAUGUGCUCAAUUUAAGUUAAACUCAAUUAUGAUAUGUAUUAUCAAUUAUCAUCGUCGCUCUUUUAAAUAUUCUUUUACCUAUUAGAUAUAUUCUCUAAUCUCCUAUUUUCAGAUAAAGGAGAGUUCACUUCACUAAAUUUAAGACUUUUGAAGCUUUUUAGUUUUGUGCUAUUGGAGAGAAGUAUAUCCUUAUGAAUUUGCUUUCAUUUAUAUGCCUUGAGUUUAUUAUAAUCUUGGCAACUACGAAGUUACAUUAACUACAUUACAUAUAACUUACAAUUGAUCCAAAAGUAGUUUUCGACAACCUUUUAGUUGUUUGACAAGCAACAAUUGAGUCAUUAAAAAAAAUAAAUUUUAAGUUGAUGUAAGUUGUAGAUGAUGCAACACAACAAGACCACUAUAAUCUUAUGUGGCAUGAAAUAUGUUUAAUAUAAUUUUAUUUUGGUGUUCAACUAAAUUUUAAUUUUAACAAAUUUAUAAAAGUCUUAUUAUUGAGUUAAUUAUAUUAAAAUAAUUUUAAAGAAUUAGAUUUCAUUUAGCUAGUUAAAAAAAAAUGUCUAAUGAAAACUCAUUUACCAAAUUUUAUUUUUAACUUAUUCUAAAUGCUGCCAUUAAGGGAUAAUAGGAAUAAUAAAAAUUAGUGGUGAAAAUCACAAUCUUAUCCACAUCUCACCAAAAUGAACGUGGUCUGAAAAUUGCUCGAUUGGAUAUUUUGAUUGCUUCUUCUUAUUUUAUAUUUUAUUAUUUAAUUUUUAAGCAAAAUUUGGUGCAAUUCAUGAUUGUACACGUAAUGUCCUUAUUUUCAAUUGCGGGGUUUUCCAAGAUCCUUAAUCUUUCUUACUGAAUCUUAAAGAACUUGGGAUUAAAUAAUUUGGUGUAGUGGACAAAGUUAGUGCAAAUGGAGAACACUUAUAAACUAAGACACAUAGAGUCUAAAUAUAUUUUCUUUUUCAUUUUUCAAAUUUACUUUAGCUAUGUUGGGAAAGGACUACCACAACCAAUUGUAAAUUAAGCGAAAAUAACACUCUUUCCCUCUUUGUGUGAUUAAAAUAGGAUGUGUACCAUAAAUAAAUAAACAGAAAAAUUAACCAACAAAAUCUAAAGCAGAAACCAACCAUACGAGACACAGAUCUUUACGUAGAAAACCCAAAAUGGACAAAACCACAGGACCAUAGUCUGAUAUAAUCUUCCAUUAUAUUAAUGGGAUUACAGCACAAAUUCUUCUCUAGAUAAUGUUAGAGGCAAACAAUAUCAAGAAUCCACUACAAGAAAAUAGGCAAUAGAUGAUAGACAGUUUGUAACGGAUUAUAGACAAAAUGAUUUGCAUCAUAAUAAUAUGACGAACUUGUGAUAAAAAUUUCAAUGUAUCAUAGAAUAAUGAUGGUUUUGUGAUAGAAAUAUUUUCUAUCAUGGAUUUAUGAUGGCUUUGUGAUAAAAUUAUCGUAUAUCACAAAUUUAUGAUAGAAUCGUGAUAAAAAUUUGAUCUAUCAAAAAAUUGUGAUAGUAAAAUGAUUUUGACCAUGUUUAACCCAAAUUUGAUGUAUUAUAGGUACAUUUUAAUAAUUGAAAAAACUGAAAAGAAAAUGCUAGCAAAAUGCUACCAUUUUGUUUUAUCUUUAACAUUCUUUUUCCUUUUCUAAGUGCUAAACACACACACACAAAGACAGAAAUUAAAAUCCCUAAAUGUUGCUUCUAUCGUUCUUGCCAUUGAUAUACACUCUGUCUGAAACCCUCAUUCUUAUUGCUAUCCUACCAGUCACAUACUAUUGUUGCCUAUUAAGCCUUCAACGUCCUCAGUUUUAUUUUGUCCCUCGUUACUCUCUGUCUCUUUCACUUCCUUUCAAAAUUUCCCAAUUAAACCCUAAUUAACUGUUGUCAAGCACACGUUCGAGGGUAAUUGCGCCAAUGACGAUAUCUUUUUGCCCAACGUCACAAGUAAGAUCCUUUAAGGCCAUUGAAAUAAGCAUGAUGGGGCAUCUAAGUCCGACGACCUCGCCACUACUGGCAUCGAUGAUGAUCUUUAAGGCUUGGGAUGCUGAUUUCGUCAAAGUCGAUUAGGCCGCUCUUUUUAAUCUCAUGCUUGUCAGUUUGGCCUUUUCCUAUUUUUUUAAUUAUUGAUUGUUUCAUUUUAAUUUGUGUUUAGGGAUCUUGGUUUUGUAUCUAAGGCUUUCUUGAUUAAUUUUUGGGAUUUUUCUUUUAAAUUGACUGUUGAUUAAUUGAUAAAAUCACAUAAAUGAUCUUUCUUAAAGAUUGUUGAUGGGAAAUUUGUAUUCCACAUUGGACCCGGAAGUUGAUCUUUGGUAAAAUAUGGAUUGUUAGUCAGAAUUUUGAGUUUUUUUCCUUUAAUUAGAAAUCUAGUGAAGUAUGGGUAAGGAAUGAUAAUUUUUUUUUUGUAAUGAUUUUGCACUUUGGUAAUUACUUAUUUGAAAGUAAAUUCGUAUGUUAAUUUUUUUUUCCAAAUAAAUUUGUUUUGUGUGAACAGUAGCUUCAAAGCCAGAAAAGAGUGGCCAAAGUUCAUGAGUUUCAAGAGUUGGCAAGGCACAAUAAUAGAGAUGAUUGUUGGCUUGUAAUUUGAAGGAACGUCAGUUCAUCUAACUCACCGGUUGUUUGAUUUACUUGUUUUUUUUUCUCGAUCUCAUGCAUUUGUCUAUUUUGUUUUCUCUUUACUUAAUAGCCUAAAAAACCUUCUCUCUCUCUCUCUUUUUUUUUAAUUUAUCUAAUAUUUGUUAGUUUUAUCUAAGAAUCAUCUUGGUUCAAUAUAGAGACUUCUCAAGGAUAAAGAUCUAGAAGUAAAUAUUUUAGGACCCAAAUAAGGUGAGAACAGGAGAUAAAUAUACUAUUGAAAGACUGAAAGUUUAUAUGAUUCAUUUAAUAUUUUUUUUUUCCAUUCCUAGGGUGUUAUUAGUUGAUGUUUAUUGUAGUAUGUAUAGGUUGGUGAGAGAAUUAGAAAAUAGUAACAUGUCGUUAAAAGCCUGUAAAUUUCUUAAUUUUUGUGAAUUUUCGUUGCUAAAUUAAAACUUACUCAAUGACAGGAUUUUCUCCUACCAAGAAUUCUUAAUUCCCAAGUUCGCUAGUUAAUGAUUUCUUUAUUGCUUUGACUUUUGUUUUAGAAAACUUGUUUGCUGCGAAUGGCCUCGGUCUAGUUGGCAUAAAGAAUUAAGUCUACAGAGCUUGUAAGUCUUUUAUCUUUAUGUAACACUCCACUAAAAUAUUUAUUUAAAAAUGUUUAAAACACGGUUACUUUUAAUAUAAAUACGAAUUCUAAAAGUUUAACAUAACAAACAAAACUUUCUUACAUAAAGUAAAAGUCAUACAGAGAUUUCAUAAUUUAUUUUAAAACUUGAUUAUUACAUAAAGCUAAGAUAUUUAUUUUUUAUUGAAAUAAAGCUAAGCCAAUCAUAAAAUGCCAAGUUUUGUUAUGCCCAUAUGCACUUCGUCUUGCUUAGGACUUGGCGCCAGCUUGCCUUACUCAUCGUUGCCUGCAAUGUAAGGACUUUAUGAGCUAAUGCCCAGUAAAAUAACACUUGGACGCAUGUAUAACUUAUUAUGCAUAUGGAUGAUCAUAUUAAGUUUUCAAAACAAACUUAGAAAAUACAAAACAACUUCAUUAGGGCCUUAGGUAUGUUGCACUACAAGGCUGACACUUUUACUCUUUAAACAAUAUGCCCUUGGGCCUCAUUAGUUGAUCUUUUGGGCGUUACGUAUCGCCGUCCCGAAAAGAUUUCUUUUUACUUAACUUUGAGGGCUUGCCCUCCUUAGAAACUUUGCCACUUGGCAGUACAACCACCUAUUUUUCAUAAAUUCAUUUUCUUAAACAUCUUCUUUAUAAUGUAAUCCAUGAUAUGCAUGUAUCCAAUGCAACUUAUGUCAUAACAUUUGAAGUUCCCAAAUGUAUAACAGAAUAAACUCACAACACUAUUUUAUUACAAAAUUCUUUAAUACAGGCGGCAUAAUCGACUAUAGCAUAAUUAAGUAUAAGUAUCACAGAUUAGGCGGUAGAGCCGACCGUAACAUAACUAAGUAUCAUAGAUUGGGCGGCAGAACUGACCAUAACGUAAUUAAGUAUCAUACCUUAGGUAGCAGAGCCGACCAUAACGUAACUAAGUAUUAUAGCUUGGGCGGCAGAGCCGACUAUAACGUAACUAAGUAUCAUAGAUUAGGUGACAGAGCUGACCAUAACAUAAUUAAGUAUCAUAGAUUAGGUAGCAGAGCCGACCAUAUAAGAAUUUAGAUUAUAAUUAAUCACAUCAUAAUAGCCAUCACAACAUAAAAGAAUGGUUAAAACUGAAGUUAAGUAUGAAAAAAAAAAAUUUCCCUACAUUGCAGUUGAAGUGUUAUUUACCUCUUGACCUUAACUUCUCUAGACCUUUCUAAAUUGAGGAUUUCCCUAGUCUUGAUGUUAUGACUUAGAAUAGAAAAGAGUAAAAUUUCUAGGUUGCAUUGAAAAUGAAAAGGGGUAGGGGGUAUUUAUAGGAUUUCUCAGGGCUAAUAGAUGGUUAGAAUUUUGCCACCAUAAAUCUUGAUCAAUGGUUGAGAUUAACUUUCAUAAAUAACUUACUAAAUUCUAGAAUUCUAAACUUUUACUACAUACUUCUCUUACAUCAUCAUCACUUAUGUCAUUACUUAUGUCAUCAUUACUUGUGUCAUUGUUUAUGUCAUCAUUACUUAAAAUUAAAUAUUUUAUAUUAUUAUUAUUUUAAUACUUAAGGGAGCUUGUUAGCUUAAAAUAAAUUCUAUUAUAUUUAAGUGUGAAAAUUGUACCUCACACUUUCAUAGAAUUUUUUUUUAAAAAAAAUAUUGCUUUAACUGGAAAAAACUAGAUUGUUUUGUGUAUGUUUGAGUUUUGUUGAUACUAAUUUUCCAGUAGGCAUCUCGUCAGUACUAAAACUGAAAUGAUGAAUGGAUUGUUGGUAAAUAUUGUUGAGAAUUGAGAAUUUGGUGUUGUGGUUUUUUAUGAUUGAUCAAAGUAGGGUAAAUGCCCUUGCUACACAUUUGGUCCACUAAUUAUGAAGUGUUUCAUUUUACAUAGUGUAGCGCCAUUAAUGAUUUUGUUCAAGGUGGCGCCCAAAUUUGAUUCCUUUAGAAAUUCAUAAUUAGGUAUUUGAAUAAAUGUUUAGAUAUGUUUUUAUGGGUUUCAUUAAGUUAUAUUCUUUCUAAUGCUUAUUUUCUUCUAUUUCAGAACUAGUUUUGAGAUGGAUACCCCUAUGGCAACUGACAGAAUUUGACUGUUGUUAUAACUUCUUUAUUACUAAAGUUGUUCCUAUAGCCAAGUUCAAAGCUUGCUUAAACAUGGCUGGUGUUGAAAGCCUCUGAUAAAUCAGAGAGAUGAGGAGAAAGUUGGUCAGGGUUGAUUUGCUUCAAGGUGGAGUUAUGUUGAACCAAAAUGAAACAAAUCAAAAAGGUUAAUGAAACGACAGGAAGCUUGGCGUUUUGGCUCUGUAAACAAUAAAGCAAAACGACACAGUUAUCGGCGUUUCUUGCUACCUUUGAUUAUCUUCACAAAACGACCUAGGAUUCUACCGUUUUGGUUAUUAGAAUCAUGAGCAACGCACGUGACAUUUUAAAUGACGUGUGAAGGCUGUUAAAAGCCGUUAUUGUCAUCUGCAGCUCACGUGCCUAGCUGGGAUUGUUUCUGGGUCGUUAUAAACACAGAGGCUGGAGCUGAUUCUGGUACAACAAACUGAGAGGAUUUCAGAGGAUCAAGGAGAGAGAGUGCUUGUGUAAAAGGAGCGUUCUUGUUCCAUGAAAAGGGCUCUGUAAAUCUGGUUGUAAAAGAGACUUUGUUCUGUCAAUAAAGCUGAUUAAUUUCUUCCUCCGUGGAUGUAAGUCAAUGUGAAUUGACUGAACCACGUAACUUGCUGUGUUUGAGUUGUUCUUGAGUUUCUUUUAGAUUCUUUGAUUGCUUACUGUUGGUUUAAUCUGCUUUUGGGUUGUUUUCUAUCAUUGUAACUUUCGAAUCUUCUUUGGUUCAUCUUGGAAUUCUGAUCUUGGGAUCUUGGGAGAGAUUGUUCAAGUUGUUUCUAUGAGCUUGUAAAUCUCUACAAUUGGUAUCAGAGCUGGAUUUCUUUUUUCUCCUUCUAUUAAAUUAUACAGUCGAAUUGUCAGUUUUGCUUUCUUUAGCUUCUAUGUUCUCUUUUUCUUUGGAGGCACGAUAUAUAUUUUCAUUUGGAUAGUUCAACUUAUAAAAGAAUAGCUAUAUGCAAUUAUUAGACUAUAAACUAUUUUUAAGGUGUGCAUGUUUGUUCAUAGUUACAUUGGUUAUUGCUCUCCUUUUCUUCAACAGGAAUAAGAGGUGGAGUUACGAGACUAGUUUUUUCAGGCCAACAAUUGAGGGCAUGGUGAAAGAAUGGAGAGGCUAUUUAAUUAGGAUAUUCUGUUAAAUUACCGUUGUCCAAUGUUCAUUGCCUGGAUUGGAGAGAAACUGACUAACUACACCAACUACAUGAAUAAUAUCUGGUCUUGUACAAACCAUGACGUUCACCAAACUACCAAAUACUGAAGCAUAAGGAACUCCUCUGAUCUCUUGCGUUUAUUUCUCACUUGUGGGGCAAUGCUCGGAACUAAGCUUAAAAUGGCCUGCAAGUGGAGAACAAACAAAUUUUGCCUUGCUCAUGUUAAAUCUUUCAAGAACUCUUUCAACAUAUGCUUCUUGAGAUAACUAUAACUUUCCAGAUUUUCUAUCGCGAGAAAUCUUCAUUCUAAGAAUCUAUUUCGCCGAUCCAAAAUCCUUUAUUGCAAAACACUUGCUAAGCUCUCUUUUUAGAUUGUUAAUCUUACUGAAAUCCUAGCCAAUAAUUAACACGUCAUCUACAUAAAAAAAAAUAAUGAUGAAAUCAUUAUCACCAAACUUUUUCUAAUUGAAACUCUUCACAACUAAUCUAGUCUUAUACUGCUGUUAUGAGUUAUUUUCUGUCUUCAACCUGUAAACCCAUUUGUUCUUCAAUGCCCUAUUUCCUUUAAGCAGCUUCACUAAGUCAUAAAUGUGGUUCUCAUUCAAGAAUUUCAUAGUUUCUUCAAAACAUUCUGGCUCCCCUCCAUCUAUAAGCAUCACAUACUCAUUUGGAGGAUAUCUAGUGGAAGGUUGCCAUUCUCUGGUGGAUCUCCUCAAUUCUGACUCAACUGGUAGUGCAAGUGGUUCUGUAGGUGCUUGCUUAACUAGUUCUACUAGACCAUCAUUAUUAUCCUCUCCAGCUCCCUCAUGAUCAUCAUAAACUAAGGUAGAGAAACUGAAGUUGGAAUAAUAGGAAUCUUUAGAGAUGACUGAGACUCAUCACUCUUUUUUACAUCACCAACUAUAUGAUUUUCUAGAAACACGACAUCUCUCAUUCUGAUCAAUUUUCUUGCCAUUGGAUCCCAUAAUCUGUACCCAAAUUCUUUAUGCCCAUAGCCUAAGAAAAUGCAUUCCUUGGCUUUACCAUCAAGCUUCGAUCUGUCAUCUUUAUGGAUGUGAACAUAUGCUCUGCAACCAAACAUUCUCAAGUGUUUAUAAGAGACAUAUUUUCCAGUCUAAACUCUCUCAGGUACAUUGCCAUCUAAUGAAGCUAAAGGAGAAAUGUUAAUCAAGUUAACUGCAGUACAUAUAGCCUCUGCCCAUAAAGAUUUAGGAAGCUUGGCAUCAUAAAGCAUACACAUGACUCUCUCUUCAAUUGUUCUAUUCAUCCUUUUUGCAACACCAUUUUGUUAAGGGGUUUUUAGUACAGUCUUCUCAAGUCUUAAUCUUAAAUUGUCUUCUAUACUCACUACCAUUAUUUGCCCCAACACAUUUUAAUUUUCUUCAUGUCCCUCUCUCAACACAAGAAUGGAAUAACUUAAAUAUAUCAAGUACUUGGUCUUUAGAUUUCAAAGAAAAAGCCCACACUUUUUUUAGAAUAAUCAUCAAUAAAAGUCACAAAGUAAAAUGCACCUCCUAUUGAUCUACUUUGUAUCAUGCAAAUAUCAGUGUGAAUCAAAUCAAGUAUUUGUGGCUUUCUAAAUAGAGAAAAGCUUUUAAAAACUACUCCGUGUGUCUUUCCAGCUAAGCAAUUAACACAAGUUUUGAGGGAUAUAUAUUGUGAAAAUUUUAUUGAACUCGUAAGUGCACGAAUCUAUUGUAAUAUAGAUUAAUGGUGAUGAGUGUCGAUCCCACGAGGAGGUGGAUUUUAAUUGUGUGUAGAAUUAAUUUUUCUAAAUGGGUGUAGAAUUAAUUUUUCUAAAUGGGUGGUUGGAUUUGUGGUAAAGAUGAUUUGGAAUAUUCUAAAUUUUAAAUUAAAAUGACGAGAAAAAAUUGAAGUGAAGAUCUAUUGAAAUGACGUACUUAGGUAUCUAGAUCCGCAUCAACAUGCCCCACGGGCUAAAUAUUCUUUAUUAAUACCAAUUAAAUCAUGAGGGGGGGUUUCCACUCCUCAUGAACCACACUCUAAUCAAUAUGGUACUAAGGGCUUAUUGUGCUAAAUAAUAAUAACCUUGUACUAGGAAGCCGGUGAAAGUAGGGCGGUAUCUAAACAAGAUUAUUAUUAUUUAUCGACGAAAAGUCAAAACAUCCACAAUAAUUAGAGGGGAAGAGGAAGUAAAUUUACCAAAUAAAACCCAUGACAUAUGUUGAGACUCCACCUUCAACCCAAGCUUGAAAGAAAAUUAGCUACUCAUAAUUGAACUAGGGGCAAAAUAGGAAUUUAUUAACAUAUAUAGAAAAUAUAAGAUGGAGAAGGAAUUACAAAAAAUGGAGCCCAAAAAUGGAUUCAGGGAUGCCAAAUUAAGGGGGAGAGACCCUCUUUUUAUAGAUACAUUGAGUAAAUCAUAGCCAUCGGAUUAAAAAUAGUUUGGACGCUUAGGAUUGUGUCACGUCAUCAGUCAACAGUACGCAGUUUGACCACGCAGUUUGAACAGUGACACGGUUUGAACAGUCAACCGGCUUGAACAGAGACGUGGUUUUGUUGAAAAUAAUCAUGUGUAUAUGCAUGUACCGUACACGUGAUUUUUGGUCCACUAACAUGUUAUCACGUCACCGAUCAACAAUGCAUAAGAAUUUUCUCCAAUGGAAUCGUGACACCUCAUCAGUCAAUGCCACAUCAUCGAUUAAUGCCACGUCAUCGUUCCGUAUGUGUAAACAGUGUCGUGAACAGUAACAUGGAUAGUACUGUACAUGUGAACAAUGUCAUUUUUCCUUUUAUGCUCAUCCUAAGGUUUUCGACUAUCCUGAGUUCAAAAGUGAUGUCCGUUUUACUAUAUGAAUUCUCGUUCAUUGUAAAAUGACCAUGAUGCCCCUAAAAUACAUAAAAUAUUUAAUUAAAAUAAAACACACAUAAUUAAAUUACAAGAGACUAAAAUACAUAAAAGUAGAAGUGUUAGUAAGACUUGAAAUAUAAAAUGACGAUUUUCUCCUUUAUAAAUAUACACUUUCUAACACUCAACACACCCCCCAACCAGCUUAUUACUAGUCCCUAGCAAAUAAAUCAAAAAUAAAAUUCAAAUCCAAAAUGUUUUUUUUUAAACACUCAUGUUUAUUCAAUCAAACUAAUGAUAGCAAUCAAAUAAAAAUAUAAGCAUUAUCUUCAGUCUACAGAAGCAUCACACCCACACCAACCAUCCAUAUGAAUCAGCCCAAUAGACUUUAUCACAGCUACUUUCAAGAAUGACAUGUCAAACCCCAAAAUCUCACCUGUAGUAGUGACACUCUCACAAAGAAAUUAAACCCAAUAAAAAUAGUCACUAAAAUGAAUGGUAAUUGAGAGAAAAUAAUAAAGAAGUAAUAUCACACGCUCUUACCAAGAUGAAAGAAAUAUGCCCUCAGCUUAGAAAUAAUACGAUCUCAAGUCAAACAAAUAUUUAUCUGUUUCUUUUUUUAUAUGUAUCACUACAUCUUUUUAGCCUAUAAAACUAGCUUCUACUUCAGACUAUAGAUUUCUAAAAUCAAGAAGGACUUUUAUUAAGACGUAACGUAGGCUAGGGACAUGGCUGACAAAUGAAGGAAAAUAGGAAAAACAAAAUAUAUGUUUGAGAAAAAAUAGAGAUAUUUUGGAAAUUACAAGAUGCAUUUUGCUUAUUUAUUAUUUUUUUUUCUUUUUUUUAAACAACAAUUUGUUUUUGGUUUUCUAUUGUUUUUUUUCUUUUGUUUGGCACAACUUCACUGAAUAAAAUAAUUAUUUACAUUUUUCUCAAACAUAAAUAGGUGAUGAAAUUUGUAAGAUAUCGGGUAAUACUCCAAAUUGGAGUGGGUCAAGAUGAUAGUUUGACAAAGAAAAUUUUUUUUUUUAAAGGCUCAAAAGGGUUAACUAUGAAUUUUUCACAAAAGGAAUGGCUAGAAAGGCUCAAACGGGUCAAAGAUGGCAUUUCUAUAGUCUUUUAGGGUUCUAAAUAAUCUUCCAUAUCUACUAGUUCGAUGGACCUCAAGAUGUAGCAACACACAAUUUUUUCUUUUUUUUUAAUUUUAUUUAACUUUUUUUUUUAAGAUUGACUCAAAGGAAAUCUAGAGAUCAUGUAUAAAAUAAUAAACUACUAAGAUGUAUGAAGAAUGGGCAAAAAAGGUUAUUCUCCAAGAAAAAUAAUAGGCUCAAAAACUCACUUGGUAUUCAUUAUAACAUGUGCAUUCCUUCAAACAACUCAUAUUUGUCUCUGACAUCAACAUGUAGAGUAGCAAACAUGGCGUAACAUCACUUAAGACCAAAGAUAAUACAAAUACUAAAAUUUAAAAGUCAUCAUGUCAUCCAAUGUUAAAACAAAUCACACAAUUUUUUUUUUGAACUACAAUCUAUCUCCCAACCUAUUCCAAACAUGAAAGGUGAAAAAUGAUGCAGAAAAACUAAUUAGAAAAGUUACACUUAAAAUAAUAGAAAAAGAAAAUGGUUUUUUUUUUUACUAAGAGCAUGCGUUUCUAAAGGCACUACACUACAUAUUCAGCCAUCUUCAACUUAAAAAUUUGAAAAUGUAUAUUUAUAAAGGAGAAAUUAGAAAGAAGAAGAAAAAUGAUUGUCAAAACUUAAUAAAGAAAAAGAAAAUGUCUGGAAUUUUUUUUUUGUUUUUUUCAAACGAAAAAGAUGUGUUUGUAGAGUCACUAUACUCCAUAUUCAGCCAUCUUCAACAUAAAAAGUUAGCCACGGUUAGUCUCUAUAACAAAAAAUUAGUAAAAACUUAACCAGAUUCCACAAUUAUCGACUAUUCCCUCCCCCCAACCAGGACAAAACAUUGUCCUCAAUGUUUUAAAGGAAAGAAGUAGAGUUUAGAAAAGAUCAUCUAAGUGGUGUAACACAGAAGAAAAUAUUUACAAGUGGAGAGUUAAAUAUAAUUUGUACUUCUUACUGCGGCUACUAUUACCAUCAUUAUUUGGACGCUCCAACACAAAGGUCCAGGGGUCUGGUUUCGGUCUAUAAGCUUGUAAUAGAUCAAGUAACUCAUUAACAGUGUGAGCACAAAUAAAAAGCUUUUUCGCUGUGGAAUGAAUGAAAUAGUUUUUUAUUGCAUGGUUAAGAAAUGAGAUGAAGUCAUCAUAAAAAUUAUUAACAUUUAACAAACCGAUGGGUUUCUGGUGAAUAUGCAGAUGGGCCCAAGAUGCUAAUAUGAUAAGUGCCUCUAGAGUUACAAGAUCUUCUGGAAGGAAAAUACAAGCAUCAGCAUGAUUAAGCAUUUCAGUUAUUCUUUCUUGCAUACCUGAGACGAUUAACUCUUUUCUAGUCGAUGAGUCAAACAAACUGCCCAAAGGUUUUAAGGCUCUUGGGAUAAUGCCUAACACUUGACUUCCUCUGACAAAAGCAGCUUCUGAGACCAAUUUUGAUAACCUUCGGUUACCUCCUCCAUACACCAACUGUAAUUUUCUCUCUACUAUAUUUCGACCAAGAUUUAUGACUGCCUCAAUGAACUCUUUAUGUUUGUCAUACUUAAAUCCAGAAAGCACACAAAUAUUCUUGAAUUGUUUCUUUGGAGUAGCUGCCAUUGGGAUACUUUUCAAAAAUAAUUUGUGAGUGCUUGACAAAAAAUCAUAUUUAAGAAUCUUGGUGACAGUGGGUCACAGCUGUGUAUGAGGUAGCAUGUCAGUGUCAAUUAACGUGUAAAGCACAUGGCUCGAGAGUCAAAAAGGAAACAGUAAAAAGAAAAAAAAACAAUGAUAAAAUAAAAUUAUUAAAGACAAUAAUGCAAAUGAUAAAACAACAGUGAAGUAUUUACAGGUAGUUGCGACUAUGGAUCACAUCUUCCUCUGGUUUUAUGUCCAGAAACGGCUUGAACGCCCUCUAUGGGUCGAGGAUAGGCUUCCCAUCCAAUUUUCUUAUAAACUGACAAACAGGGUCGUCAGAUUCCCGAGACUAUAUCGUGCAUGCUCUUUCUGGAAUAAUGGUCAUAAUUGGAGAAUCACUCCUUGUACAUAUCCACUGGGAUGCGUUUCAAGAGACAAAAAGAUAUCAUCCAAUGACUCUUUAUUCAAGUCAUCCCUAAUAAAUUUAAUCUUAUCUUCCCUGUUAUCAAACACCACUCCUAAAUAUCAUGGUUUUUUAUCGCAUCUCAUUCUGGCACACUUAUGACAACAACAGAAAUUCUUCGAGCUCUUCGUUUUCUUACAUAAUUUCUUUUACCACAACCAAGCAUGUAUGCAGUAAAUUUUAGAGGCAACUCACCUGCCAAACGUACUUUGGCCUCGAUUAACCAGCGGAUGUCAGCAGGUAUUUUAUUCCUCAUGAGCAAUCGCAUGCGUUCGGACCGAGCUUUAUAGAUUAUAAAGAGGGCAUUAUGAGGAAGUGAAGGGAAUCGAUUGUGAAGCUUUGCUAAAAUCUCGUUUCUGUCCAUACCUUCGCCUCAGAAUAUCAGUUAUUAUGGGAAACUGAAGUAACCGACUUGAGUGUCACGGAGUACUGUUAUCCGCCACUUCACUGGGGUAACAAACUAAAGCACACAAACAAAGAAAAAUAAACUAAAACACAUAAAGAAAAUUACAAUCAUCCUCUUAUUGAAUUUACCUCAAGCUCCAACUGGAUGUUGUAGACACCUCUCUCAAUGUCUCUGAAUUGGCUUUCUAAAUCCUCAACAUGGGAUACUAACUUUGGUGGUUGCAUAGCCCAAAUAUGAUGUGUUUUACAAAAUCAAAUCUGCCUUUUUAGAUGAGAUUUUCUACAUUGAAGUAGUCUAAGAAUGUCCAGGAGGAACUGUUUAGUUAUGGCACUCAUGAUUAACAAUGAUAAGAGAAAACUUAAUGGUUAAACAAACACACUUAUGCAAAAAUAAUUUCAAUCAGCAAAAGAAUAGUAAAAAGAAAGAAAAAAUCAAAUCACCAAAAAGAAAGAAAAAUCUCAAUUCAAAUCUGGUGGGUCAUGCAAAUUUAUUUCGGUGUCCUCUCCAUGUGAUUGGUACUCUAGAUAUGGCUUUAAUCUUUGACCAUUAACUUUAAACGUGACACCGUUCUUUGAGUCCUUAAUUUCAAUUGCCCUAUGUGGCAAAACAAUAUGAACAAUAAAUAGGCCAGACCAUCAAGAGCGUAACUUACCUGAGAAUAGGUGUAAACAAGAAUUGAAUAAAAGUACUUUCUGACCUAGAGUGAAAGAGUUUCUCAUAAUUUGCUUGUCAUGAAAGAUUUUCAUUCGCUGCUUGUAAAUCUUGGAAUUUUCGUAUGCAUUAUUGCGAAUUUCUUCAAGUUUUGCCAGCUGUAAUCUUCUUUCUGAGCUAGCUUGCUGCAUGUCAAAGUUGAAUUUCUUGAUGGCCCAAUACGAACGAUGCUCGAGUUCCAUAGGUGGGUGGCAAGUUUUUCAUACACUAGCCUGUAGCGUGACAUCCCAAUCAGGGUCUUGAAAGCCAUUCUAUAUGCCCAUAAUGCAUCAUCGAGUCUUAAUGACCAAUCUUUUCUGUCCGGGCUCACCGUCUUUUCUAAUAUGUGCUUUAUUUCUCGAUUGGAGAUCUCAACUUGGCCACCAGUUUACGGAUGAUAUGGGAUCGCCACUUUAUGAGUGAUUGAAUACUUCGUCAAAAGAGCCUUGAAUGCUUUGUUACAAAAGUGGGCACCACCAUCACUGAUUAUUGCUCGAGGGAAUCCAAAGCGUGAAACAAUAUUGCUUUCCAAAAAUCCUAUCACCACCUUGUAAUCAUUGGUUCUAUAUAGAAUUACUUUUACCAAUUUUGAUACGUAGUCAACAGUAACCAAUAUGUAUUGAUGGCCAAAAGAAGGGGGAAAGGGACCCAUGAAGUCGAUACCCCACACAUAAAAAAUCUCAACCACUAAAAUUAGAUUUAAUGGCAUCAUGUUCCUUCGUGUAAUGCUCCCUAUUCGUUGACACCUAUCACAUGAAGAGCAAAAUGUGUAAGCAUCUUGAAAUAUAGUUGGCCAAUAAAAAUCACAUUAUAAAACUUUAGUCGUUGUUUUCUUAGCACUGAAAUGGCCUCCACAAGCUUGUUCAUGGCAAAAUGAAAUAAUAUUCUGAAUUUUAUUUUCUGGGACACAUCGUCUAACAAUUUGAUCUACACAAUACUUGAACAAAUAAGGGUCAUCCCAAAAGAAAUUCUUUAUUUCUGCGAAAAAUUUGGCUUUGUCCUACUUAGUCCAAUACUCUGGAAGUUGACCUAUAACAAGAUAAUUAACGAUAUCAGCAUACCACGGUAAUACUUCCACACUCAUUAAUUAUUCAUCUGGAAAUGACUCAUUCAAUGUUAAUGGCUCUAUAAUUGUGUCAAAAUAGAAACGAGAGAGAUGGUCAGCUACAACAUUUUCUGUAUCUUUCUUAUCUUUAAAUUCCAAGUCUAAUUCCUGCAAAAGUAACACCCAACGAAUUAGCCUAACUUUUGCAUCUUUCUUUGUGAGAAGAUAUUUAAGAGCAGCAUGAUCUAUGAAUACAAUUAUUUUACAACCAAUGAGAUAAGAUCAAAAUUUCUCUAAUACAAACACUACUGCUAGCAUUUCUUUUUCAGUAGUUGAAUAGUUCAACUGUGCAUCAUUCAAUGUCAUACUAGUAUAGAAAAUAACAUGAGGAAUUCGAUCAACUUUUUGUCCUAAAACUGCUCCUACUGCAUAAUCAGAUGCAUCACACAUGAGCUCGAAUGGUAAGCUUCAGUUUGAGGGCUGAAUGAUGGGUGAUGAUGUCAAUAACUGCUUUAAUUUUUCAAAUGCCACAAGACAUGAAUCAUCAAAGAUAAAAGGUACAUCCUUAGCAAGUAGAUUGCAUAAGGGUCUAGAAUGAAACGUCGAUAAAAACCAGCAUGUCCAAGGAAAGAUCUUACUUCUCUGACUGUUUUAGGUGGAGGUAGAUUGGAAAUGAGAUUCACCUUUGCUUUGUCAACCUCAAUACAUUUGCUUGAAAUGAUAUGACCAAAAGCAAUACCUUGUUUUACUAUAAAAUGACACUUCUCCCAAUUUAAGACUAAGUUUUUCUCGAUACAUCUCUGCAGAACUAGUGUUAGAUGAUGUAAACAUUGAUCAAAUGAGUCACCAAAAAUAGAAAAGUCAUCUAUAAAGACUUCAAGGAAUUGUUCAACCAUAUCAGAAAAAAUAUUCAACAUGCAUCGUUGAAAUGUAGCAGGUGCAUUACAUAAUCCAAAUGGCAUCCUCGUAUAUGCAAAAGUGCCAAAAGGGCAAGUGAAAGUAGUUUUCUCUUGAUCUUUUGGUGUUAUGGGAAUCUGAUUAUAUCCUGAGUAGCCAUCUAGAAAGCAAUAAAAUUCAUGAUCUGCUAAUCUAUCAAGCAUUUGAUCGAUAAAUGGUAAAGGAAAAUGGUCUUUACAUGUGACAGAGUUUAACUUUCUAUAAUCAAUGCAUACACGUCAUCCUGUAGUCACUCUAGUGGGUAUCAAUUCAUUAUCAGCAUUGGUAACUACUGUGACUCCUGACUUUUUGGGGACAACUUGUAUAGAACUGACCCAUGAACUAUCAGAAAUUAGAUAAAUAAUACAUGCGUCUAAUAGCUUAAGGACUUCAGUUCUAACAUCUUCUUUCAUAAUAGAAUUUAACCGACGUUGCAUUUCCCUAGUAGGUUUAGCAUUUUCACCAAGGUGAAUGUAAUGCAUGCAGUCUACUGGAUUUAUACCUUUUUAUGUCAGUUAUAGUCCAUCCUAAUGCUCCUUUGUGCUCUUUUAAAACAUCUAACAACUUACCUUUUUGUUCGUCAUUUAAGGAUGAUAAGAUGAUUACCGGCAGAGUACUUUCUUCUCCCAAAAAUGCAUAUUCCAAAGUGUUGGGUAAUGGUUUGAGCUCGAGUUUCGGUGGUGAUUCUGAUGAUGGGAUGAGUUUUUUCUCUGAUGGUGCUAGUUGUUCAACUCUUGACUUCUAUUUAUUAGUGUCCAUAGAUGGUGCUGAGUCAAGCAGGGCAUCGACCGAUCUGUCAAUAUCAAAGUCCAAACCAAAGUGAGUUAAGCAUGUUUGUAAAGGGUCAUCACUAAGGUUUGAAACAAAAGUGUCAUCAACUAAUGUUUCAAUUAAAUCCACAUCAACAAUUCCAUUAUCUGUAUUGUGAGGUUGCUUGGUAAUGUUGAAGAUGUUUAGCUCCAUAGUCAUGUUGCCAAAGGACAACUGCAUAUUUUCAGUCCUGCAUUGAAUGUGAGCAUCAGCAGUUGCCAAGAAUGGUCGGCUUAGAAUAAUGGGGAUGUGCUUCCUUGAAUCCUAGAUUGGUUUAGUGUCAAUUACAAUAAAAUCAACAGAAAAAUAAAAUUUGUCUACCUGGAUAAGCAUGUCUUCCACAAUUCCACGAGGUAUUUUCGUGGAUCGAUCUGCAAGCUGUAACACUACUGGAGUUGGGUGUAAUUCUCCCAGUCCAAGUUUCACAAAUACUGAAUAAUGCAACAGAUUUACACUAGCUCCUAAAUCCAACAAAGCAUUCUCAAUUGUGUGGUUCCCUAUACUACAUGAGAUAGUGGGGGAGCCUGGGUAUUUGUAUUUUAGAGGAAUUUUAUGUUAGAGUAUAGAACUAACAUUUUCUGUUAAAAAUGCCUUCUUUUGAACGUGAAUGUUUAUCUUUUUAAUACAAAGGUCUUUAAGAAACUUGACAUAAGAUGACACUUGUUUUAUAGCAUCAAAUAAAGGAAUGUUAACACUUACCUGUUUGAAGAUUUCAAAAAUCUCACCUGUGGAUUUUCCUUUCUUUCCUUUAGCUAACCUCUGGAGAAAUGGAGCUUUAGGAACAUAUUCUCGUGGGUCUGUUUCUUCUUUUUCCUCUGAUGGUGAAUCCUCAGUAUUUUCAAGUACAAUUUGAUUUGUUUUUGUCACUGGCAUCUCCACUUUAUUGUCGACUUCUUUUCCUUUUCGCAAGGUCAUGACGGCUUUGACCUCUCUGUACUGCUGAGGGGAACUGGUACUUACUUCAUGCACUCCUUUAGGAUUAGGCACAGUCAUUGCCAAGGUCUAAACUGAAGAAGCAAGCUAUCUCACCAUCUUCUCGAGGCUUGAAACUGAUUGGGCUUGUAAGUUGAAGCCUGCUCUCAUCUCAUUUCGUAUUUCAUCAAUGGUGCAGUUCUGUUGCUCAAUCGUGGAGUGAGUAAGAUUCUUGAAAUUCUGGAAUGAAUCCUCCCAUGGUCUGGGUUGAGGGUAGUUCUGGUUCUGAUUGUAUAGUCUAAAUAGUGGUUGAGAGGCUUGAGAAACUUGAGGAAUUUGUUGCAUUGGUGGAGCUGGAGCUGCUGGUCCAUUCUGUUGGAAUCCUUGAGACCAUGAAAAAUUGGGGUAAUCUCUCCAUCCAGGGUUAUAUGUGUUGGAGUACGGAUUGUAAUUUGAUGGUUUUCUCAUGACACUUAUGGUAUUGGCUUGAUCUGAAUAUGAGUCAUAGUCAUGUGGUUCUGUUGAUUUAGCUGUCGUUAAUUAUGCUAUUUGUCGAGAAAGACCUUCAAUUAUCUCUUUGACUUCUUAAUUCCCAAACUUGACUCGCUAAUGUGAACCUCAUUCACUCUCUUAAUUCUUUUAGUAUCCCUGAGUGAUCUACUCCGUUGUUGGGAAUUAUCCACUUGUCGCUGGAAGAAUUCCCAAAUCUCUGAUGCACUUUUUGACAUUAUCUCUCCUCUACUUGUUUCCAUUAGCCAUUCUUUCACAUAUGACAAUAAUCCCUCCAAAAAAUAUUGACAUUGGUGUCAUUCUUGUACCCAUGAUGUGGACACUUCAAGAGUAACCUAUUGAAUCGCUCCCAUAUUUCGAAAAACUGCUCGUCUUCUCUCUGGGUAAACUCUGAGAUUUCCCUGCGAAUAGCAUUAGUUUUAUGCACUGGGAAGUAUUUAUUCAAAAAUUUGUUACCAUUUGUUCCUAUGAUGUAAUGCUAUUAGCAGGCAAUGUAUCGAGCCAUGAACGAGCUCUAUCCUUUAAAGAAAAUGGGAAUAAUUUGAGUUUAACAUCAUCGUCUGAAAAAUUCUCAUAUUUAAAAGUUUGACAAACAGCAUGAAAAUCAUUUAGAUGAUUAUAUGGGUCCUCAUUUUCUAGGCCAUAAAAUGUUGGCAGACAAUUUAGCACACUAGAUUUUAACUCAAAACUCCUAGCAGCUACAUUUGGGUAUCUUAUGCAUGAUGUACUCAAAUUAGCUAAGGGGCUAAAGCAGUCCUUAAAUGGCCUCUCCUGUGGUGGUGCUUGUUGUUGCAAAUCCAUUUUAUUUUUUAACGUGUUUGUGUGUGCGCAGUGUUUUUUCUAAUUCAAGAUCUAUAGGCUCAAGAUUAGGUAAUAGUGAUCUUCGACCAUGCAUGCAAAGAAUACAAAAAUAAAUAGGAACAAAACGAAUAAAAAUAAAGAAGAAGGAAAAAUUACGGUACUAACCUUAUCGCGUUGUUACAACCUUACUAUAACACACUAAAAAAUAAAUACGUGAAAAGAAAAAAAAAUUAACUAAAAAUAAAUUAGUAAGAUAAACAAAAAAAAAUUGCAAAGAAAAAUAACUUAAAAAUUAAAUUACAUAAUUUUAAAGAAAAGAAAAAGAAAAGAAAUUCUUACCUCUAAAUGCUGAUUCACUUUUUUUUUUUAAAUAAGAGAAAAAACAAUUACAAGAAAACAACUAAAAGAAAUUAUGUGAUUACACUCGUCAUGAGCCGUUAGUGCUUCAUUCCGAUGGCCAGGAGCUCCUCACGGCUACCAGCAAUUGCGAUAUCGUAACUCAAUUUGAGUGUAAUGGUACGUAAUUAUUAUUGAGGACAUUAUCCUAACAAUUACUGGGUUAAUAAUACAACUGAGCUAAUUUUUUAAUAUGAGUUAGGUCCAUGUACUUUUAAAAUAUGGCCAUAAUUUGCUGUUGAACAAGUUUUAACCACUUAGUAAUUCAUAUAUGAAAUAUAACUGCAGGCAAGAGCUCAUGGCCAGAACUGGUUGGUGUAAACGGGGAGAUUGCUACUGCUACGAUACAGAAAGAGAAUCCUAAUGUUCAUGCAAUCAUAAUACUUGAGGGAACUCCAGUUACACAAGAUUUUCGUUGUGAUCGGGUUCGAGUUGUGGUUGACAAAUAUGAGAAGGUGGUUCAAGUUCCUCGGAUUGGCUGAACUUCGCCGAUUAUCUGCAAUCAUCAUGGCUGGAUGGAUGGUCAGGAUUAACUGCUUGUUUAUAAUCACUUAACUAUGUAUUAGUAAAAUAAAUGAACAAGUAGUGUUGUUUAAUAAAGCAUGCAUGGAUGCGCGUGAUAUCCAAUAAUCGGGUUCUACGAAUGAGUGUAAUAAUACAACCUUUAUGUCUACACUUUUUUUAUUUAGUUUUUUUUACCCUUGAUAAGAAAGCACGCUUUCACAUAAUCAUACUAAGAAAAAGAAUACAAGAGAUGAGUUGGGCAAGUCCCCAAAAAAACACCAGAAAGCUAAUUUUGCGAUUACAAGUUCUAGAAGUAUGUUGAAUUAUAGCAUAACUUAGUCUCCGAAGCUUUUCUUGAACUUCAGAAAUAGCCCAAAAAAUCUCAUGUUUACAGAUGCGACUUCAAUUACGGUCGAGAAAUGGCCGACAAUUUUUUUUUUUAUUUGUUUUGUUUGAUGUGGCUUAAGAAAAGUGAUGAGAUUUGACCCUUCAAUAUAUUUCAACAGCCCACUUCUUAGUUUUCUCUAUUAAUUUUCAAAAUACCCUUAUUCAUUUAGUUUUUUUUUUUCGGUCUUAUUCAUUUAAUUUAACUCUGCAGCUCCAAACUCAUUGAAUUUCAAGUCACAUGUUGGCCAGCAAUGGUCUUGGAACUGAAAAUAUGACUUUUCAUAAGUAAUUGUAGACACAUAGUACUUAUAUUAAAAGCAUUAACUCACUAAAAUAAAUAAAUCAAUACAAAUUGCAAACGAAAAAAAAAAAAAAACACAGAAACUAUUAGAAACCUUGGAGAAUGAUGGUUGAGUCAUUGGAUUGUUGGUAUCAGUAUUGUCUUCGUAAAGCAAACGCGCUAAUUUUCAAUCUUUAAUAUAAAAGUCAAUUGUUGUGAUGGGUGUUUGGCAGGAAAGGAAAUGAAAGAGGUGGAGGAGAACGAGAGAUAGGGGAGGGAAAAAAAAAUGGGUACUUUUUGAAAAUAAAAAUUAUUUUAGUAAGUAUUUUAGACAUUUUGAGUUAAAUAUGACUUAAUGAGAUAAGUUUUGGAGGUGAAAUAUCACUAUUUCCUUAAAAAAGAGUGAAGCCAUUGGCGCCCCCUCAUUAUCUUUAUAAAACCCACCUCAAAUAAAAUUAUAGUUAAGGAUAAAUAAAUGUGUAUUUGGUAUGACUUAUCUAAAGAUUAUAAAUACUUAUUUAAUCUUGUAAACUCUUAUUAAAAUUUAUUUUGUUGUUUGAUUUUUUUUUUUUUUUUGGUAAAGCUUUUAAAGCUUAAAAAGUUAUCUCACCUUUACUAGUAAAAGCUUAAAUUUUGGGUUUUUUAGAAUAGAGAUUAAAUAAUUUUUUAAAUGUUAAAAUAUCUAAAAUAUCUUCUACUUAUUUGAUAAUCUUAUUUUAUUCUUUCUAUAACAUAACUUUUAGAAAUUUACCAAUUAAAAUAAUUUUAUAAUUUUUAAUAAAAACUAUCAUUGACCACUAAAUAACUAAAAGAAAUUAUUUACAAAAAUUAAUUCUACAAAUUAAAAUAACUUACCUCCCCGGCAACGGCGCCAAAAACUUAUUGUGUAAAUUUUAUUGAACUCGCAAGUGCACGAAUCUAUUGUAAUAUAGAUUAAUGAUGACGAGUGUCGAUCCCACGAGGAGGUAGAUUUUAAUUGUAUGUAGAAUUAAUUUUUCUAAAUGGGUGGUUGGAUUUGUGGUAAAGAUGAUUUGAAAUAUUCUAAAAUUUAAAUUAAAAUGACGAUAAUAAAUUGAAGUGAAGAUCUAUUGAAAUGACGUACUUGGGUAUCUGGAUCCGCAUCAACAUACACCAUGGGCUAAAUAUUCCUUAUUAAUGCCAAUUAAAUCAUGAGGGGGGAUUUCCACUCCUCAUGAACCACACUCUAAUCAAUAUGGUAUUUAGGGCUUAUCGUGCCAAAUAAUAAUAACCUUGUACUAGGGAGCCGGUGAAACUAGAGCGGUAUCUAGACAAGAUUAUUAUUAUUUAUCGACGAAAAGUCAAAACAUCUACAAUAAUUAGAGGGGAAGAGAAAGUAAAUUUACCAAAUAAAGCCCAUGACAUAUGUUGAGACUUCACCUUCAACCCAAGCUUGAAAAAAAUUAGCUACUCAUAAUUGAACUAGGGGCAAAAUGAGAAUUUAUUAAAAUACAUAGAAAAUACAAGAUGGAGAAUGAAUUACAGAAAAUGGAGCUAAAAAAUGGAUUCAGGGAUGCCAAAUUAGGGGGGAGAGACCCCUUUUUAUAGAUAUAUUGAGUAAAUCAUGGCAAUUGGAUUAAAAACAAUUUGGACGCUUAGGAUUGUGCCACAUCAUCAGUCAACAGUACGCAGUUUGACCACGUGGUUUGAACAGUCAACCGGCUUGAACAGUGACGCGGUUUGGUUGAAAAUAAUCCUAUGUAUAUGCAUGUACCAUACGCGCGAUUUUUGGUCCACUAACAUGCUACCACGCCACCGAUCAACAGUGCAUAAGAAUUUUCUCCAAUGGAAUCGUGACACCUCAUCAGUCAAUGCCACAUCGUCAGUCAAUGCCACGUCAGCAUUCCGUAUGUGUGAACAGUGUCGUGAACAGUAACAUGGACAGUACCGUACAUGUGAACAAUAUUAUUUUUCCUUUUAUGCUCCUCCUAAGGUUUUCGACUGUCCUGAGUUCAAAAGUGAUGUCCGUUUUACUGUCUGAAUUCUUGUUCAUUGUAAAAUGACCAUGAUGCCCCUAAAAUACAUAAAAUACUUAAUUAAAAUAAAACACACAUAAUUAAAUUACAAGAGACUAAAAUACAUAGAAGUGUUAGUAAGACUUGAAAUAUAAAAUGACGAUUUUCUCCUUUAGAAAUAUACACUUUCUAAUACUCAACAAUAUACCUGCAAAUCUGGGUAGAAAUCAUUUUCUGGCAAGAGUUUCCAACCCUUUCUCACCAAUAUGAUCAAUCCUUUUAUUCCAUAUCUCAAUGUCAGAAUCUUUUACAGCCACAUUCACAUCUUCUUUCUUAAUCUUGGCUUCUAUAAGAUAGACAGUGUUUACUUUCCUCUCCUUAGCUAACAUUAGGGAGCCUUUGGCGAGCUUCCAUUUUCCUUCACCAAAUUGGUUAGUAUAACCAUCAUCAUCAAACUUGCCUGUAGAGAUCAAAUUAAGGCGAAUAUCUGGUACAUGUCUGACAUCUUUAAGUAAUAACUUAUAGCCAAUGCUGGUCUCUAAGCAAAUAUCUUCUAUGCCCACAAUUAUGGAUGCCCCCUCAUUUCCCAUCCGAACAUGUCCAUAAUCAUCAUUAGAUGUGAAGUAAUCACGAUGUGCAGUAACAUGAAAUGAAGCACUCGAAUUAAUUACCAAUCACUAGUAUGGAAAGUGAGAUUUACUGAGCUCUCAUCAUAAAUAAUAUCUAAAUCACCAUCAACUAUGGCUGGAAUUUCUACUUUAGUUCCUUCCUCGCCUUUCUUGCUUUUUUGAAACAAGUGCAUCUGACUUUGAGGGAACUGCUUCAACACUCUUUCUUUUAGAUUCUUCAUUCCACAACCUAUCUGUAACUAUAUCCAAAGUUAAUUUUCCAUUCAGCGCUGAAUUAUUCACUAGCACUACUAAUAUCUCUCAACUGUCAAGCAAAAUUUGGUAAAAAAAGAGUUGAAGAGAUUAACCCAAAAGUUGGAACAACUUACAAAGAAUUUGAUAAAUUUUAAUGAAAAGUUGGGAUAUAAAAACAAAACUUGAUAUAUUUACCCAAAUGUUGGAAUCCAAUAAAAUGAGGGGGAAUAUAAAACCAAUAAAUUGUGGGAAAAGGAGUGGAAGAGCAUAACCCAGAAGUUGGAAUGACAUGAUGAGAAUUUGAUAAAUUCCAAUGAAAAAUGGAUAUUUGAAAAAUAAACCUGAAACAUUCAUGCAAAUAUUGGAAUUCAGUAAAAAGAGUAUGAAUAUCAAACCAAAAUUUGGCGGGAAUAAGAGCUGAAGAGGUUAACCCCUAGGUUGCAACAAGUUAUAAAGAAUUUGAUAAAUUUUAAUGGAAAGUAAGGAUCUAAAAACCGAACCUAAUAUAUUUACGCAAAAUGUUGGAAUUCGAUAAAAAGAGUAAGAAUGUAGUACCAAAAGGUGGUGGAAAAUAAGUUGGAAUAACUGACCAAAAACUAGAUAAAGUCUAAUGGAAUGUAGAGAUAUGAAAAAUAAACCUAAAUAUCUACUUAAAAAGUUGGAAUUUAAUGAAAAAAGUGAAAAUAUGGAACCAAAUGUUGGUGGAAAAAUGAGUUAAAAUAAGUUACCAAAAUUUAGAUAAAUCUUAACGAAAAAUAAGAAUUUAAAAAGUAAACUUGAAACAUGCACCACAAAUAUUGGAAUGUUACAAAAUAAGUAGGAAUAUAUCUCUUUUUUGACAUAAACUAUAAUAUUUUUAUAGUCUCUUGUAUUAUUUAUAAAUUUAAAAUUAUUACAAUCUUUUGCCUCAUUUAAUUCCAUAUUUAUCUUUUUUUUUCCUUUUUUAUAAUUUUUUCACAUUAAAAAUAAAUGAAAUUGUAAUUUUAUUAUAUUAACUGGUUAAAACCGGUUAUACCGAUUUUCUGCGUGCGCUGUAUAACAUACAGAGAUGCAUGGAAUGUUGACUCCCCAACAUAAUUAGGGGUUGCACGUGCCCUCACACAAGUUUGUCUACAGAAGAAAGGAUACGACUGCUAUGCACCAGUUCCAUUGACAGACUGCGCGGAAUUUAAUAUAUGGAAAAAAUAAUAACCGUAGGAUAUAAAGUACUAUACAAUCAACGGUUGAUGUUGAUUAAAGGAAUCGCAAGAACUAGGUGGCCCAGUUGAUGUUGUAGUGAAAAUGGGAGAACUAGGACAUGGCGGCCCAGUAAAUCUGUAAAUGUGUCUGCGAUGUUUAUGUGAAAUCGGAAAAAAAAAAUUGAAAUGAAGAGAAUAGAAAGAAAAAAAAAAGGCAACCCCUGCUCUCGUGAUGGCCUAUGCAAAAAUUAAAAAACAAAAAUCUUAACAAAAAUAUAUAUGCCAUUUAUUGACACUGAAUUUUUGUCUAUAAUAGUUUAUAGGGUGGUGAUAUUUUUACCACACAAAUUCUAUAAAUCCACUGUACUUUUAAAAAUUAAUUAUAAAAGAUUCACAUUAUUUUUAAAAAUUUCAAAUAAAGAAGAAUUCUAAAGAAUUAAUCAAUUAAAUCUAUCUUAAUAUAUAUUUUUUAUAUUUUAAUUUAUUUUUUUGUGAUUUAGAUUUUUUUAUUACAUUUGACUAUUAAGAUUGCUUUAGUCUAAAUCGAAAUUGAUUAUUUUACCCUUAAAAAAUAAACAUACCAAAAGUUUACUUUAACAUUCUUUUUGUUUUAUACAAAAUUCAUUAUUUCCCAAUGGUCAACUCUACUUUAUUAGUAUGAUUAUUAACUUUUAAUUAAACUAUGGUAAUAUUUUUAUGCAAAAUACUCAUGUAAACUAUUAGACUAUUAUAUACAAGUAAAAUAUUGAAAAUCAUUAGGCUGCAAUUAAAAAGUUAGAUUAUAUGUCACAAAAUUAAGUACCUAAAGUAUUACAUAGAAGAACACAUUUUUCUUAGGGCGAUUAGGUCAUUUUAUGUCAUAAAGUAAAAUAAUUAAAUAGAACUUAUAUUAAAGCAACUUUAAUAGUAAAAAUAAACCUAAGAAAGAAAAAAAUAUAAGAAUGAUUUAAUAGAUUAAUUAUACAAAUAUUUUUUAUUUGUAUUUAUUAGAAAUAAAGUACAAAUAUCAAUUGGGACCCACUGAGAAAAGUCCAAGAAGGUUUUCGACGCGUAACGCUUAAGAGAAUCACGUGAUGUAGUGAAAGUCGCAUUGGGACCCACUUGCGUAGAAAUUAGUCCCUCAUCACAUCCAUAUGGAGCCUACGUAUUAAAUAAUGCAAAAACUAUCGUACAAAGUUAAUAUUAUAGAUGAAGAGAUCCCUAACUAAUUUAUAUCACUUGUUGGGGGCCGCCUAUUUGGUAUAAUUUUGUAAUUUAGAUAACUUACAUCAUUAUUCGAGGAAUCAAAGUCCUAAAAUAAAAGAAGAAGACACUUAUGAUCAAUCUUUUCAGUAGGUGUGGUAGAAAAAAUAAAUGCAUUAUGAUACUAUGGAUGAAAUGAUUAAUGCAUGCGUUUACGGUCCACAUUUUGCGAUUAUCCAAAAAGGUGAACAAGGAAAUGUACAAAACACAGAAUUGAAUUGACAAAAGGAGAUAAUAGCAAUAAGAAACUCGUGAUUCAAUCUUUGCCAUGAAGUUUGUCGGUGCCUCUCCAAUGAAACAGCAUUCGGCAAAAUAAUCAAUCAUCUAACCUUUGGAGUUUUUCCAAAAAUUAAGUUUUUAUUUAUUUAUUUUAUUACUUAGUCUAACACUAAUCUAACUCCCUCCACGUUACAGAAUUUAAACUCUAAAUCUCUUAUGAUGUAGGACAUUAUUUUAGAAUUAUAAGAUUUUUAUUAUUUUAAGAUUUUCUAUUUUAAUUAGAAUUAACUAUGGUAUGUGUUUAGUCUUUUAUUUCUAUUAUAAUUGUAGAAAUAAAUUCAAAUAAAGUCAUAAAACAAAAAUAAAUUCAAAUAAAGGUAAACUCCAUCUCAAGAUACUGGACGCUCCAUUAAUAUUUUAUCUUUGGACAGAGUAUUAACAUAUAAGUGAUAUCUCGGUGCAGUAAUCAAACAUUGAUAAUGAGAACACGUCAAACAAUAAUUUUCCUUUACACCAAUUUAUUGUUCACAUGCAAAAUCAAAAAAUCAUCAUGUAUUUAUUGCCACAAAUGCACAUGCAAUUCUAUCAAAUAUGGAUCUUCCUUUGGGCCGAUUGAUAUCCACAGAAAUUACAUAAAUCCAACUAUAUAUAUAUAUAUAUAUAUUAAUUUACUGAUUUAAUUUCCUCAAUACCAUAAGACAACCACACAUUGUUCUCAAAUUCAACAAUACUGAAAUUAUUAAAGUAGAGAACAUCAAAACUUUAAUUAUUAAUUGAAAAUAAAGUCAAUUCUCAAUUAUUCAAUAUGAAGAGGCUUUGAUUUCACUUGUUAGAACAAUAAUCCUUUGGUGAAAGCCAUCACUUAUAAUUCAGAAACAUUCAUGUUGUAUACUAAGCAUCAAUAACAAAAUAUACAGAAGUGUAAUUGAAUCUAUAUUGUACAAUUACUCUCUAGAGUUGUGUAGUUGACAUUCCAGAUCAAUACAUUCUCUUAAAGAACCCUUUAAGUUUAUCUAUACUCUCUUCCUAAUGAUGGGAUGUCAUAAAGAAUCAAAUAAUAUAUGUGACCUAGGGACUAUAACCACUUAUAUAGACAACUUUUUCUGCUGUCUUUAGGUAUUCCAAUUUCAGCCAACCAUAAAAAUAGAAAUUAUCCGUAAGUAUCUACACAUUAAAAGCUCACACCCUAUUAAAUAAAUUGAAGCUCGCACCCUAUUAAAUACAUUGAAGCUCAUAUUAUUGUAAAUGUUAAUAGAUCCCUUUUAAUUGGACUAACUUUAUAUGAUAGUUUGUAACGAGUAAUUAUUUACAUAUAAGAUCAACAUUAGAUUAAGGAUCCAAUAAUGUUGAAUUAAAGAUCCAACAAUUAGAGGUGACUAGUUACUAAAAAAAGAAAUAAAAAAUGAAAAUCAAGAUAUUUUUAUGAGAAAGUCAUGUCCACACGCCUAAUUGAUUGAUCAGUAUGCAACAGUGCAGUGACCAUCUAUCUAUUCCUUCAAGCUCUAUAAAUAGCAAGCUCUUGUGCUUUAAUUUCCACCUGUCUAACAGCCUUCAAAAUAAUUGAAAAUUAAUCAACAAUGAAGAACACAGUACUAGCACUAGCUUUCUUCGUAUUUCUCUUUGCCUUUGCUGCAAAACCAUCUUUGGCUGCU